rnacentral:lncRNA from 1 species
CCCUCGUCUCUUCCCCUUUCUAUUUCCAGCGGCGGAGACCUCGGUGAGUCAGAGAGAUUGAUUCAUGGCGAAUUCGAUUGGGAGUUCUCCCUCGGUGCCUGCUUGAGGGCUUGGUGGUCAGGCGGCCGGAGUUCUUCAGGCGGUAUGCUAGGUUUUUUUCUCUCCUUGUCGAUUCAUCUCUCCUCUGUUGUUGCUUCCCUUUCGGUUCCCUGUUGCUCAGAUCUGUGGGUUGCUCGUGUGCUAGGAUCUGUACGUUUAUGUGAUGUUAUGCGUAGGGGAACGAGUGCUGUGAUGUGUGAUGUGAAGUGUAGGGCUCGUGUUCUGUUUCCCCUUCGUCAGGCGACCGUUUAUUUUGCCUGAUUCUAUACCGUUGGUGAUUCUACAUGUUCGUGUCCUAGGGUUUCUUCAGUCAGUCCAUUUGAAUCUUAGUUGUAGAUGCCCUUUUUAGUUAGUUUGUAUCUUGAUUUUAGUUUAGUUAUCUCGGGCAGUGGCUGUUAAUUUUUAGAUCUGGUAUGCUUUGGUUCUAGCUGAGUUUGAUUUUGGUCGGUGAGGUGAAGGGAUUGCUCUCUCUGUUUUAUUGGUCUACCCUAAUUAUAGGGGAGUUCCAUUGUAAACCAUUUGUAAUUUUUGCUUUAUUUUCGCAGUGAAAACUCUACAUUUCCUGUGGCUUAGUAGUGUAAUUUUUAUUGAUUAAGUCUGUAAUUCCAAUGGUUAUAGGGAUUUAGCUCUGUAAUUUCAAUAUUUUUUAGUAUUUGGUGUUGAUUGUAAUUCCAGUAGUAUUUUUGCUGGUUUACUAUUAUAAUUUUUGGUGAGUUCCAUUGUAUACCAAUGCAAAUUAUUUUUUUGCUUUUCCAGUGAUAUAGCUCUGUAUUUCCUGUAGUAUAUUGUUUCAGAGUGUAUUUUUCCACUGUUAGUCAACUGUAUUUUGUGAGUAUUUUUAGUGUAUUAUGGGAGCUAUUUUAUUGUAAUUUGAGCUUGAACUUGUGUAAAUUUGUGAUUGCUCCGGAGUGUCCUUUUCUUAUCACUUGACUUACUCUGUAAAUCUUAAUUUUUAAUGUCACUUGUAAGUGAGAUCACAGUGUUAUUGUUGCCAAAAGAAAGCCAAACUCUCGUCCACAUGCAUCUCGAUUCACAUUUCUAUAUGAUAAUAUUGAACUGAUUUUUUUGUAUCUGCUGAUACAAAAGAUUCUUUCAAAAGAUAACCCUUACCCUAACCCCUAACCCAGGGUGGGCGAAAGAUGGAGACAAUACUGCCGUUGAAGCUCGAGAGUGAGCAGCAGUUCGGUCACCCCUUGCUUUCUCAACUUGAGCAAGAAAUUUCCAACCAAAUAGGAGGGAGGGCACUACUGUUUUGAGGUUAGUUUACUCUAUCUUUGUAAGUGAAAUUAAAGUGUAAGUUGUAGUGUAAUUUUAGGUUAGUUACUCUAUCUUUUGUCAGUGUUUUUUAUACUGUAAUUCUUAGUGGAUUCUUUUAGUGUAAUGACUCCAUCUAAUAUUUUUGAAUUUACUCUGUAAUUCAUAGUGGAGUUCUUAGUGUAAUUACUAUAAAUUUCUAGUGUAAUUACCGUAUCAUUUUGGUGUAACUACAAUGCAGUGUAUUUACACUGUAAAUUGUAGUGUAACUAACCUCACUAGUGUAAUUGCUGGAAUUUUUGUGUUAAUUUAGUGGAAUUAUAGUGUAUGAACUGUGCAUUUUACAGUGUAAAUUUAGUGGAAUUACAGUGUAUGAGUUGUGCAUUUUACAGUGUAGUUUUAGUGUAAUUCUUUCUGUAGUUUAGUGUAAUUUACCUGUAACUCGCCUCCCUUAUCAGCGCUAAUAAAUUCCAGUUCAUUAGUGUUGCAUGAAUUCCUGGUUUAGGUUAGUUAGCUACCUCAUUAGUGCUGCAUUCCUAGCCUUUUUUCAAGCAUUUUCCUAACCUUUUUUGUUCAUAUCUUCCUGAAUAUGUGACCCCUUAUCUGUUUUUCCUAUGGCCUUGUGCUGUAAUUGUAGUUAUGAAUUCAGAAACUUGCAACUAGUUUUUUCUGUUCCUGCCCCCCAGACUACUUGGUCCUAAUAUUCUUCCUGGUUCUGGUGUAUUUUUUGUGUCACGUAAGUAGAGUUCCAGAGUUCAUUUUUGUCCCUGCAGCAUAUAAAUGAGGUUUUGUCCCUGCAGCAUAUAUAUAUGUAAUGAUUCAUAGACGUCCUUGUUUCUUUUCAGUUGUAGACAAGCAGGAGAGAGAUAUGUCUUAAUCAUGCUAAAUGUGGGGUGAAUGCAAAGAUGGGGGUGUUUACCUGUGAUUCCUAUUGAGUGGAAGACUGAAGCAACUCAUUCUGCAGACAAGCCGGAAUUUAAGUAUCAGGUUGGUGUUUGGAUGGACUAAACCCGUUAUUGUUUAGUGGGGCCAGUAGGAAAUUUUAACAUGGACAUAGAAACGACAAGUAGAAACAUAGACAAACAAUUGUCAAGCUCCCAUGGGUUGGAAAUAUCUGACUGAAACCGAAUUGCUAUUUUUCAUGUGGAUGAAAACAAUUCCACAUGCGCAUGAAAAUAUAUUUAUAGUGUAAUUCCUAUUGGAUUUACAGUGUAAUUUCUAGUGAAUUUACAGUGUAAUUCUUAGUGGAUUCAUGCGCAUGAACAUAGAUUUUACAGUGUAAUUCCUAUUGGAUUUACAGUGUAAUUUCAAGUUAAUUUACAGUGUAAUUCCUAGUGGAUUCACACUGUAAUCCCCAAUGGAUUCUCAUUGUAAUUCCGAAUGGAUUUUCCAGUGUAAUUCCUAAUGGAUUUUACAGUGUAAAUAUGUUAUUAGUUUUAUAGAUUCUUUUUGCUUGUUGCUACUAGUGUGAGUGCCUUCUAGUGUCAAUGCUUUUUGCCUGGUUGUGUUUGUCCUUUUUUUUGUUAAUUUCAAUUUUCAGUGCUUAUGUUGAUGCCUAUCAAUAUUCAGUAUAAGGAAGCAUCAGAUCAUAGUAGUUUACACUUCGAAUGUUACUUAAAUCCAGUCCUUCAAUCGCAGCUAUUUAAGAACAGGUAGAAAGUGUCUAAAACUAGUAGAUCAAAGUUUCUUAACAGUGUUUAGUUUUCCAGUUUCCAAUGUUUGUGAAAAUAGUCAUAUUUUCUCUCAGCUGGAGCAGUCCACCCCCUUAUAUGUUUUCAAGUUCUCCCAAAAUGGAAUUGCUAACUUCCUAAGCUUGUUUGGUUACCUGUAGUGUGUUUAUUUCUGCAAAUUCAGAAACCCAUGGUCUGGGCAUCUAGUUAUCAGUUUUCCUGUGAUCAUUGACUACUAGUUCAUGUGACCAUACCCUAGUUGUUCUUAGGGUUUCUCCUGGUUCAUUCUUUUGUGUGAUUAUGUUCUUAUUUUUGAUCUGUGUAGAUUUUGUGAUUAACUUAGCCUAUGUAAUGAACCACUACAGGUCUGUUCCGUCUUCCACAUUUGUUCAGGUAGGAGAGAGACAACAGGAGGUGAUGAAUGCACGGGAGGUGGGGGUGUUUACAUGUGAUUUUUUUUGUUUCUCCAACCAUGUUUAUGUCCCAGAUCAUGGAGAAAUCGCCCUGUCUGGUGGCGCUUCUCUGGGGGUAAAUUUAGCACUUCGUCAGUGGAAUUACAGUAUAAUUCUUUUGUGUCUUUUAAGUGCAAUUUACACUGUAAAUCUUAGUGGAAUUACAGUGUGCUUUUAGUGGAAUUACAGUGUAUUUUUAGUGUUUUCAAUUGUUUUUACACUGUAAUUAUUAGUGGAAGUACAGUGGAAUUUACACGGUAAAUCUUAAUGGAUUUAUCGUGUACUUUAGUGGAUUUUGCUCUGUAUUUGCAAGUGGAAUUACAGUGUAUUUUUAGUGGAAUUACUAUGCAUUUUCCAUGGUUUUUACACUGUAAUUAUUAGUGUAAUUUUAGCCCUUUGUAUAAUUGAUUCACAGCAGCAGCAGCGGUAAUUUAGUGUGGUUAGAUGUCAUCAGUUUUGGUCCUUUUCCUCCUCCUGUAGUUACCUUGGUCCACCUUUUGUUAGUUUUAAAUCCGUUUAGCUGCUUUAUAUGUACGGGUUUGAAUAGUUUGAUGCGUGGACCCGUUUAUGGCUUGGUGUGUGGACAUGUUUAGAACAGAUUUGCAGGUGCAGGGCAGAAAGAACAGGGGACACGAGACAGGUGACACUUGUCAUUCUUUAGUUGGCUGAGAAAAUAUGACUGAAAGCGAAUUGGAUUUCAUCCGGAUGUAGAUUAGACAGUCCCUAAAAUAAUGACAAAACUAGAAAUCUUUUUCGGCUCCCAGCUCUGAAAUCUGUUUUGGUUCAUCCUAGAAGUUGUCGUCGUCGUCAUCACUGUCCUCCUUUUGUCCACCUGGCACUCCUCGUUCUUCUUCUUCGCAUCUGCAUUUAACAAUGACUCGUUCAAAACGUAGGGUUGUGGCUCAUCAUUCAUACAACGCACCACCAAAAGAUCACUACCCUGCCAAGCGCUGAGAAGUGCCUUGGCCUUCAGGUGCUCCUUCUCCUCGGCUUUGGAGGCUACCCUCAUAUUCAAAGCCGGCCGCUCAUACAUGUGCCAGGCGUCGGCGGGGAAGUUGACAUGUGCCCUUCGCCGCUGAUAGUCAAUAGCCACGGCAUCGUAGGCGUGCUCCGCCUUGUCGGCCGUGGUGGUUUACAUGUGCCCAUACCCUUUCCGAUUAUCUUAUUUGUGGGUUACACGAUGUGCUAUAAGUCCCAAGCUACCGAAUCUUUGUACCUAAGAUCUGUACCCCACCCCCAUUCUUUUACCAAUUACUAAUUACCCAACCAUAUAAACAUCUCGAUGGUUGGUACCUCACCACACAUGGACUAGCAAUUACGUCAUCACCAUCAAUAUUGUGUUGAUCUACCCGAGGGGUCGGGUAUGAGUAUAAUUUACGCCCUUGGUAUGACUAUGAAAUUAUUGUACCGGCACCAUACGAGAAAAAUCUGGUGUAGGCUCCUGCAUCCAGCUGUGUGUGCGCGCGCGCGUGGGGACGUUUUCUUUUUCAAGUGUAACAUGAUCGCUUUUGUUGGGAGAACCCCACUCGACCACGAGGCACCCAAAAACGAAGCAGAACGCGGGGACGCCACACGGAGCCUGUGAAAGUUGAACGCGAGCCCGGUAGGCGCAGCCGACCACGCACGUCAACUCUCACCUGCACCACUCGGGGCGCCGCCAUCAGGAAUCUGCACGUUGGCCAUGGAUGCAUGCACGUACCGUACGAUCUCGAAUACCAUUGUCUUCUCCCCGACUCUCCCGGCCCUACGUGCUACGUACUUGUGUGUAUAUGUUUCCUUGUCUAUUCUCGAGACUGAUCCCAACCAUGCAACGUACGACAAUAAACCAAGCACAUAUAUACUCACCUGGACACGGUGGUCAUCAACACGCACGGCACAAAGCGAUCGAUUACGUCGACAGCCAUAGAUAGUAGUUCGGCCGAUGGCGGACCUCGUCCCGCUGAAUAAUAAUCCGUACGACGGCGACGAGGCCGAGGCCGUGGCGGCGGAGCCCGAGGAGCGGAGCAGGCUGAUGCUCAUCUGCGCGGUGGGUCUCUACUACGUCGCCAUCCGCGCCUUCUGCGACCUGCUGCGCACCGGCGGUUUCCACCGCCAUGUCGUCACGUCCAGUGACCUCACGCUGUGGGCCGCGCUGCUGGACCUCGCCGGCAGCCUGAUGUACCUCGCCGCGAGCCUGCUAGCGCUUGUGUCCCUCGUCCCCGCGCUCUGGCUCGUCCUUGUCUGGAUGGCUCUCGUGGCGGAGUGGCUCCACGGCAACCCGGAGGGGCGCAGGCUGGUGAACGACCUGCUCCAGUCCGACCGCUGGCUGUUCCACGAGUCCUUCUAUCGAAUCAUGUGGCGUCUUUUCCGAUACUAGCUUAGUAUACUGUCAAGUUGUUGUCAUCUCCCUUCGAUUCAUAUCAUUUGUCAUAGAUGAUUUGUCUAGAUACAGAUAGAGUACAUUGCUGUGUAUAUAUGACGAAAUUUUAAAGCCUAAUCUCUGCAACAUUUAUUUUGUUGGUGAAAAUUAAACUCGUAUAUUUAAACUUGUGUGUGCAAUGGAAAUUUAAACUUGUAUUGACAUUUGGGUGUUUGCCAAUUUGAUACUAUUUAUCAUUUUCUUCCCUGUUGUUCUCCACAAAAGAGGUUUUAGCACUGACAGCAGGCCGUCUUAACCCCCCCUCCAUAGACGCCUGGACGGACGGCCAUGUGACUGGCCGGUCCAGAAAAUCCGAACCAGACAGGCGCCUCAUACCAGCCCCAAACGCCCGGGCUGGCUGGCACCCCUCAUAUCCAGACCAAAUCUGGGACGGAUACGGGAAGGCCAGGGCACGUCCGCCACAUCAGGUCCUUCCCUCGCUGGCACACCUGACCCCACAUAUAUUCGUCCCAAUCCGAUCCCCGGACAAAACCCUAGCCACUCCACUCCACCACCAAGCUCCGGUCCAACCUUCUCCAGCAUGGCGGGCAGCGGAUCCAAGUCCUCCGUUAGCCGAUCUGCGGACGGGGACCUCAUCCCAGCCGGGCCCGAGGAGGAGAUGUCGUCCACAUUGUGUUGCGCUACGCCUGCGAGGAGAAUGCCUGACAAUGGUCGGACUCAAUCAAGCGCAAGGUGCGUUGCCGUUGCCUCACUGGAGGCGGUUUGCUCCAUCUAGCGUCCGAAUGUCGUGAUGGAGGCGCAACCCCUUCGUUGGCGUGCCGACUCGGAGGCCUUCUGUGGCCAGUCCACUGAGGCUAUGGUGCGGCAUGCCUGUUGUGUGAGGCAGAGGGCGUGGGAGGCCGCGGAAGCCCUCACGGCAGACAUCGAUGAGGCGAAGUCACACUAUCCGGGCCAGCAACCCCAGGCACCGCAAACGCAUUGUGGUGAAUGUGUCGGUCUCCGACCACUAUGGAUUUAACGUCGACCGAUCACGUCGACCAACGACAUGCAUGUGACAGACUUUGAUGAGGUCUUUAACCUAAUUGCACUAUUGAUCGGAAACUUAACCAAGUCUUAGUCGGGUGAUAUAAAAUGUAAAAAGAAAAAAAAUGAAAAGGAAAUAUUGCAUGGAUAAGAUCUCACGAAUAUAAGCAUCGAGUGAGACAUAACAAGUCUUAGUCGACUGAGAUUUAGCAAAACUUGUUAUUAGAAAUCCCGAUCAGACUGAGACUUUGCUUCACAGGCAGUUGUUCAGACUUGGCUUGCGGGAUAUGUUCCUGUCCAGACUGGGCACGAGUUUUUGUGAGCCUGGUGGUACGUGACUUGUAGUAGUAGCCUCUGCAAGUGCGAGCGGCAACAUUGGAGGACUUCCUUGUUGGUGGUGCUCUUUUGAGUACCGAGUCAUAAUUUUUAGGGUGAAAACCUAAGGUCUGGCCUUUAUUGGUUGUGUCUGGCAUUGGCCUUGUUGAAGGCGUUGUUUUGGAAACAUAGUCUUUCUCUAUGGUGAAAACCUACGAUCUUUGAUCGGGCAAGGACAAGCUUGUGCAUUGUUUCCUUCCAGAAGGCGUUGCUUUUGGAGAACCUUCUUUCUAGUUUGGGCGUUGUCUUUGAUGGUGGUUAGAGUGCUACUACUGUGGGUGAUUAAUCACCAUGGCAGGGUCAUUUUUUUUUCUUUCUUUUUUUCCUUUUUUUUUCUUUUUUGGCUGUGUGCAUCCUAGAUGCUCUUACGCAUCUUGUUGGUGCAGAGAUCGGGUGUAAUUAAUAUCUACUUGAUAUUAAUAUAUUUUCCUUUUCGAAAAAAAAAUCCUCUGCCCCUCCGGAUUGCCAUUGCUCCACUCGUGCCGGAAGGCUGCGCAGAAGAAGCAGGCCCAGCAACCGAGGAAGAAGGCCAGUAGCCCAGUGAUGAAGGCAGGGACUGACAUUGCCGGUGGCUAAUCAUGCCUCAGGUUCAUCAAGAGCACGGAGACAAUGAUGAGCGCGAAGGAGAUGAAACCCAGGAAGCAGAUUAACACGUUCCUGCACCACUCAGCGGGCUCCGCGGCCACCGCCACCUCAGGAUCAUCGACGGCGUCGGCCAUGGUUGCAUGCACGUACACGGCAAUCGCGUAAAACGUGUGAAUCAGCAUGACCUUUUGUAUAUAUACUCCUCUUGAAACCAAUCCGAACACUGCACGUACGAGGCGAUAUGUCUAAAAUCUGUUCAGAUACGACUUGCAGUAGUGUUCGCAUGGAUUUGAGCAACAAGGCCGGCCGAGUCCCAAACUCUCAAUGCAAAAGAAACACUAGUUAAGCAAUAUUUAUGACAUUAAUCCUGGCAGGCGUGUAUUCGUCCACAUCGAUCUGGGUGCAGGGGGGAGUAACAUUAGCUGAAGGUCCUACAACGUGGGUGCAUGCCCCCUGUCUAACGGAAAAUGCUAGACCUACGUAUUAUUGCUGGAUCCGGCUUGCCUGCUCCCUUCCCAUGCUUUCAUCCGUGCUCUCACUAAAUCCUACGACUGUCUUUUUGUCUUUUUCCUUUUUGAUCUAAUCAUCUUCCUCCCUGAUUUUAAGGGGUGGGGCGGGCUUUAUUUUGUUCCAAUCAAAUCAAGCCACGUACACGGAAGCACGGAUGGGCACACGGGGCGGGGAGCAGGCAAGUCUCGUCCACUGUUGCUACGUAACCUGUGUAAACUUCCUUUCCCUCCAACUAAACAUUCCCCCCAUUAUCAGGUGGGCCCUAGCCCUCUUUAAUGCCCAAUUAAAGCCUGCCAAAUCAUCUCAUGCGUAGGUUAUGUAACAACUCCUUCGUAGAUGUAGCAUUGCUCCUGUUUAACCAUGCAUGGGUGUAGAGGCGGUGCAGACUAGCUGAACACUAAGGGCAGGUGAAAAUUAUACCCAAACUAGCCUGUGUUUUCAAACUGCACUAACUCGUGCUUUCUAGUAAAUUACCUUUGUGCUCUCGUUUGCUAUCCAAGCUAUAACCUCAAAUAACGCGACACGUCCAGCUGCAGUAACCUCUGAAGCUCGAUGGCAACGUCCAGCUCCUGGGUCAUACAAACUGAAUGUGGAUGCGUCCUUCUUCAAGGACGGGAGUGGGGCUGCAGCUGCUGUUCUUCGUAAUUGCCGUGGAGAAGCCAUUGCCGGGGUCUCAGAGCUUAUAGAUAACACUCUUAGUGCACAAUCAGCUGAAGCAAUUGCUCUUCGCUUGGGGCUACGGCUGGUUUAUGCAGUGGGGUGCAGGAAUAUUGAAGUAGAAUCAGACUGUGAAGAACUGGUACAUGCAUGUAAUGGAGAGACAGAAAUUUGGAGCCCCUACUCAGCUACCCUUGCUGAUUGUUUUCAUCUCUCCCAUGUAAUUCCGAAUAUUUCUUUUGCUCGUUGUCCCAGAGAAGCAAACAGAGUUGCACGCUUCCUAGCUAGGCGAUGCUAUGAUUCAAAAAUAUGUGAAGAGUGGUUAGAUGAGAUGCCUUCUUUCUUAUUACCUCAUGUAAUCUUUGAUGUAACACUUUCCCAAAUUGAAUAAAAUGCCACAGGGCUUUUCCCUCAAAAAAAAAAAAACCUUUGUGCUCUUGCAUGGUAUAGCACAACCUUUUUUUUUUGCAAAAAUGAUUCAGGUCUAUUAUAUCAAAGUUCACCGGAAGUAGAAAGCACCUUAAACAUAAUAAAAAUUACAUCGAGAUUUCGAGACCACUGAACGACCACUACCGCUGUCAGAACGAGUCGCCGACACGCCGUUGUCGCCGUUCCCCUACCGGAGCCGGCUUGACCUUGUCGAUCACAGCCGGAAAGUCUCCGUGCAUGUGCCUCUAAGUACCAGCGCCCUGAAGCUGCAGUUGUCGUCAUUGAACCCUAAACAGAUCAGAAACACCUGACAACAAAUCUCGUCACAUGACGAGAAACCCUAACCUCACCAUCCAUAGAAGACGGCACGAAUCUACCCCGGAGCUCUGCCGACUACGUACAGAUGAAUGAACUCGAGAAGGAUCGUAGACCAGAAGACAAACUCAAAGAAGAAGUGCCGCCACCCGUCCGAGCGCCGCACCCGCGAGAACUAAAAAACCCUAACCUUAGAGCACCUACAACCGGACUCCUCAAACCCAUCUCAAACGCCCGGGCAGGCCGCCCGGUCAUACGGCCCUCAAACGACCGGGCUGACCGGCACCCCCCAUAUCCAGCCCAAAUAUGGGGCGGAUAUGGGGGCGCCCGGGCACGCCCGCCACGUUGGACCCGGCCCAUGCUGGCCCACCCGACCCCACUUAUAUUCGUCCCAAUCCUCUCGCCGGACCAAACCCUAGCCAUUUCACUCCACUCCCCUCCGCCACCCGAGCUCACCUCCGGCAGUUUGCGAGCUUCUCCGCCAUGGCAGGCAGUGAAUCGGACUCUGACCAGUUCGGAUCCGUCGACUGGGGUGUCGUACCUUGUGGGUUGGAGGAGGCAAUGGCAGUCCGCAUUGCACUCCGCCGCUCCCGGGAGGAUAGUGCCCGACCUAUGGACAGAUCCGUCCGCCAAGACGCCAUAGCGUCGGCUCACCGGGAGCUCGGGUCCUCUGGUGCUUGAUCCUCAAGGUCCCGGUCGGAACACCUCUCCUUCCCCAUCACCGGUCGGGAAGAGUACGAGUCCCCCCGGGAACGGGCGGCCCGCCGUGGGAAGGAGAGGAUAAGGGCCGCCGAGGCCCGCUUCCCAGCGGAAAUGGCGCGGCGCAGGCGGCCACAGAGGAGGAACACAUGCACCCUCGCCCGUGAGUAGAAUCGGGCGGUCCGUGACAUGGCCGGACUGCUACCGAAGGAGGAGAAGGAGGACAGCAACGACGAGGACAACGACGGCGACGAGCAGAUCUGGCUCGAUCCGUACUACGUCUUCGACCGGUACUUCCGCGAGAAGGACGGCAAGGGCACUGGGAAGGGGAAGGGCAGCCGUGGAUGAACUCCACCAUAGCCAAAAAUGCCAAAUUUUGGUAAUCCGAUGGCAUGUUUAGUGUAGUGUGAUGGAGUAGCCGGACGAUGCGUGUCCAUCGACGUAGUUGCAUGAGUUUCUAUGGAUUUGAGAUAUUGGUAAUUGAGGUGCCCGAAAGUGGAUUGCAUUUUUUAAGGAGUGCCCGGUCAGUGCGCGUGGACACGCCCGGGCGCGUCCGCGGCCGUUUGAGGGGUUGGAUUUGCCACAUCCAGUUGUAGAUGAUCUUAAACUACUAAUCGUUGCGGAGGCAUUGGGAUUUCCCCUCCCGGCCACCGGCCGCCGGAGUGGCAGGCAGAGGGGAGGUGAAUCCACGGGCUCGCCGCGAAGCCUGGAGGGGAGAGUUUACCCUACCGCCAAGGUAUAGGAGAUGGAGAGAGAAACCCUAGUUUCCGUCACUAUGAACCCAACACUGAUCCAUAGAUUCCGUCAGAGAAGGCAGUUCACCCUGAAGGAAGCUGUCUACCAUCCUCUGUCCCUCUGGAUUGCCAUUUUGUCACUCUUGCAGGAGGCAGACGAAGUAGAAGCCGAUCCAGAUUCCAAGGAACAAGGCCAGUAACAACAAGAUUAAAGCAGGGGCCGACAUCGUCGGUGGUUAAUAAACCCUGAGCUCCAUCAAAAGUUUGAAGACAACAACGAGCACGGCGAAGAAGAAACCCGACAUGCAGAUCAGAUGAACGCGCGCCUGCAUCAAUGGGCAGGCUCGGCCGCCACCGCCACCGCCACCUCAGGAUCCUCGACGGAGUCGGCCACGAAAGCAUGCACGUACGCGCCAUGGCAAUCAUGUAAAACGUGGGAUCGAAUGUGAGCGUGCGUAUAUGGACGUGAUAUCUGGAGAGCCUGAUUAAUAAUUUCCAAAGGUUAAUCGCAUCAUUAAUGCAAAACGAAAACACGGCACCUGCCGAGUCACUUUCCUAUAUAAAAGUAGUACGUCGCAUCUUAGCAAUUACAUGGGCUGGCCACGAGACCGGGACAUGGCAGACGUCCAGCUGAACCCAGACGGUGGCGGCGGCGGCGGCGGAGGUGGAGCCUACCGAGUGCAGUAGGCGCGCAUUCAUAUGCUUGGUGGGGUGCCUCACCGUCGCGCUCGGCGUCAUCCUGGCGUGCAUGCUGAUGUUCGCGAAAUCCCAUCAGAAAUCGUCAACCAUCGCCAAGAUGACCGUCUUGCUUCUGACCGUUGCCGCCUCGUUCUGCUUUGGCCGUUUUUUCAGCAAGUUUACUCAUCUCCUAAUCGAUCGACUGGGUCACGGCAAUCCGGAGGGAGAGAGGCUUGUGGCUAGCUUGAUCCAAUCUGAUCACCCCCUGAUCCACUUGUUGUAGAUGCAUCAGUGGACCCUCUUUUCUUCGAUUUCAAACGAAGUACUCUGUUGAUUAGCGUGUCUCGAAUGUGUUGUUAUUAUACGUGUAACGUUUUCUUGAUUAUUUCUUCGUAAGUGCAAUGAGACUGGCGCCAUCACGUCGCUGCUUACCGCUGAUGCCGGCCGCCGCCUUAGUUUAUCCCCUCGUGAGCGCCUCUGCAAGGAAGCGCUGCUCUAUGGCUCUGUCGGUAGGGACUAUGUGCGUGAUAACGUGUUUAAAAACUAUCGAGACAGAUGAAUCACGGUAUCUCUUUAUUGAACAAGAACUGCUAUCUAUACAAAAGUCGCAAAAGACACAAACGAACAGGUGCCUGUUCAGAUAAGGCAUGUAAGAUGAAAGAAUUGGGGGAACCGGCUCAACCCUCUAGGGACGGCCUAUCUCAUAUAUAUAAUGAAGGGGUACAAGUUACAUCAUACGUAUGUGUACGUAUACAACUACAGAGACUAUACAGUCUAACACCCUCCCUCAAUCUUAGCCACUUCCUAAAGAAUCUAGAAGGGUAAGAUUGCGCCUACAAGUCUCGAACUGUGGAAGAGGUAAUGGCUUGGUGAAGAUGUCUGCAAGUUCAUCCUUGGAAGAGAUGAACUUGAUCUGUAGUUGCUUCUGAGAUACCCGUUCCCGUACAAAAUGAUAGUCCACUUCAAUGUGUUUCGUUCGGGCAUGGAAUACCGGAUUAGCAGAUAGGUAUGUAGCACCGAUGUUAUCACGCCAAAGAAUAGGAGGCUGUGAUUGAGAUAUUCCCAACUCCUGAAGCAAAGACUGUAUCCAGAUAACUUCUGCAGUUGCAUUAGCCACAGCCUUAUACUCAGCUUCAGUACUGCUACACGAAACAGUAGCCUGUUUCCGAGCACUCCAGGCGAUCAAGGUAGAACCAAAGAACACAGCAUAGCCCCCCGUGGAUCGCCUGUCAUCCGGACUGCCAGCCCAAUCCGCAUCAGAAUACGCCGAGAUGACCCCAGAGGAAUUCGGUCGAAUGUGCAAACCAUAGGACAACGUGAAACGAAUGUAGCGCAAGAUGCGCUUCACCGCAGACCAAUGAGUGUCACGAGGUGCCUGAAGAUACUGACAUACUCUGUUGACAGCAAAAGAGAUAUCAGGACGUGUGAUCGUCAGGUACUGCAACCCACCAACAAUACUCCUGUACUGUGUCGCAUCAGCAGAAGGCAGGAGGUCACCAUCGGUAGCAGUAAUCCUGUCAGUAGUAGACAUAGAAGUAGUAGUCGGUUUGCACUUAAGCAUCCCAGCCCGCUGCAACAGAUCCAAAGAGUACUUCUUUUGUGUCAUAACAAGACCACUGGAAACAGAAGCAACCUCAACACCAAGGAAGUAGUGAAGCUGCCCAAGAUCUUUGACCGCAAAAUCAGCACCAAGAGACCGAACAAGAGCAGCAGCAGCCGACUGAGAGGAACUGACAAGGAUAAUAUCAUCCACAUAAACAAGCAGAUACAUGGUGACUGCAGGCCUCUGGAGAAGAAAUAACGAGGAGUCAGCAGCUGAUGAUGCAAAUCCAUGAGCACGAAGGGCCGUCGCAAGACGAGCAUGCCAAGCACGAGGAGCUUGAUUCAGACCAUAGAGUGCUUUAGUGAGCCGACACAGAUAAUCAGGAUGAUCAGGAUCAGAAAACCCUGGAGGCUGCCGCAUAUAUAUCUCCUCUUCCAGAACACCAUGGAGAAAAGCAUUCUGCACAUCCAACUGACGAAGAGACCAACCACGAGUAACUGCAAGAGAGAGAAGAAGCCUGAUAGUAGUAGGUUUAACCACUGGACUGAAGGUGUCUUCAUAAUCAAGACCAUAACGCUGCCGAAAACCUCUAGCAACCAGCCGCGCCUUGUAGCGCUCAAUAGAACCGUCUGAAUGCUUCUUCACUUUGAAAACCCAUUUGGAAUCAAUGACAUUCACACGGGGUGGUGGCGGAACAAGAGUCCAUGUCUUGUUACGGAGAAGAGCAUGAUACUCCUUCUCCAUAGCCUCUCACCAAUGAGGUAUACUCAGAGCAGCCUGAUAUGUACGAGGCUCAGAGGAAGGAUCCGCACAAGCAGCAGCCAUACAGGCAGCCAACCAAGCAACAGUCCCAUCAUGUCGCUGUUUAGGCUGAAAAACACCACUGCGACUCCGUGUAUGUGGUCGUUGAGGGACCACAGUAGGCACAGGAGCCAGAGAGGACUCUGGUGAUGAAGGCGGCUAUGGCGAGGACGACUCGUCUGACGACGAAGAGGCCUCAGAGAGCGCCGGUGAGGGCACACCGGAGGCCGGUGAGCUUGGCCCAGGCGAAACCGGCGAGGAAGGUCGAGGAGGCGACGAGACUGGCGUGGCCGAGCAAAGCGGCGAGGCCGGCUCAGGAGCCAGGGGCACCGAGGCCGGCGAGCGAAGCGGCGAGGCCGGCUCAGGAGCCUGGGGCGCCGAGUCCGGCGGGGCCGCCAGGCUGCAUGGCGAGGGAACCAACCCGGGCAAAACCAGCCCACGCGAUGCCGACCCAGACUCCACUGGCAAGGGAGUCAUGGCGGGCCGAAGCGGCGAGACCGGCCCAGAGGCCAUGGGCGUAGAAGCAUGCGUCGCUGGGGUAUCGACCAGACGUGCAUGGGCACGGGAGCCGAGGCCAUGCAAAGGCUCAACAUGAUCGUCGUGAGCCGCUGGUGAUGCCGACGAAGGAGGCGACGGCGCCUCUAAAAUUUCCAAGCGAGCCCCACGUCCAGUGCCUGCACCAUGGUUAGGCAACAAUAUUGGAGAGUAUGCAACAUCAUCAAAUUGGUCAGCUGCAAUAGAGGAUGAAUACAAAGAGGGUGGUUCAACAGUGGACACAGGAAGCUUGGCAAAGGGAAAAACAUGCUCAUCAAACACGACAUCCCGAGAUAUAUAGACACGAUUGAUGGGAACAUGAAGACAUUUGUAUCCUUUAUGAAGAGAGCUAUAGCCCAGAAAGACACACUUUUUGGAGCGAAACUCAAGCUUGCGCUUGUUAUACGGGCGGAGAUGUGGCCAGCAAGCGCACCCAAAGACCUUAAAAAAGGUAUAAUCAGGUUGUUCAUUAAGGAGAACCUCAAUGGGAGUCUUCAUAUUCAAAACACGAGUGGGAGUACGGUUUAUGAGAAAACAUGCAGUGGUGAGAGCAUCACUCCAGAACCGAAACGGAACCGAUGCAUGGGCCAAAAGAGUAAGACCAGUUUCAACGAUGUGACGAUGCUUACGUUCGACAGAACCAUUCUGUUGAUGUGUAUGUGGACAUGCUAAAUGGCGAGCUAUCCCAAGCGACUGAAAGAAGGAGUUGAGGUUGCGAUAUUCGCCCCCCCCCCCCCAAUCGGACUGAACAUGAACAAUUUUGUGCUUGAGAAGGCGUUCAACAUGUUUUUGAAACUGAACAACAAUAUCAAACACAUUAGAUUUGCGUUUAAUAAGAUAAAGCCAGGUAAAGCGACUAUAAGCAUCAACGAAACUGAUAUAAUAAUUGUGACCACUGACAGAAGUCUGAGCAGGACCCCAUACAUCUGAAAACACAAGUUCUAAAGGAUGUUUCACCUCACGACUAGACUCCGAAAAAGGAAGUUGAUGACUCUUCCCCUGCUGACAAGCAUCACACACUGCUACAUCUUUAUUACUAGACACACUAGGAAGCUCAUGACGACGCAAAACAUGACGAACGAUAGGUGUGGCCGGGUGACCAAGACGAGCAUGCCACUGUGACGGAGAUACCCGAACUCCACUGAACACGCGAGCGACUGCAGGAUGCUCCAGACGAUAGAGUCCCUGGCACAACCGUCCGCUAAGAAGAAUGUCCCUCGUGCCCCGAUCCUUAAUAAAAAUAUCAAAAGGAUGAAAUUCACAAAGCACAUUAUUAUCACGUGUAAGUUUAGAAACAGAAAGAAGAUUACGUGUCACAGAGGGAACUCUAAGCACAUUACGAAGUUGAAGACUCCUAUUUGCAUGCCUAGUGAGAAUAGAUGCUUGACCAAUAUGAGAUAUAUGCAUACCUGCUCCAUUGGCAGUGUGGAUUUUGUCGGAGCCGCGGUAGGGUUUGCGAGUAUGGAGCUUGCCCAUCUCACUCGUCAGAUGCUCCGUGGCCCCAGAGUCCAUGUACCAGUGAGGAUCAACAGAGUAGGACUGAGUGUGCCCUUGCUGCUUGGUGGACACUGGGCGAUCCGCCAUGGCCACCUGACGCGCAAAGUUGCGCUUGUCCUUGCCAUCAUUGCCAAGACCCAGAAAGCUCUUCUGAAAGCGUUUGUGGCAUUUAGAGGACCAAUGCCCCUCAAUGCCACAUAGUUGGCACACGCUCUUACCACCAGCCCCCGGUAAUGUCGCGGUAACAGGGGGCUGAGGCAGGCGGCGAUGGCAGCCCCGAAGGAGUCCUGGAUGAUGAAGAAGGGCGGCCACCCUUGGUGGCGGCGUUGGCCGAGAGGGAGCCCCCACUGCCCCUGGAGCGGCGCGACUCGACCCGCUGUUCCGUGAGAAGGAGGCGGGAAAAGACCUCAUGCGCCAUCAUGGGGUUUGAGUUGCCCCGCUCGUUCAUGAUCUCGACCAAGGCGUCGUACUCCUCAUCGAGACCAUUGACAAUGAACGAGUUAAACUCGGAGUCGGUGAGGGGCUGUCCGAUGGAGGCCAACGUGUCGGCAAGGCCCUUGACCUUGUUGUAGAACUCGGUGGCCGUGGAAUCCAGCUUUUGACACUCACCAAGCUGGCGAUGAAGUGCGGAGACACAAGCCUGUGACUGCGCCGCAAACGAGCGCUCGAGGAUGGUCCAUGCCUCAUGAGACGUCUUGGCGAAGACAACAAGUCCGGCAACAGCUGGAGUGAGCGACCCCUGGAUGGAGGAGAGGUUCGCCUGGUCCUGCCCUGUCCAAACACGGUGUGCCGGAUUGUAGACCGGGCCGUGCACGCUAUCCACCAGCGCAGGGGGACAGGGGAGAGAACCGUCGACGUAGCCCAGGAGAUAAUGACUCCCGAGAAGCGGGAGAACCUGCGCACGCCAGAAGAUGUAGUUGUCUGCCGACAACUUGAUGGUGAUGAGGUUCCCGAAGUGAAACGGCGGCGGCGGCAAAGAGCCCGCGGAGUAGACUGCCGGAGGCGGAUACGCCGUAGAGGCAGAGGCCGCGGUUGCAGCCACCGUCGCAGCCGCGGGAACAGGCGAUGAGGGAGCCGAGGCCGAGGCAGUGAAACCGGCCAUCAUGGCCGACGGAGGCGCCACCAGUGCGAGAGACGGUCCCCCACUGGCCGAGGCCAUCGGCGCGAAGGACGGGGCGAUCGGCGGCUGGCCCCCACUGGUCGAGGCGAGCGACGCGUCGCGGAGAGAGGCGGGAGCCGCGUUGCUGAGGGAGGCGGACGAGGGAGCACCCGCUGUAGCCCCAGCAGGAUACGACACGAUCAGAAGCCCUGGCGACGAGGAAAAGAACGACCCGAAGCUCCUCGUCUCGAUCGGGGCGGUGGAGGCCGCGGCGGCAUCGAGGGGUCGGGACAUCAAAGCCGCAAGGGAGGCCGGCAAGAAGCUAGCCGUGGUGGAGCCAGAGGCGGCGGAGCCCGACAUGGUUGUGGCAGCGGCGGCGUGAUCUCAAGGACGGCGGCGGCGCGGCGCAGACGACAGGAACCGCGGCGGCUAGGUUAGGGUUUUAGGCGGAAGCGUGUUUUACCUAGGCUGAUACCAUGUAAGACGAUAGAAUUGGGGGAACCGGCUCAACCCUCUAGGGGUGGCCUAUCUCAUAUAUAUAAUGAAGGGGUACAAGUUACAUCAUACGUAUGUGUACGUAUACAACUACAGAGACUAUACAGUCUAACAAGGCACAAGCGACCCGUCGCUGCGGUUGUGGAAAGCCACCGUCAAUAGUCAUUAUAGGCAGAGAUUAAACCUAAAUUAAUUCUCAACACAUAUAAUCGUGUACCUUCAGAACGCUUACAUACACAAACUACAAAUUGCGGGAAAGGUGACUAGCGCGAAUUUACAAAUUGUUGGGAUCCAAAGCUCUCAAAUAAAGUGUCGUACGUGCAUAUAUGCAACUAUGCAUACAAGGCUUUAAUUUCCCCCCUGUCUAAGAAGACGUUGAAGCUGGUGGAUGGAUUCCACGAGAAAAGGCCGGUCAGACUGAAGGAAGCUAUCUACCAUCUCCGGAUUGCCGAUGGACCAGUCGACCACGAGGCACCCAAAGACGAAGCAGAACCAGUAGCCGAGGAUGAGGGCCAGGUGCGCCACGGCGAAGGCGGCCACGCCACACGCCGUCGAAAGGGAUCUGUUAUAGAGGUCCAACGCGAGCACGUAGACUAAGAGCAGAACCGGGUAGGCACAGCCGACCAGGCACGUGAACCCUCGCCUGCACCACUCGGCGGGCGCCGCCGCCACUGUGACGCCGUCGUCGGGAUUCCCAGCAUCGGCCAUGGAUGCAUAUGCGUCGUCUAUGUUCUUUCCUUCCUCCCGGUCCUCCGUAUACUACGUUGUUAUAGACAUAUAUAGUACGUUUCCAUUUCGUGCUUGAGACCGAUCCGAAGUUCCGAAGACAGCAAGGUACACCUACAGACCAAGAUAGUCAGGUAGACACGGUAUUGUUAGAGCAUCUACAAUCAGACCUUUUAAACCCGCCUCAUACGCUCGGGCGGGCCACCGGUUCACCGCCCGAUCAUAGUUUUUUGAUCUAGAUGGGCCCCUCAAACGGUCCUUAAACUCCCAGGCUGACCGGCACCCAGCAUAUCUUGGGCGCCCGGGCAAGCCUGCUAAAGGAGUCCUGGACUAUGGGGUCCUCGGAUGUCCGGGCUACUUGACGUGGGCCAGACUGAUGGGCUAUGAAGAUACAAGAUUGAAGGCUUUUCCCAGUGUCCGGAAGGAACUCUCCUUUGCGUGGAUGGCAAGCUUGGCGUUCGGAUAUAAAGAUUCCCUUCUCUGCAAACCGACUUUGUACAACCCUAGCCCCCUCCGGUGCUUAUAUAAACUGGAGGGUUUAGUUUGUAGGUAUCAAAAAAAUUAUACAGGCUAGACAUCUAAGGUUUAGCCAUUACGAUUUCGAGGUAGAUCAACUCUUGUAACCCCUAUACUCAUCAAAGUCAAUCAAGCAGGAAGUAGUGUAUUACCUCCAUUAAGAGGGCCCGAACCUGGGUAAACAUCAUGUCCCCUGCCUCAUGUUACCCUCGAUCCUUAGACGCACAGUUCGGGAGCCCCUACCUGAGAUCGGCCUGUUUUGGCACCGACACCUGCCACGUCGACCCGACAACCUGACCCCACCCCCAAAUUGUACCAAAUCGCCUCCCCCAGCUGUCGGAACCAUUUGCUCUCUCCUUUCUUCUUCCUCCUCCGCGCCGUCCGGCUCAUAACUCUGCCGCCGCGCCCGCUCCGCAGCCGUUUCCAGGCUCUCCGCCGCCAGCUCCGGAAGAGCACUCCCGUCCUUGCCGCAAGGGACGUUGUUGAUGGCCUGGAUGCCACCGUGGUACGUCCGGCAACUCUCCAGCUCCGCCUUGCGCUUGAUGUGUUCGACACAUUAACCGACCGGAAUUAUUCUCAUUUUGUUAGAUAAAUGAUGGAUUCCGAUGCUUCGUCGGACGGGGAGUAUGGACCAACGGAGCUUGACCAAAUGAUUCAAAACGAGUUCUUCGGUUCGUCGGAUUCGAAUGAAUAAGUGGACAUGAUCAUGCUCAUGAGCAUGCAAGAGAAAAUGGACCGGCAAGUGGAGGGAGUAGUUCCACGGCUCCCUCAGCUUGCAAAAACAUCUUAUUUUAUAAGGCGGAGGGAUUAGUUCACCCCUCACACGGGCGCUGGAGCAACCAUUGGAGGUGAGGGGAACCCCCAGAGGGCAUGGAGACCUGCGUUAACAUUAAUCAUGACCCAACCGGCUCGGAUGGCUCCCAAACAGCCAUAGCUACGUGAUAUGGUUCUCUCUUUCUUUCUUUUUUUUUUUGCGGGGAAUAUGGUUCUCUCUUUCACCUUAGCAUGAAGACUGAUAAUGGGAUACUCAAGACUCCGACAGAUAGUUGCCAUAAAAGAGACUCAAGCACCUAUCCAAAGAUCGCAUUAGUUUUGAGGGUGAGGUGAACAAUACGGAAAAGGUAAGUUAAAAUUUUCUAGAAAGAUGUAAUUUGACUUAAAAUUACCCACACAUAACUUGCCAGAAUGUAGAAGUAACAAUGAGUAAUAACAAUACAGACCGAAUCAAUAGAUUGAUAAAUACUCACAUCGAUCAAUCCCAUCCUUCAAUAUUUAGGAAAUGUUAUUGUGCUGGCGUUCCCCUAGAAUGCAUGAUGUGGCAAAAUAAUGAACUGGAAGAAAAUGCCAACUAAACUUGUCAUCCUUACAUAAAUUGCCAUGCAAAACGUUCGCAAUUACCCUGCUUGAGCUGGUCCAAUUAGCAUUUGCACUAGUUCCGCCAGACCACGUCGAAACUGGUGGAUGGACUCAUGGAAAGGCCGAUCGGACUGAAGGAAGAUAUCCACCGCCCCAGGUCCCUCUGGAUUGCCGACCAAUCACUCGAGCAUGAAGACGAGGAAGUACAGGAAGAAGCACCAUCCGAGCAAGAGUGCCAGGAGCGCCCCAACUACCGCCGCAACGUCCCACGCCGAAGACGAUAUUGGAUACCAAUUCUGGAGGAAGUCCAACGCGAGCGCGAUGGGCACGAAGGCGGCACAUCCAAACAUGUACGUGACCACCCACCUGCACCACUCAGGCUGGCUCCGCCGCCACCGCGCCGUCGCCGGGGUCCGCCAUGCAUUUGGCUAGCUGGCCGUGUUGAAACCUAGUACUCCAGCUGCACCCAAUGACGUGCGAUUAUAAAUAAAUCAACCCGAAUUCUUAAACGCGCAGCUGCGCUGGAUCAUCGUCUUGAGCGCACGCUCAUGUCCGUGAAUUUCCUUUCCAACAUGUGGUUAAUAAAAAGUGCAAUUAAGUCAACCCAAUCAUGGGUCCACAGAAAGGAUUAACACACAUGGAAAGCACAUGGUCACCGACGUUUCCGCGUACCAUCCCAUCCUGUGAGUUUCUCAGCAAGAUAUCACGUGCAUGCAUUUAAUGCGUGUUUUAAAUUUUUAAAAAGCUAUAACUUUUGAACCGAGUAUCAAAAUUAAGAUCCGCUUUCACUGCUAGGUUCCUGGCGACGAGCCUUCAAAACUAGAUCUCAUAGGAGUAUGUUUUGACUAACUUUUUUGGGAGCAACUUUGAAUACUACAGAAGCAACUUUAGUGCUAUAGGAAAGCAACUUCUAGUUAGUCUGUGUAGUACGAAUGCCUAUCAUAAAAAGUUCCUUCAAAGUUGAUUACCAUACUACCAGGUUAACUAGAUUCACCUUGGAAAAUACAUAGGAGAACUUGGUACCAGCGCACCCUAUAUGCCAAAAAAAUUAGUAAUUCAAAAAAAGUUCAAAAAAUCUUGAAACAUUUUUUGUAUCCAACAUGAUCAAAUAUUGUAGUCGCAUAAAAAGAUUCGUCAAAGAAAGACUUCCGUUGUAUCCUGGAUCGAAGAUUCAGCAAAAAACGCUAUAUGCAAGUACUAUUCACGCUAUACUGUCAUCAUAAACUUGUCUUUUUUGCCCAGAAGUCAAUAAGAAUCAUUUCUUGUCCAAACUUUUUAUAUGAGUAUAAUACCUAAUCAUGUUUGAUUCCAAAAAAGAUUUGGAUAUUGUUGAAUUUUUUAUGAAUUACUAAAUUUUUUGGCGCAUAUAGAGUGCGCGGGAACCCCAGAGCACCAAGUUCCCGAGUUUUCUACCACCAUAACUAAUUUUGCCUCCAAGUUGAUAGUAUUAUACGCAACUUAGUUUCCGAGGUAGGCUACCAAUAUCCUAAGUUGCGUGCCAUGACUAACGAGUAGUUUAACAUCAUCCUAAGUUGCCCAUAUAUGGAAGGAUUCAUCCACUAUAGUACGUUGAUCUUUCACGAACUCGUCCGAACAACCCUAUGAACCCAACGAUGACAUAAGAUGCAUUAAUUUCAUUACAAGAAAAUUCCAAAAGGCUAUAACUUUCAAACCGCGUGUUGGAAUUAUGAUCCGCUUUCGUCGUUGGGUUUGAUGCUUUUUAGAGCAACUUUGAUGCUAGAUGAGGCAACUUUAGUGCUAAACUGGAGCAAAUUUGAUGCUAGAUGAAGUGCAUUGUGUGUAUUAGUGAUUCACCUACUAGCCUAUUAAUAGUUGUGUGCAAUAGUCUAAUAGAUGGUUACCAUGGUUGCUAAGUUGCAUACAUCAAAAACUAAGUUGUCGAUAGUUUAGUUGCCUACAGUACUAUGAAAGUUGCUUACCGUAGAGUGGAAAAUUGCCUAACAUGGCUUCUAAAUUGCCUGCCUCAGAAACCAAGUUGCGUAUAUUGCUACGAAGUUGCCUACACACCCUAGUUGCCUAAAAUAGUAUGAAAGUUGUCCAUCAAGGGACCUAAGUUGCCUACAAUGCUGAAAGGUUUUUGCGGGAUAUAUGUUGUCUAUCAUGAUUCCAAAUUUUGAAACUAUGUGGAGAUGGAUGGUGUGAUAGCCUUAUUCUUUCCUUUUCUGGGGGAGUGCGCGUGGGUGUUGGCAAGCCAAGUUGUGGGUGUUGGUUGUUGCAUAAGUAGUGACAGAUGAUAAGUUGCACACAGGGUGAUGAGAGGUUUCAUAGGGGCGGAUCAGACAGUUGCCCACAAGCCUACACAAGUUGUUCAUAAUUUUUGCAUGAGCUGCCCGUGAAAAUUAUUGAAAUCUCCAGAUAUAAUGAUGGAAAACAGACAUGAGUUGCUUGUUGAAUGCACUGGAGUUGCACAAAAACACCCCAAAAGUUGCUCACUUUUGUGUAUGAUAUUCAGGUUGCAUAACGAUCUUAAAAUGCCAGUCAUCCGAGCAUCACCGAUAGGUAACUUCAUAGUGUUUAAGACAACUUAGGAAAAACACAAUGAUAAGCAGCUUCACAAUUGUAGGCAACUAAUUUGCAAAGUCAGACAACUAAGCAGUAAUGAUAGGUAACUAAUUAUCAAUAGCAGGUAAUUGGACAUCAAUGGUAGGUCAAUUUCAUAAUAUUGUAGGCAAUUGGGCAUCACUGAUAGGCAACUAAAUAUCCAUGGUAGGCAACCGAGCAACCAUGAUAGGCCAGUUGUGAUAAUUUUAUCAAAAUUUAUUGAUACACAUAGUGCAAUGAAGUUACUUAUAUGUAGCACUAAAGGUGCCUCAUAUUUUUGUGUUAUUUUCUCAGUUUUACACAAACCAACCUAAUAGAUAGUCCUACUAGGCAAAAAAGUGAAGUUGUUUUACAAUAGCACUAAAGUUGCCUCUACCGUACCCAAAGUUGACUCGAAAAAAGGUUCGUCGAAACCUAUCUAUAUGGGAUCUAGUUUUGAAGAACUCGUCGCGAGAAACCCAGCUGUGAAAGCGAAAUUAGAUUUUGAUGCUUAAAUCAAAAGUUAUAGCUGUUUAAAGUUUUUAGACCUUCAAAUAAAUAUACGUGGGAUAAGAUUUCAUUUUUGAUGGGCUGCGUCGGGCGCGCUAGCAGUUUUUUCCAUUUUUGAAAGAGCGCUCGAUUCCACCAACGAGCGCUCGGCCACCUGCUAGGCACGUGCGUAAAUCAAAUCAAGCGCGUACGUGCAACCGUGGACACGUACUUAAAUCAAAUCUGGAUAGAGUCGUUAACACAUACGACACUAUCUAAAGCGUCGAUCGAUGGCCGACGUUGUCCAGCUGAACAAUCCCGACGAGGCCGGCGGCGCCAUCAUAGAGGCGGUGGUAGCGGAACCGAACGAGUGCGGCAGGCUUGUGUUCAUCUGCGUGGUGGGUUUCUCCUUCCUCGUGCUCGGCGUCGUCUCCGGGCUCGCCGACUAUUUGUUCCACCAGUACGUGAUAUCUUGUCAUACUGUGGUGGGCGUGUUGCCGGACUUCCCCGCGGCCUUCACCAUCGUCCCGGCCAUGUUCUGACUCGGCGCCGUCUUCGAAGCUCUCGUGGUCGAGUGGUGCGCCGGCAACGCGGAGGGACGACGGCUGGUGGACGUGUUGAUCCAGUCCAACGGAUGGUUGUAUCUCGAGACCAUCGAUCAAGUUCUGCAACGUGUAUUUUUCAAUGAAGGGUAAUACGUUGGUAUUAAAGGUCUGUUCGGAGCCCCUCCGCUCCGCGAGGCUGCUCCCGGAGCUGACGGAGUUCUAGUUAAAAAGUGCGGAGCCAGCGAAAAGGUACUCCCGAGAUUCUUAAUUUCGACGGAGCGGGUGGACCGCCGAACAGCGCCUAAGUACGUAGAUUUCAAGUAAUACCUGGCUUCUUCAACAAGUGUUCUAUGACCUUGGUUGUUUCCGGAUUGAUAUUUUAUUCAUCGGAAUUGCUAAAUCACAUCUAGAUGAAAUUUAGUGAUAUCUUAUCUAAGUUUCAGUUCGUCCGAUUUAUUUGUGCUAUAAAUCUCGUGCAACGUUUGAUCGCCGGUUUAUUUGCCGGCGCGCCGUCGCUCCGCAUUUCUCGUUUCACUCUUUUUCUACUGGCCUGGUAUAGUCGUCGUACCAUAUCACAAAGUGGUGGGCAGGCCUGGUGGUGGGCCGUAGUUUUGUUUAUUUUUGUUUCCUCUGGACUGUUGAGAAUAGGAAGCUUCAACCGACGCCAUAUAUGGACAAUAGGAAGCUUCAACCCACGCCAUAUAACCAAGGAUCGCUUGUGCUUUGACUAUAUUGCACUCUCUCUCUCGCAUCUUCCAUUCCUUUUUAGCGCCUUUUCUUGUUUUUAGUUCUCCUAAAAGAAAACUUAUCUACACUCCAAGUUCAUGUCAACCAACAAACUACAUUAUGGCACAUAAGAUCCUGAAAACAUAUAGAUAACCUAGCACUCCACUGGUUCUGAAGAUGGCCAUGUCCUUGCUUUGACAGCAGGAACUAACAUGAGAAUCACCAACACCGCUCGUUUACUCUCUCUGAUGUAGCCUUUUGGGGGGUGCCUAGCUAGUUGAACGCAUUGAGUAUGUACUUCAAGCGCUGUUGUUUUCUGCACUCCUUGUAAUUCCUCGGUGCCAAGAAUCUGCAGAAUUUGAAGAUUUGUGCACAUUAAUUGAAGCCAACAGACUCGCCCGUUCAAGCAAGCCUGCUCGGCUACAAUGUGUCAAUACCUGGACAUAAUUGGGGCCAUGCGAAAAAUAUGGCGAUCACUGCGACUAAGAGGAACAACCAUUGUUUUAAGUGAGUGGAUAAUAACAAGGUCUUCAAUGAAGUCAGCUUGUUCGUCCACUGCAUCCAGAAAGAAACUAUUAAAUCAUGUAGGGAUCCCUAAUUAUGUGAAAUUUAAAGUGAAGAAUAGUAACCUAAUAUGUUAAAUUUAAAGAAAAUUAUUACAUGAGACAGUUCACGAGCUUCGUUCCAGAAAAAUGAACGGUGUUAUUUUUAAAAGAGUAAUGCUACACACACGUAUUUUUACAAGGGUUUUACGAAGUGGUUGAGAUUUGGCACAUUGUGAUUGGUUUAAGGAGGUGGGACGGUCCCCACCCACCUGAAAAUCAGGGGGUGUGAAGAGAAUUAAGGGAAUGUCGCCCGUAAUACUCCGUAACGAGCCCGUUGAUUUAGCAUUUUCGUUUAUAAAAAUAGACACAUAAAAGCUUAUGAAACUAGCACACCUUAUAUUUCAAAACGGAAGGAGUAUUUAUUACUCCCUCGGUCUCAAAAUAAUUGUUCUAGAUUUGUCUAGUUACGGAUGUACUGGUAUUGAAGCAUUGUAGCCAAGACGAAUCAUUGUAUUAAGAAGAGUGGCAAAGGAGCCGGGUACAAUGCCUUUCGACCAUAACAGACGCCAAUCACUAGGAAUAGUAACCACACCCACCACACGUACUACGACACGUGUUCCACCUAGUCCAACCUCAUGCUAGUGACGAUGUGGCAGGACACAGAGCACGAAGCCGCAUGACAUCAAAUCCCAACGACCUCUACAACAAGAGCAUGACUCGAGGACAACAUAUACCAAUGUACCACUACCCAUUGUGCCAACAGAAAGUCGGCAAGUGGACGGCAUGGCCUUGGUAGACCUUGAGAAGGCGUCGUCAAGAGAGCGCCGACGAUGGUGUACAUUGUGCCCUGGGGACUCGCACCCAGAGCAGUAGCCGGCACCGACUCAAGCAACACCACCGGGACUCCUCGAGCAACCAAGCCGACGCCUUCAAGAAGAGAACUACGCGAGGACGCCACCGCCACCUGGUUCGGAGACUAGACAAAGGGUUUCCCCCAAGCACGAGGGAGGGAGGCAUAUCAGGGCCAAAACAAUAUCUCCAAUGAGGGGACGACACCUGCGGGCGUCGCCGUUGUCAGCCUCGGUCAUCGUGAGCAGGCAUUUCUCCCUACCCAAUGUCUAUCGGAGUUGCCUAAGCAGACCAACCAUUAGAGCCGGAGGAGAUGUGUGUCGUAGCACAACAGCCACCACCACCAAGCUAGCCACAUCUGAAACAGGGCACACACAACCCCAUCCGGAUCGAUCAACACCACCACCGACGCGCCGAAGCACGCCACCAUGAGAUCAGGGCGUCAUGGCUCGAAUCCAUUCCAUCCACCACCGGAGCACCUCCAGGUCCUACGCCAUGGCCAGCUCCAACCACCAGCCACCCCACCACCAUUCCCUCCAGAGGGUAUGCCCGCAUGAGAGGGCGCCACCAACGCUUCCUGGCCAACAUCGCCGGAGCCAGGUCAUGACCGGGAAGCCGUUUGAGCGCCAAAAAGUGGGAAGUAGGGCCCCAGAUCUAGCCGUCGCAUGGACACCAUCAACCGCCGCCCAGGGUCGGCCCUCCAACACAAAGGGACGCGGCCGCGCCAGCAGCACCGAUGGUCGGACAGCCGCGCACCACUGGCCGUCGGACCACCGCACACCAUCGGGUCGCGCCACACCACCGACCACCGCGGGAUCUGUUGAGGAGUGGACGCCAACCGAAGGAAGACGCCCCGCCGCCACCUUCCUAGGGUACGCGCGGCUUCGCCGAUGUCCCCUCUAGAGGCUGCGCGGCAGGGAGGAGGGGGAUAGGAGGACCUAGCGGAUCUGUAGAGUUUUCCCGUGUCGCCAGACGAGGGCAACGAUGUGAUAAAUCACCGGUGUGCAUUUAGCCACCCCUACUAACAUCGAGGAUAUGUUCUAUAAGAUCAUCUCCAAAGAAGACCCUCAAAACUUCGGUAUAUGUUCGACCAGACAUUUUUGUUCACUUUUGCAAUCCAAUGAAGACCCUUAUCGGUCAUGAAGUGCUCCGGACUUCCAUUUUGCGGCAAAACCUAGACAAACAUGGGGGAGCUAUACCAGUGUUCAGACAUUCAUUUGACCAAUAAAAAGCCACCACAUGGUCCUCCACUCUUUUCUCUAUCCACACAUGCAUGGUCUCCGCUUCUCUCUUUCUCCUCCGAAACAGAAAAAUAACGAUUACUUUGUGAAUAGAUUUGGAUGGCUCACUCUGGCAUCAUGUCCGCGGACCAUAUCCAGACAUAUACCGGAAACAUUUGCGAGUCAUCCUUGGAGAUGCCCUAACUAGCUUUUAGAAAUAGAAAAUCAAUCACGCUAGAAAUUCUUGACCGACAAGUGUUCCAGACCGGACGAUGGUGGCACUGUGGUGUCGUUUCUCUCUUGGGAGCAUCGUUUUGUGGAGCAGCACUGGAAGUCAGAGGCAGGAGGUGGAGCGGCUUCGUGUUUCACGGAGGUUCGGUGGAGAUGUUAAGUCAUGCCUGACCGACAGGUGCUACGCUCGAUCAUGCCUGGUCGGCAGGUGCUACGCACGACAAAUCCUCCAAAGGCUUCAGGCUGUGUCGGCUGGUGGUACUUGGCAGCAUGGCGCUGAGGUGUAUCAGUGGCGACUGCGACGUGUUGAGCUGUUUGCGCGCAGGGAGGAGGUGACGUUGGGUGCCGUGGUGGCGUCGACGAUAGCUGGACCGAGCAAGGUUGAUGCAUCAGUACAGUUCUGAAGAUGGAGCGGUGGCAGUAGGCGGCGGCGGCCUCUGAGAGCACGCCGGACCAGUGUGUGCCCCAGACCCAGCAAGUGGCUAGGCUGGGGUCUCAGGUUUUAGAUGUUAUGCUUGGCUGCGAUGUCUGUUUGGUAUUAGGCCCAGGCUAUCUGCGCCCCUUCAUCAACUGGAUAGGUGUAGCGACAGUUUGUUGCUUAGACGGCGGCUUUAGUCUUACUGUUGUAUGACCUUGUAAGGUCUUGCGAGAAUAAUUAAUAAAGUGAUUGUAUGCAUCGCCCAGAUGCAAAGGCCGGGGGCCAUCCUUCUUUUCUAAAAAAAACGCUAGAAAUUCUUGGUGGUUGCAUCAUCCAUAAGUGGUCUUUUUGGUUGUGCAGAAAUGAACUCAUAGUUUACAAUAAGAAUGUUUCUAACCCAAUGCAGGUAAUUUGCAUGGCGUCCUUCUUCGCUGUGCUGCGUUCAUGGCGUCUGCUGCAGCACAAAUGCCACAGGGAUUUGGUAUAGCGAGCCUGCUGCGGGCUGGAUAUAGUAGCUCCCAAAGUCCUAUAGCACAGUCAACGCAGAAUACUAAUUUAAAAAAGCUAUUUUUUUGACGAAAAUCCUAAAUGUUUUCUACAAAACUUCACAUAAUUUGGUUACUAUUAUUUUCUGUAAAUUCCUGGUGGUGCAAGCACAUGUGUUAAUCAUUUCAGGUUAUGGCAGGGGACAUGAACAUAAGGCUGGUCAUGGUGAAAAAGGGAUGAUCUGUGGGAGCAGAGAAUUUGUACCUGACCUAUUGGUGAACUUUUUGCAACACCAAUGUUACUUAGUUCAUUAACAAUCUGGGCUAUUGUAGGCCUUCGUUUUCGGUCAGCCUCCACACAUUUUAACGCUAUUUCGAUGCAUGUCCUCACUUCUUCAAAUACAUGGGCCCACAUUGUUGCCUGCAGCCUCACUCGCCAUUUUUCACAAACCUACAUAAUUGAAACAUAAUGCUAAGAAGUAUGCACGAAUAGGGGUAAGGUACAAUAAUGUUUUGUGAAAAAAGGUUAUAUGUGGAAUCGGAUACUAUCCCUUACAUGCUUAAUAAAUUCUUUCCGAGGGGUGCGUGGAUAAUUGGAGUAGCCCUCCUUUCCUGCCAUUAUUUGUAUCAUUAUGACCCCAAGACUAAAUACAUCAAACUUUUGACUGAUAACUUGUCCGUCGAUGUAUUCUGGUGGCAUGUAUCCACUGCAUUUCAUUAAAUCAAUUAUUUUUCUAAAAGUUCACGGAAAGAAGCUUAUUAAUUAUUUUUAGUUAUUGACUUACAAUGUUCCUUUAAUAUGGGAUGCCGUCAUAUAGGUUUGCAUUGAACCAAAGAGUCUUGACAAACCAAAAUCACCAAUUUUUGCCACCAUAUCUUUGUCCAACAAAAUAUUUGCCGGUUUUAAGUCCAGAUGGAAAAUGUGAGUAUUAUGAAGGCAAUGUAAACCGUCAAUAGUUCCUUUUAUUAUGUUGUAACAUUUUUCCCAAUCAAGUCUGCAGGGUUCAUCUGUAGAAGUAAAUAGAAAGUAUAUUAGUUUACCAUGUAAAUAAAAGGUAUAUUAUAUUAUAAAAUGAAUUUAAAAACCUAGUCCACCGUACCACCCUAUUUUCCAUCCUAUUGCUGCAACCUAAUAGUUCCAUUAGUUCCCUCAAUCCUAACCUCUAUCUCCUUUAUUUUUGGUUACUACCUCAACAUCUGGCCCAAGCAGCAGAUAACGAAUCAUACCUGAAAGUUGAUAUUCAAGGCUUCCACCCUGCAUGUAUUCCAAACAAAUGGCUCUUUUGACCAUAGUAGCAUAUACAAGUUCUCCGUUGUACUCAACAAGUAUCUGUGAUUUAUGAUAGCAGUAGCCAACCAACCUUACGAUAUUUUUGUGUUGGACCCUCAUUAGAUUAUCAAGCUCGUUCUUAAACUGCUCAUCCUCAAUCCAUGGCAUUGAAUUUGAAUGAAGUCUCUUAACAGCAACCUCUUCUCCAUUGUCCUGCACUCCCUGUUACAAGUAUCAGAUUUGAUGGCAACUUCAUUAUUGUAGUUAAAAGUAGAGUUCAUUGGAAAGUUAGAAGCUGAAAUAAUAUCCAUACCUUGUAAAUAGUUCCAUAUCCACCACGGCCAACUAUGUUUUGCUCAGAAAAAUUAUCUGUAAUAUGUUCUAAGGACUCAAAUGAGCACUCAACAAUCUUAUUCAGCUCUUCUAUGACCUUAUUUAUAGUAGGCCUCUUCACUCGAUCGGACUCCACACAUUUUAGAGCAAUUUUGAUGCAUGUUCUAAUUUCACGCGAAGUAUUCUUUGAUAUUAUGGCAUGCAUCCUACUUACCCACAAUUCAUAUACCUGCAGGAUUGAAACACAAUUACUUGGCGUGCAUGUUUAGAUAUAUGGCACAACCUAAUAUUUUUGAAAAUUCAUAGAUUUCAAUAUAGAGUUUGUUCUUACAUGCUCAAUAAAUUCUUCGGGAGGAAUAUCUGCACAUUUGGUGUAGCUUUGCUUUCCUACCAUUAUUUGCAAGAUUAUAACGCCCACACUGAAUACAUCAAACUUUGGUGAGAUUUUCCCUUGACUGAUGUACUCUGGUGGCAUGUAUACACUGCAUAGUACAAAAGGAAUUUAUUUUCACAAUACGUUCAUAUAAUAAUCUAAUUACUGCACAUGGUUGUUAACUUACCUUGUACCCGUAACUUCUGAUGAGUCAAAGGUUUUUAUUGAAUCAAAGAGUUUAGAGAAACCAAAACCCCCAAUUUUGGGCAUCAUGUCCUUAUCCAGCAAAAUUUUUGUAGGUUUUAGUUCCAGAUGGUAAAUAGGAUACUCAAAUCCUUCAUGGAGGUAACGUAAACCCUGACAUAUCCCCUUAAUUAUUUUGUAACAUGUGUGCCAAACAAGCGCACAUGGUUCAUCUGCAGAAAUAAAAAAAGUGCAUUACCAAGAUGUGACGUCUAGGGAACAUUGUGCUUACAUGCAAAAAUGAUUUAGUAAGUAGAGCAUAAUCAUACUAGAAAGAUGCUUGUCAAGACUUCCUCCGUGCAAGUAUUCGGAGCAUAAAGCUCUUUCUUCCACCCUAGCAGAAACAUGUUCUCCGUUGUGCUCAACAGGCACUUCUGUUGUAUGGCAGCAGUAGCCAACUAACCAUAUGGUAUUUUGAUGUCGGACCCUCAUAAGAUUAUUAAACUCAUUUUUAAAUUCCUCGUCAUCAAGUCCUGGCAUGAGAUGAAGCUUCUUCACAGCAAUCCAUUCCCCAUUGUCCUGCAUUCCCUGUUAAAACACAACUAUUAAGUCACUAUAUGAUGACAGACAGUAUUGUUGUUGAGCAUUUAAUAUUAUAAAUGAGAAAAAUGGAUCAAAACUGUUCUUUUGCCUCCUUUUCGCCCGUGGAUCUGAUUGGAAAGAUGUAUCAAGAGAGGCAAUUAGUUUUCACCCCUGGACUUCCUUUUUUCAUGAGGGCGUCGGAGAUAUAGAUGUGUGGUGGGGCAUGGGGGCGCGACUUUGUAUAGGUAGUGGACAUGGUUUGGCUCUGGCGUUGUCAGUGAAGGGGAAUGUGGUCUCGGAGUUCCAGUACAUGUUCGGCUUAGUGUGCUGCUGGUGUGCCAGGUGAGGUCGCACCGAUUGCCGGAGAAAGGAUCAAAGCUGACUUCAAUUUCCACCGAACCACACAUAAGGAAUGGAGUGUCCACUAGUGUGUGAUAAAUGAUGCCGAUGGGGAUUGAUCUUAUGCUGGUUGUAAUGGGUUGUAUCAUAUACUAGUAUCAUGCAUGGAUCCGGUGCUUGAAUCCGGCAUGAGGCGCGUCAUCGCUCGCCGAAGGCGGUGCGAUCCGUCUGUCGCCCGAACACCGUGGUGGAGGCGCAGCCCCUUCGUUGACGCGCAGACUCGAAGGCCAUCCGUGGCCCUUCUGCCGAGGGUAUGGCGCCGUGUGCCCUCCAUGCGGAAGCAAAGGGUGCGAGAGGUCGUGGCAGCCCUCAUGGCAGAUGCCGAAGAGGCGGAGUCGCACUCUCCGGCGCCGGUACGGGUGGCCGCCAAACCCCGGCGCCGCAAUCAUGUCGUGGUGGACGUGUCAGGAUCUGACCAUGGCGGAUCCAUCGUCGACCUCACACCGACCAUGGCAAUCGCCCGUUUCCUCUGGGUUUUUUACGCGAAGGUUUUGUAGUUCAUCAGGACCUCGUCCUCAUCCGAGGACUCUUCCCUAUAUCUGUUCCUGCCAACGAGGAGGGCUUCGCCUCACUUAGCAAUCUGUCUCAUCACCCAACUGUUGCGAAGACUGUGGGUUGGGCUGGUAUUUAGCAGAACGGCGUGGAUAGGGCAUGGCUUAUCCAGCAGACCGUCAAGGGCGAUCUUGGAUCCUACAGGCAGCUUCCUCUUUUUUCGAAGUCGGUUGUCCGAUGAUGGCAGUGUGCGGUGUUCGCGCCAAAGUGUGAGUCUAUCAUGGUUUAUAUUUUUGUCACAGAUUCGAUCUCUUUGCUUUUCCCGGGCCAGCCAGGUGUCUUCAAUGGUGCAAAAUCUUGACACCAGAUCAGAUAGCUCAAAGAACAUUUGGAUGCAUCGGCGGGUGAGGGCAUUUGGAACGCCUUUAUCCUUGCAUCCAUGUUGAAAAGCUGCUAUUAUGUCUGAAUCCAGGUAGUCCGGUAUUUUGUUCUUGACGAAUAGGAACCUGGCACAGAAUUGCCUGAUUGAUUCGUCAGGUAGUUGUUGCACAUAGGCUAUGUCCCAGACAUCAGAUGGGCCCAAAUUAUCCGGGCAGUAUCCGAUGUGGGGUGGGUGGGAUCAAAAUUUCGACCCCUUUGACCGCGGGCUUGAUGCUCUGAAGUCUUUAUCCUGUGAAGGAUACUCAUAUGCCGGAUCGGCCGAGCUGAUUUUAAGACAAACUCUUUGGCGAUUUUUGGCCGGUCGCUGCCAUGGUCGCUUUCCAGGUAGUACCAUAGCUAGCCCUUCAUCCUUUAUGGGGGAUUCAGCCGGGACAGAUGGAGAGGUGAAAGUUUCCUGGGUUGCUAGCUCGUUGCUGCCUUGCUCGUAAGGGAGAAGGUGCGAUCUAGUAAUAGAGGGUCCGAGCAUGGGGAUAGCACCUUGAAGGUUGGGGGCGGCGACCGACGAUCCCAUUGGUCCUUUUGUCACCGUGCAGCGAAACUCUCAAUGAAAGCACCAAUGUCAGUAGGGGGUCCCGAGCUGCGGAUCUCGGAUCGAUGGUACUAGCUAGGAGAAAAGGGACACGGUGUUUACCCAGGUUUAGGCCCUCUCGAAGAGGUAAUACCCUACGUCAUGCUUUUGAUUGUAUUGAUGGUUGUGUAUCGAGUACAAUCUUGAUCUACCUCGAGAUCGUAAGCUAUGUUCUAACUCUAAGGCUAGUUAAAUGAGAUGAUGAUUCCCCUCUACAGGCUAAAACCAUUGGCUUAUAUACACGCCAGAGGGGCAACUAGGGUUACAUAGUCGGUUGUUGAUCUAGGGAUGCGUAUGGCGGUGACCGGAGAUCUCCUUGGAGCACACGUCAAUUCUUCUGCAGAGGUUGUCUUGAUCGCAUCAUGGUACGAGGCUUUCGGAGUCCUUCCUUACGAGAACAAGGGUCCUCAGGCCCGACCCGAGAACUAUGGGCUGAUUAGGUUGGUACCCCCUAGUCGAGGACAAUGUCAAGCAUCCUCCCGCAUCCGUGUGCGCAGACUCGUCCUCCCUGUACGCGGAUGAAUGCAGAGGAAAUUUGUAGGUUGCUGUUGGAGAUGACCUAACCCAACCUUUGACCAGGGAUCCCAUGAAUUAGGACCUGUGAAGAACAAGCUAUUGAUUAACUAAGGAGAGUAAUAUAUGUGACCGUCUCUAGAUGUGACCGUCUCACAGCUGUAAGAUAGGUUAGCAACAUGCCUUAAUGUGUUUCUAUUGGCUAUGACUAGCAAAGAUGUUGUCCUAUAGAGCAGUCUUGAAAGAGCACACAUAUAUGAGCUCUGAUUGUGAACAACGCGGUCCAUGAGACUUGGGUGAUCUCUAGUAAGCUCGUGAAGAGACCAGGGAGUAGGGAGUAUGACGUAUACGCUCCAAACCGCAGGGUACCUAUUUGUAGCCAGGUACUCGUUAAGACUUUGAGUGAAACAUGGUCACACAAAACUAGCAAUCCAAGGCAUAAUCCAUUGUUAAGUUGUGGAUGGAUGUAACCAAAAGCUCUAGGAAGAAGUUCAACUUAACAGUCUCUGCUGAAAUACUAGUAUAUUAAACAAGUAACGAGAAAAGGCAAAUCUCUAAAUGAGAAUUUUGAGAUCUGGUGGGGGUUGUUAGAAAAUGGGCUUGGCCCAUUAGCAAUUUCUGAAAUCACAAAGCCCAUGAAUAAAAUGGCAAGAGAUGAUGCUAACGUUUAGUCUCAUACCGCUAGUUGAGGAAGUGUUAUACCUCUUUAUAUAGUGUGUUCUCUUCAUCAGUCUAAGUGGUGUGUUGAGGAGAGAAAUAUGAGACCACACGACCGCGCUCGCCAGGCCGGGGCGGCGGGCACACGCGACAUGCACAUGAAUGGUUCGCUGAAAUCCAUUCCAUUGUCUUGCAGGGGCACAACUACGCCUCUGGUCCUAUUAUAAAUACUGCUGCCGGCCGCAGCCAAAGACACGUCGAAAACACCUAGGAUUUUGCCUCAUCUCGCAACUUGCGUGUGGGAAGCGCUUCAUCAUCACGGAUCGUCUUCUGUCCAAGUCAGGUAGGGCUACUUAUUGUCGCCUCCAUCGCCGUCAACAACAGAUCAUCUACGAUCAACAUCGUCGCUCGUGCAAGAACUAAUGAACAGUACGACCUUCAUGAUAUGUUCGUGUCUCUUUCUGAAGUUGCUAUUUCGUGUGUGAUGCUGGUAUGCAUGCUUUGUUGUUCAUCUAGUUUAUUAGAUUGUUGCAUACUCCCUCCGUUUCUUUUUACUCAGCAUAUAAAGUUUGGUCAAAGUCAAAAUACAUAAAGUUUGACCAAAUUUAUAUUAAAAAAUAUGAACAUCUAUAAUACUAGAACUAUAUAGUAUGAAAAUAAAUUUUUUUGUGCAUCUGAUAAUAUUGAUUUCAUAUUGUGAAUGAUGAUAUUUUUUUAAAUAAAGUUAGUCAAACUUUACAAAGCUUGACUUUGACCAAACCUUAUAUGCAGACUAAAAAAACGGAGGGAGUACUAAUUUAUGUUCUAGUUAUGAAUUAUUUACUGGUUUUAAUCAUGAGCAUGCCUAAUAUUCCAACAAGCCCGCCCAGUCUGGCUCAGCUGUCCCAUAUUUGGGACAUCAAACUCCCCAGGAAGAUACGUAUUUUUAUUUGGCAGUUGGUGCGAGGGCCGGUGCCGGUCCCCUCCGGGGAGCAGGUUCGCAAGCGAAAUGACCUCUAAUAUCUUGAACUUCUUUGAAAUUUUCUCAUCCACUAGUAAUACUAAUGGCCACCGUUUACACUGGCUGGCCUUUGGAGCGAUGGCCUGGACUCUUUGGACCAUUCAAAACAAGCCUGUUAUUGAGGCACUUCCACUUGUGCACCAGUCUAAUAAAGUUUAUAAACUCUGUGGGUUUUUGGAGCAGUGGAGGUGCCUAGCCAUCAGCUGGAGCACAACGGCAUCGAUGUAUCACUUCAGGUUUCUGCUCCUUGGCGCAUCGUCGAUCGCCACAACUAUCUCAUGCUCCUCUGGAGCCUGAUUGGGCUUGUAUCAUGUGGAUGUGGAUUUGGCGCUUUGGGGGACAUGUGCUAGGGUGUAUGUGCGACUUGUUCAGAUCAUGACUUCGAACAAAUAUACUACUCCCUCCGUUCCAAAUUACUCGUCGCUGAAAUGGAUGUAUCUAGAACUAAAAUACAUCUAGAUACAUCCAUACGUGUGACAAGUAAUUCGGAACAGAGGGAGUAACAUUUUAUUAAUUAAGUAUCUCCAUGUUCCAUGGUUGUGCUGUGGGGGCUGUGGCCCACAGUGUAAAUCUCUUAUUUUCCAUGUUUCUUUCUUUUGUUUUUGAGAUUUGUAUGGAUUUUGGAUGCCUAUGGUUGUGCGUUAUUAUCUACAAGCUUCGUCCUGAAUUACUUGGCACUCAAAUGAAUAUAAGUGAUUCAGGACGAGGGCGGAAUGUGAGCCAUUCUCGUCAAAAUAAAGAUGCAAGAGUAGUAAUAAUAACAUAGUGCGUACUAGUACCUUGUAAACUACUCCGUGCCGACCACGACCAAUAAUGAGCUCCCCGGAGAAACCGUUUGUGAUACGGUUCAAGAACCCGACUGUAAACUCGUGCGGCGGCGGCGGACCGCUUUCGGCCUUCUUGUCGCCGUCUUUCUUCUUCUCCUCCUUGGCGGGCCAAGGCCCGACGGAGACUAACUGUGCGGUUGGAAACAACUUCCGCAGCACGCGCACGACGGCAACGGGGUCGACGGUGCCGACAACCGUGAUCUUCUCAUCCCUCAUAUCCACAGCCAUCUGAUCGAUACCUGAGGUUCGUACGUUGCUGUUGGCGUCAGAAACGAAUUCACGAACAGAUCUGGAAAAUUAAGGAGGGAAAAGCCUGAAGAAGGGAAGAUGAGUGGUAGUGCAUGCCAUGGACAGUGGAGAGUGCUCUGAGCGCCCUGUUCCGCUGUUUGCGGUAGUGGAUGUCCAGCUUCAGCACGAUCUUCUGCGAUCCUCAGAGAAAGAAACGACAUGAUUAAGUAACAGAUGGUCUGCAAAUCAAAUCAGUAUAUAGAGAGAGGAUCAGCAGGAGUUGACAGCUGUAAUCUCACCUUCAUCGCGGCCGGCGAUCAAAUCAAACCAACACCUGCUCCAGUAGAUCAAGAGAGAGGGGGAGAGAGAGGAUGAAAGGCAAAAUGGAGAGAUCCUGCCUGAGUCGCCCGAAUGGGGAAAACAACCAGAUCCUGCUCCAGUAGAAGGAGUCAAUUAUUGCGGAUGAAAUAUCUUGCUAAGCAUCAUCACACAUCGGUGUCCAUUGAAGAGCACCAUUAUUGUCCUCUCACACUAUGUUGUCGGGCCCGGUGUCAGUCGGAGGAGGCCAAUUUUGAUGUUUUCGUGCUUUUCUUUUACGAAAUCUGGCUUAACUUUUUUUUCCAACCGCAAAAAAAAAGUUAAGCUAGAUUUGACCCUGGUUCAAAAAAACUUGAGGAUCUGACCCUUUUCGAACCAGGGACCGCAAAAAAAAGAAGGUUAAGCCAGAUUUGACUUGAUCCUUUUACGAACCAAGGACCGCAAAAAAAGAAAAUUAAGCCAGAUUUGACUUGAUCCUUUUUCAAACCAGGGACCGCAAAAAAAAGUUAAGCCAGAUUUAACCCUGGUUUGAAUUUUUUUCAAGGAUAUAUGAUAUUUUUCUACCGCCGGUGUCGAUGGGGUAGGGUAUAACUACCUGCACCGAGGUUCCUGACGGUAGGCAACUUAUCCACGUCAGUGCAGUGCAACCCUACCGCCAAGGUGCCUGGUGGUAGGCGUGUACAAGCACUGUUUUGAUACUUAGAAUUUCUUUUACGAUAGGGCGUGCAACCCUACCGUCAAGGGCCUCGGCGGUAGGCAGGUAUACCCUACCGCCAUCGACCCCGGUGGUAGAAAAAGGGUCAGAUCCCAAAAAAAAAAUCGAACCAAAGUCAGAUCCCGAAAAAAAUUCGAACCAAGAUCAGAUCUGGCUUGUCAAAACACCAAAUUUUGCCGUCGGAGGAGACCACACCAGACCUAUUUCCGGUGUUGGUGCUAAGCUGUUUUCUUAGGCCAUCUCCAACGCAGACCCUCGAACUGCUCGCAACUGUCCAGACCACGCGGUCCGGAUGCGGUUUGCCUUCCAACACUGACCUGUAUCGUUUCGCCGAGCGGUCUAGACGUAUUUUUUCGGCAAGCCCGAGACAAACAGGGGGCUUUUGGGGAGUCCGGGUAGCAGCCACGUAGGCCUCCAACACCCCCAGUCUACUCAAAACCCUUCCUGGACCCCGUGCCUCCAUCCAUCCCAUUUUCUCUCCUUUCUUCUUUCUCUCUUGCCUUUAUCGCCGCUCCACCACUUCGGCCGUCACGCCGCACCCCUGCCAGAACUCUACGUCUCCGGCACCUCAAGCGUUUCAGUCAGGCUCCACCCCACUUCUCCUUCAUCACCGUUCAUCCCCUCUUCUCCGACCGCCUCGCCAGCUACCAACUGCUACUGCUAUACUCACCAUGCCCGGCAACUGUUCGAUGAAUUGCCAGAGCUAAAAAAGUUGUUCCUUCUUCCUUCAAGCAAUGGAUUCCGAUUUGGAGUAAAUAUACGAUUAUUAUGUUGAGUCGUCUGACAAGGAGGACUACACGGAUAAGACGACGAUGAUGUAGGCGGUCACUUCAAGACGCGGAGCAUGCGGAGGAGCAUGAUCUCAAUUUCAAGGGAUUUAUCAAGGGUCAUCGAGUGCUCAACCGCAACAGAGUGUGCAGCCAUUUGACACUGAUGUACAACUACUUUGCCCCCAGAUGCACUCUUCGCUGACCAUUUUCGCCCGUGUUUUCGGAUGCGCAAGAUUGUUUUUGUUCGUUUGUACCAUGGCUUCCAGUCCUAUAAUGACUAUUUUGAAGCAGGAUGCCGUGAACGAUUGGGUUCUUUGGUUACCAGAAAUGCACAGCUGCACUCUGGAUGCUUGCAUAUGACAUGGUCGUUGGUGAGGGAGUCCUGGAUUAUGGGGUCCUCGAGCAUCCGGGUUAUGUGACGUGGGCCAGACUAAUGGCCCGUGAAGAUACAAGACAGAAGACUCUCUCCCGUGUCCGGAUGGGACUCUCCUUUGCGUGGAUGGCAAGCUUGGCGUUCGGAUAUGAAGAUUUGUUUCUCUGUAAACCAACUCUGUACAACCCUAGGCCCCUCCGGUGUCUAUAUAAACCGGAGGGUUUAGUCCGUAGAGGCAAUCACAAUCAUACUGGCUAGACAUUUAGGGUUUAGCCAUUACGAUCUCCAGGUAGAUCAACUCUUGUAAACCCCAUAUUCAUCCAAGUAAUCAAGUAGGAAGUAGGGUAUUACCUCCAUUAAGAGGGCCCGAACCUGGGUAAACAUCAUGUCCCUGUCUCCUGUUACCUUCGAUCCUUAGACGCACAGUUCGGGACCCCCUACCCGAGAUCUGCCGGUUUUGACACCGACAUUGGUGCUUUCAUUGAGAGUUCAUCUGUGACGUCGACAACAGGGUUGAUGGCUCGCCUUGUUAUCAAGGACAGUAUCACUUCCUGAGGAGCCUUGGCCUCAGGCCAAACCCUCCGGCUUGGCGGUUUUACCAUGGCCGCCCGUUCGGCCUUUAAGCCGACGAUGACUUCCCAAGUCAUCGAAAAUCACCUUCGUGUUGGCCCUGAAUACUCCAAACGAAUGGAUCCGGAGGAUUUGUCAUCUUUAAACGAACUCCUGGAUCGCAUCGCCGCCCUGGGGGUUGAAGGAAAUAUGCCCUAGAGGCAAUAAUAAAGUUAUUAUUUAUUUCCUUAUUUCAUGAUAAAUGUUUAUUAUUCAUGCUAGAAUUGUAUUAACCGGAAACAUGAUACAUGUGUGAAUACAUAGACAAACAUAUAGUCACUAGUAUGCCUCUACUUGACUAGCUCAUUAAUCAAAGAUGGUUAUGUUUCCUAACCAUAGACAUGUGUUGUCAUUUGAUUAGUGGGAUCACAUCAUUAGAAGAAUGAUGUGAUUGACAUGACCCAUUCCGUUAGCCUAGCACUUGAUCGUUUAGUAUACUGCUAUUGCUUUCUUCAUGACUUAUACAAAGUUCCUACAAACUAUGAGAUUGUGCAACUCCCGUUUACCGGAAGAACACUUUGUGUGCUACCAAACGUCACAACGUAACUGGGUGAUUAUAAAGGUGCUCUACAGGUGUUUCCGAAGGUACAUGUUGGGUUGGCAUAAUUCGAGAUUAGGAUUUGUCACUCCGAUUGUCGGAGAGGUAUCUCUGGGCCCUCUCGGUAAUACUCAUCACCUAAGCCUUGCAAGCAUGUAACUAAUGAGUUAGUUAUGAGAUGACAUAUUACGGAACGAGUAAAGAGACUUGCCGGUAACGAGAUUGAACUAGGUAUUGGAUACCGACGAUCAAAUCUCGGGCAAGUAACAUACCGAUGACAAAGGGAACAAAGUAUGUUGUUAUGCGGUUUGACCGAUAAAGAUCUUCGUAGAAUAUGUAGGAACCAAUAUGGGCAUCCAGGUCCCGCUAUUGGUUAUUGACCGAGAAUGGUUUUAGGUCAUGUCUACAUAGUUCUCGAACCCGUAGGGUCCGCACGCUUAACGUUUCGAUGACAGUUUUAUUAUGAGUUUAUAAGUUUUGAUGUACUGAAGUUUGUUCGGAGUCCCGGAUGUGAUCACGGACAUGACGAGGAGUCUCUAAAUGGUUGAGACAUAAAGAUUGAUAUAUUGGACGACUAUAUUCGGACACCGGAAAGGUUCCGGGUGAUUUCGGAGAAAACCGGAGUGCCGGGGGGGUUACCGGAACCCCCCGGGAGAGUUAAUGGGCCACAUGGGCCUAGGUGGGAAGAGAGAGGGGCGGCCAGGGUGGGCCGCGCGCCCCCUCUCCCUCUAGUCUGAAUUGGACUAGGAGGGGGGGGGGCGGCGCCCCCCUUUCCUUCCCCCCUCUCCCCCGUCCUUCCCCCUCCUAUUAGGAGUAGGAAAGGGGGAAUCCUACUCCUACUAGGAGGAGGAUUCCUCCUCCCUUGGCGCGCCCAAAGGGGCCGGCCGGCCUCCCCCCUCCCUCCUUUAUAUACGGGGGCAGGGGGCACCCCAUAGACACACAAGUUGAUCUACGGAUCGUUCCUUAGCCGUGUGCGGUGCCCCCUUCCACCAUAAUCCACCUCGGUCAUAUCGUCGCGGAGUUUAGGCGAAGCCCUGCGCCGGUAGAACAUCAUCAUCGUCACCACGCCGUCGUGCUGACGGAACUCAUCUCCGGAGCUCGGCUGGAUCGGAGGCCGGAGAUCGUCAUCGAGCUGAACGUGUGCUGAACUCGGAGGCUCCGUACGUUCGGUGCUUGGAUCGGUCGGAUCGUGAAGACGUACGACUACAUCAACCGCGUUGUGAUAAACGCUUCCGCUUACGGUCUACGAGGGUACGUGGACAUACACUCUCCCCUCUCGUUGCUAUAUCAUCACCAUGAUCUUGCGUGUGCGUAGGAAUUUUUUUGAAAUUACUACGUUCCCCAACAGUGGUAUCAGAGCCAGGUUUUAUGCGUUGAUGUUAUAUGCACGAGUAGAAUACAAGUGAGUUGUGGACGAUAUAAGUCACACUGCCUACCAGCAUGUCAUACUUUGGUACAGCGGUAUUGUAAGAUGAAGCGGCCCGGACCGACAUUACGCGUACGCUUACGCGAGACUGGUUUCACCGUUACGAGCACUCGUGCUUAAAGGUGGCUGGCGGGUGUCUGUCUCUCUCACUUUAGUUGAACCGAGUGUGGCUACGCCCGGUCCUUGUCAAGGUUAAAACGGAGUCUAUUUGACAAACUAUCGUUGUGGUUUUGAUGCGUAGGUAAGAACGGUUCUUGCAAAGCCCGUAGCAGCCACGUAAAAUUUGCAACAACAAAGUAGAGGACGUCUAACUUGUUUUUGCAGGGCAUGUUGUGAUGUGAUAUGGUCAAGACGUGAUGCUAUAUUUUAUUGUAUGAGAUGAUCAUGUUUUGUAACCGAAGUUAUCGGCAACUGGCAGGAGCCAUAUGGUUGUCGCUUUAUUGUAUGAAAUGCAAACGCCCUGUAAUUGCUUUACUUUAUCACUAAGCGGUAGCGAUAGUCGUAGAAGCAAUAGAUGGCGUAACGACAACGAUGCUAUGAUGGAGAUCAAGGUGUCGCGCCGGUGACGAUGGUGAUCACGACGGUGCUUCGGAGAUGGAGAUCACAAGCACAAGAUGAUGAUGGCCAUAUCAUAUCACUUAUAUUGAUUGCAUGUGAUGUUUAUCCCUUAUGCAUCUUAUCUUGCUUUGAUUGACGGUAGCAUUUUAAGAUGAUCUCUCACUAAAAUUAUCAAGUAGUGUUCUCCCUGAGUAUGCACCGUUGCCAAAGUUCGUCGUGCCGAGACACCACGUGAUGAUCGGGUGUGAUAAGCUCUACGUCCAUCUACAACGGGUGCAAGCCAGUUUUGCACACGCAGAAUACUCAGGUUAAACUUGACGAGCCUAGCAUAUGCAGAUAUGGCCUCGGAACACGGAGACCGAAAGGUCGAGCGUGAAUCAUAUAGUAGAUAUGAUCAACAUAAUGAUGUUCACCAUUGAAAACUACUCCAUCUCACGUGAUGAUCGGUUAUGGUUUAGUUGAUUUGGAUCACGUGAUCACUUAGAUGACUAGAGAGAUGUCUGUCUAAGUGGGAGUUCUUAAGUAAUAUGAUUAAUUGAACUUAAAUUUAUCAUGAACUUAGUCCUGGUAGUAUUUUGCAAAUUAUGUUGUAGAUCAAUAGCUUGCGUUGUUGCUUUCAUAUGUUUAUUUUGAUAUGUUCCUAGAGAAAAUUGUGUUGAAAAAUGUUAGUAGCAAUGAUGUGGAUUGGAUUCGCGAUCUGAGGUUUAUCCUCAUUGCUACACAAAAGAAUUAUGUCCUUAAUGCACCGCUAGGUGACAGACCUAUUGCAGGAGCAGAUGCAGACGUUAUGAACGUUUGGCUAGCUCAAUAUGAUGACUACUUGAUAGUUUUGUGCACCAUGCUUUAUGGCUUAGAAUCGGGACUUCAAAGAUGUUUUGAACAUCAUGGACCAUAUGAGAUGUUCCAGGAAUUGAAGUUAAUAUUUCAAGCAAAUACCCGAGUUGAGAGAUAUGAAGUCUCCAACAAGUUCUAUAGCUAAAAGAUGGAGGAGAAUCGCUCAACUACUGAGCAUGUGCUCAGAUUGUUUGGAUACUUCAAUCGCUUGAAUCAAGUGGGAGUUAAUCUUCCAGAUAAGAUAGUGAUUGACAGAAUUCUCUUGUCACCAUCACCAAGUUAGUAGAACUUUGUGAUGAACUAUAGUAUGCAAGGGAUGAUGAAAAUGAUUCCUGAGUUUUUCAUGAUGAUGAAAUCGAUGAAGGUAGAAAUCAAGAAAGAACAUCAAGUGUUGAUGGUUAACAAGACCACUAGUUUCAAGAAAAGGGCAAAGGGAUAGAAGGAACUUCAAAAGAACGGCAAGCAAGUUGUUGCUCAAGUGAAGAAGCCCAAGUCAGGACCUAAGCCUGAGACUAAGUGCUUCUACUGCAAAGGGAAUGCUCACUGGAAGCGGAAAUGCCCUAAAUAUUUGGUGGAUAAGAAGGAUGGCAAAGUGAACAAGGGUAUAUUUGAUACACAGGUUAUUGAUGUGUGCUUUACUAGUGUUUAUAGUAGCCCCUGAGUAUUUGAUACUUGUUCGGUUGCUAAGAUUAGUAACUCGAAACUGGAGUUGCAGAAUAAACAGAAACUAGUUAAGGGUGAAGUGACGAUGUGUGUUGAAAGUAGUUUCAAGAUUGAUAUGAUCAUCGUCGCACUCUCCCUAUACUUUCGGGAUUAGUGUUGAACCUAAAUAAACAUUAUUUGGUGUUUGAGUUGAGCAUGAAUAUGAUUUGAUCAUGUUUAUUGCAAUACAGUUAUUCAUUUAAAAACAAAGAAUAAUUGUUGUUCUAUUUAAAUGAAUAAAACCUUCAAUGGUCAUACACCCAACGAAAAUAGUUUGUUGGCUCUCGAUCGUAGUGAUGCACAUAUUCAUAAUAUUGAUGCCAAAAGAUGCAAAGUUAAUAAUGAUAGUGCAACUUAUUUGUGGCACUGCCGUUUAGGUCAUAUUGGUGUAAAGCGCAUGAAGAAACUCCAUGCUGAUGGGGUUUUGGAAUCACAUGAUUAUGAAUCACUUGAUGCUUGCGAACCAUGCCUCAUGGGCAAGAUGACUAAGACUCCGUUCUCCGGAACAGUGGAGCGAGCAACUGACUUAUUGGAAAUAAUACAUACUGAUGUAUGCGAUCCGAUGAGUGUUAAGGCUCGCGGCGGGUAUCGUUAUUUUCUGACCUUCACAGAUGAUUUGAGCAGAUAUGGGUAUAUCUACUUGAUGAAACAUAAGUCUGAAACAUUUGAAAAGUUCAAAGAAUUUCAGAGUGAAGUGGAACAUCAUUGUGACAAGAAAAUAAGGUUUCUACGAUCUGAUCACGGAGACAAAUAUUUGAGUUACGAGUUUGGUCUUCAAUUAAAACAAUGUGGAAUAGUUUCACAAAUUCAUGCCACCUGGAACACCACAUCAUAAUGGUGUGUCCGAACGUUAUAACCGUACUUUAUUGGAUAUAGUACAAUCUAUGAUGUUUCUUACCGAUUUACCAAUAUCGUUUUGGGAUCAUGCAUUAGAGACAACUGCAUUCACGUUAAAUAGGGCACCAUCUAAAUCCGUUGAGACGACACUAUAUGAACUGUGGUUUAGCAAGAAACCAAAGUUGUCGUUUCUUAAAGUUUGGGGCUGCGAUGCUUAUGUGAAAAAAAUUCAUCCUGAUAAGCUCGAACCCAAAUCGGAGAAGUGCGUCUUCAUAGAAUACCCAAAGGAAAUUGUUGGGUACACCUUCUAUCACAGAUCCGAAAGGCAAGAUAUUUGUUACUAAAAAUGGAUCCUUUCUAGAGAAGGAGUUUCUCUCGAAAGAAGUGAGUGGGAGGAAAGUAGAGCUUGAUAAGGUAAUUUAUACCUUCUCCCGAAUUGGAAAGUAGUUCAUCACGGAAAUCAGUUCCAGUGAUUCCUACACCAAUUAGUGAGGAAGCUAAUGAUGAUGAUCAUGAAACUUCUGAUCAAGUUGCUAUAGAACCUCGUAGGUCUUCCAGAGUACGGUCCGCACCAGAGUGGUACGGUAAUCCUGUUCUGGAAGUCAUGUUACUAGACCAUGAUGAACCUACGAACUAUGAGGAAGCGAUGAUGAGCCCAGAUUCCGCAAAAUGGCUUAAGGCCAUGAAAUCUGAGAUAUGAUCCAUGUAUGAGAACAAAGUAUGGACUUUGGUGGAGUUGCCCGAUGAUCGGCAAGCCAUAUUGUAUAAAUGGAUCUUCAAGAGGAAGACAGAUGCUAAUAGUAGUGUUACUAUCUACAAAGCUCGACUUGUCACAAAAGGGUUUUUCGACAAGUUCAGGAUGUUGACUACAAUGAGAUUUUCUCAACUAUAGCGAUGCUUAAAGUCUGUCCGAAUCAUGUUAGCAAUUGCCACAUUUUAUGAAAUCUGGCAAAUGGAUGUCAAAACUGCAUUCCUUAAUGGUUUUCUUAACGAAGAGUUGCAUAUGAUGCAACCAGAAGGUUUUGUCAAUCCUAAAGGUGCUAACAAAGUGUGCAUGCUCUAGCGAUCCGUCUAUGGACUAGUGCAAGCAUCUCAGAGUUGGAAUAUACGCUUUGAUAAGUUGAUCAAAGUAUAUAGUUUUGUACAGACUUACGGUGAAGCCUGUAUUUACAAGAAAGUGAGUGGGAGCACUACAACAUUUCUGAUAAGUAUAUGUGAAUGACAUAUUGUUGAUUGGAAAUAAUGUAGAAUUAUUCUGCAAAGCAUGAAAGGAUACUUGAAUAAGAGUUUUUCAAAGAAAGACCUCGGUGAAGCUGCUUACACAUUGAGCAUCAAGAUCUAUAUAGAUAGAUCAAGACGCUUGAUAAGAUUUUUCAAUGAAUACAUACCUUGAUAAAUUUUUGAAAUAGUUCAAAAUGGAACAGUCAAAGAAGGAGUUCUUGCCUGUGUUGCAAGGUGUGAAAUUGAGUAAGACUCAAGACCCGACCAUGGCAGAAAAUAGAAUGAAAAGUCAUUCCCUAUGCCUCAGUCAUAGGUUCUAUAAAGUAUGCUAUGCUGUGAACCAGACAUAUUGUAUACCUUGCUCUGAGUUUGGCAAAGGAAUACAAUUUUGAUCUAAUAGUAGAUCACUGGACAGCGGUCAAGAAUAUCCUUAGUAAGGACUAAGGAGAUGUUUCUCGAUUAUGGAGGUGAUAAAAGAGUUCGUCGUAAAAAGUUACAACGAUGCAAGCUUUUACACCAAUCCAGACAACUCUAAGUCUCAAUCUGGAUACAUAUUGGAAGUGGGAGCAAUUAGCUAGAGUAGCUCCAUGCAGAGCAUUGUGGACAUAGAAUAUUUGCAAAAUACAUACGGCUCUGAAUGUGACAGAACCGUUGACUAAGCUUCUCUCACGAGCAAAACAUGAUCAUACCUUUGUAAUCUUUGGGUGUUAAUAACACAUAGCAAUGUGAGCUAGAUUAUUGACUCUAGUAAACCCUUUGGGUGUUGGUCACAUGAAGAUGUGAACUAUGGGUGUUAAUCAUAUACAGAUAUGAAUAUUGGUAUUAAAUCACAUGGCGAUGUGAACUAGAUUAUUGACUCUAGUGCAAGUGGGAGACUGAAGGAAAUAUGCCCUAGAGGCAAUAAUAAAGUUAUUAUUUAUUUCCUUAUUUCAUGAUAAAUGUUUAUUAUUCAUGCUAGAAUCGUAUUAACCGGAAACAUGAUACAUGUGUGAAUACAUAGACAAACAUAUAGUCACUAGUAUGCCUCUACUUGACUAGCUCAUUAAUCAAAGAUGGUUAUGUUUCCUAACCAUAGACAUGUGUUGUCAUUUGAUUAGUGGGAUCACAUCAUUAGAAGAAUGAUGUGAUUGACAUGACCCAUUCCGUUAGCCUAGCACUUGAUCGUUUAGUAUACUGCUAUUGCUUUCUUCAUGACUUAUACAAAGUUCCUACAAACUAUGAGAUUGUGCAACUCCCGUUUACCGGAAGAUCACUUUGUGUGCUACCAAACGUCACAACAUAACUGGGUGAUUAUAAAGGUGCUCUACAGGUGUUUCCGAAGGUACAUGUUGGGUUGGCAUAAUUCGAGAUUAGGAUUUGUCACUCCGAUUGUCGGAGAGGUAUCUCUGGGCCCUCUCGGUAAUACUCAUCACCUAAGCCUAUCAAGCAUGUAACUAAUGAGUUAGUUAUGAGAUGACAUAUUACGGAACGAGUAAAGAGACUUGCCGGUAACGAGAUUGAACUAGGUAUUGGAUACCGACGAUCAAAUCUCGGGCAAGUAACAUACCGAUGACAAAGGGAACAAAGUAUGUUGUUAUGCGGUUUGACCGAUAAAGAUCUUCGUAGAAUAUGUAGGAACCAAUAUGGGCAUCCAGGUCCCGCUAUUGGUUAUUGACCGAGAAUGGUUUUAGGUCAUGUCUACAUAGUUCUCGAACCCGUAGGGUCCGCACGCUUAACGUUUUGAUGACAGUUUUAUUAUGAGUUUAUAAGUUUUGAUGUACCAAAGUUUGUUCGGAGUCCCGGAUGUGAUCACGGACAUGACGAGGAGUCUCUAAAUGGUCGAGACAUAAAGAUUGAUAUAUUGGACGACUAUAUUCGGACACCGGAAAGGUUCCGGGUGAUUUCAGAGAAAGCCGGAGUGCCGAGGGGGGGGGGGGUUACCGGAACCCCCCGGAAGAGUUAAUGGGCCACAUGGGCCUAGGUGGGAAGAGAGAGGGGCGGCCAGGGUGGGCCGCGCGCCCCCUCUCCCUCUAGUCCGAAUUGGACUAGGAGGUGGGGGGGGGGGCGGCGCCCCCCUUUCCUUCCCCCCUCUCCCCCUUCCUUCCCCCUCCUAGUAGGAGUAGGAAAGGGGGAAUCCUACUCCUACUAGGAGGAGGAUUCCUCCUCCCUUGGCACGCCCAAAGGGGCCGGCCGGCCUCCCCCUCCCUCCUUUAUAUACGGGGGCAGGGGGCACCCCAUAGACACACAAGUUGAUCUACGGAUCGUUCCUUAGCCGUGUGCGGUGCCCCCUUCCACCAUAAUCCACCUCGGUCAUAUCGUCGCGGAGUUUAGGCGAAGCCCUGCGCCGGUAGAACAUCAUCAUCGUCACCACGCCGUCGUGCUGACGGAACUCAUCUCCGGAGCUCGGCUGGAUCGGAGGCCGGAGAUCGUCAUCGAGCUGAACGUGUGCUGAACUCGGAGGCUCCGUACAUUCGGUGCUUGGAUCGGUCGGAUCGUGAAUACGUACGACUACAUCAACCGCGUUGUGAUAAACGCUUCCGCUUAUGGUCUACGAGGGUACGUGGACAUACACUCUCCCCUCUCGUUGCUAUAUCAUCACCAUGAUCUUGCGUGUGCGUAGGAAAUUUUUUGAAAUUACUACGUUCCCCAACAGGGGUCGCUUCAGACUAUGAUCGGAUUGGGCUUAAACUCGAUCAGAGGGAAAUCAAAUCUCCGCCGAUCACCCAUCAGAUAGCGGUCGUAGAGGAGCAAGCCAACAUCAAUUCUCCCCCUUAUAGAAAACGAGGUGUGUCCGGAUCGCCGAACUCGAAGAGCCGGAUACCCCUCUGCGGGGGGACACUCCUAGCCUCUGAAACUAGAAUCCGGCGUUGAGCCUAAAGAAGCAUUGGACAUCCCGGAGCCCGAGCUAAUAAACUCGGAAGUUUUUCAAACCCUGGAUUCCACAUGGGGUCAGGGUUCGGAUUUAACGCCACCCACCCACCACAAGCAAUAUUCGCAGAGCAAUUUCGGUCCCCCGGAUAUACGCGACCUCAUGUACGUACGGCAGCAGUCUCAAGAAACAGUCCAUCACUUCUGGGCCAGAUUCCUCCUUGUCAAAGACAAGAUUAAAGAUUGCCGCGACGACGAUGCAUUUUCGGUAUUUUAUAAUAAUUGCACAGACGAAGGAAUCCUCAACGCCCUAAAUCACCGUUGCGUAUUACACUUCGCUGACUUGGCAAUUAUAGUACAGAAAUACUGCGCAAUGGAAAUCCCAGCCCAGUCCAGGGAGUCGUUAAAACAGUACAUGUGAGAGAGUUGGCACCGCUCCAUGCAAGUGGAUCAUACAUGCUAAUGUCGCAUGUAAAUAACAAAUACUGGUACAAGAAAAAAAAGGAUAGUAAUACACACGCAUGCGGUCGCGCCAACUCCGUAUGUAGUCCAUAGUGGUAUCUCUCUUGUAUUUAGGAACGGAGGGAGUAGAUGUAUAUUAAACAAUCCUAUGGUUAUUAAUAUCAUUUCUCUAAGAUUAACGUGGAGCCUCAUCUGGUGCUUCCAACCCAUGCAUUCGCACCGGCUAGUUUGGCAAGCUAGUAUUUCAACUUGGCCUAUACUAUGAAAUAUGUGAUUCAUUGUUUGAGAUUAUAUUUCAUUUGCUGGGUCUAAGCAAAUCACGAACACUAAAAAUGAUAGCAGAUUUUUUUCCAUCUUGUCUAAUGACCAGAUAGGUUUAAUAUUCUGGUCUUAACAUAAUUAAACUAUCUAAACCAGAUAAAAGAAUAUUAAAUGAAAUGUAUACACAUAUUUUUUCUCUGGAUUAGAAAUAAAAUUAUUUCAUCGCUCCUCAUCAUGGUAUACAAUCACUUUACAACACUGAAAAUGUUUUUUUUUCUUAUUGUUUGUUCACCUGAUACCUAUUCCGACCUAUCUCUAGAGUGGCUAAGCAAUUUACUUUAGAUAUAUGAUAAGAGGCCUCAUAGAAUCAAGAACCAAAAAAAGUUGGUCUUCUGUAUUUAUUUGAAAAAAAAGAGGUAUCCGUACACACAUAAGUGACCAUUUUCUUAUUAGCUUCUUUUCUUAUUCCUUCAUUUCCAUAAUAAAAAAAAAAUCCUUGCCUCCAACCGGAUAUAGUACAAUCUCUAAAACAAAAAUCAUGCUUCAAGGGAAAAUCAUGUGAUCGAGAUUCUAUGCCUUAGUGGCCACAUAUUUGCGCAUCUCCUUUGGUUUCAGCAUAUCAUAUUUUAUAGCUCCAAACAUGUCGUCUUUGGCUAUAUUUGUUAUUUACUAAAUCUGAAAUGUAAAUUGUAUUUCAAACAUUCAUGUCAACAUGGAAAGUCUGUUGCAAAAACAUGAGUUGUUGUAGAAGAUAACUGGUAUCCAACAAUGAUGACACUCUGGGUAAAUAAUUUCUGAUACCGGACUCCUGGUGACAAUGAUAAAGGGAUAAAAUUGAAAACAAUAAAUGUUUUUUAUAAAAAUAUAUUGAAUAAUAUUUGAAGGAAAAAAGAAUUUUAAAUUACCAUUUAAAACAAUUACAUAGAAAAAUUAUUUUGGUAUUCCAAACAAUAUUUCAUAUUUCUAAACAGGUUCAAAAAAAAGUUCAUAAAGGAGAAAAAUGAAUUAACACAAAAAGAGAAGAAAAAUGAAAACUAGAAAAGAAAAAAAAUGCUUAGGACUUGGCCUAACUAGGCGACAAUGUGGCUCCCGUCGGGCAAAGUUGAUCAUUUAAAAAACUGUUCACGGAUUUCUAUUUUUCAUAGAUAAAAAAACAAUUAAUUAAAAAUGAUAUGGAAAAAUAGCAUUCUAACUUCGGGAACCUCAGCUUUGCAGCCGAUAUUUUCAGUUUUUGAACCUUCUAGGAUAUUGCUGAGCCGCAUUUUUAUUUUCCUUUUCUUUUCGUCUUCUUUGACUAUUUCCUUCUUUGUUCUAUUUAUUGUUUCUAUUUUUCAUAAAUUAACAAUUUCAGAAUUACAGAUUUUGUAAAGACUUUUUUAAUAUUUCAUUUAAAAAGAUGUGCAGAAUUUCAAAAAAUGUAUUAUUAAUCAAUGUUCUUAAAUUUCAGAAAAUGUUCAGAAUUUCCAAAUUUGGCUCACAUAUGACCAUUUUUAUAAAUUUCCAAACUUUGCCAGAUUUAAUAAAGGUCAUCGAUUGAAUAAAAUUCCAUGAAUUUGAAAAAAUCAUGAAUUUUUUGAAAGUUCACAAAUUUAAGAAAAUGUUCAUAAAUUUAAAAAAUGUUCACAUAUUUAGAAAAAACAUGAUUGUAAUUUGUGUUCGCGAAUUCAGGCAAAUGGAAAGGAAAAGUCAAAAAGAAAAAACAUAUAAAACAGAAGAAAACCAAACAGAGAAGAUGCACAAUAAGAAGAGAAUAGAAAUUAAGUAGGCACAACAAUGUUGCUUUCCUAGUUGGUUUGAUGGUGUGGAAGUACACCAGGAGGUCAGGAGUUUGAACACCUUGCUUUCCCAGUUGGUUUGGUGAUAUGAAAGUACACCAGGGAGUUCGAACCCCACUUUGACGCACUUAGGCUGAUACUAGUCUAAGUUACUACCUUCAUAAUGCAAAGUAACAUAAUAGUAGUACAUAUGAAAGUGGGCAUGAUUUGCUAAAGAUCUAUAUUACCUUUUAUAAGUUUAGUGAGGGCGGUUGUACCGAAGUGGGUAAGAAAUACUAACACGCAAACCACAAUAAGGCCGUUGUCGUCAAGCAAGACCUUAACAACUUCUACAUUACCACAAUAAGGUCGUUGUCGUCAAACGCGCAUUCAUGGAACGUCGUGACAUGCAGCAACAUUAAUCUUGAGGCAACCGGCACGAGGAAGCUCCCGAACAACCAUAGUAGCAUGGUGUGGUUCCCUCUUUUUCCUUAGAACAUGAGUACGAUCAUCAGAAGCUUCAGUAGGGUUGGAGACAAAUAGUGGCGGAAAAAGAAAACUCAAACAGCCAUAGCCAAAGAUCAAAUUCUGGAGGUGGCAAGCACACAAAAACAAAAAAGUGUCUCAUGAAAACUUUGAAAGGCUGGAAUUCAGGAUCUUUUCGGCGGUGACCAGUUGGUGACAUGAGCUUUCGCGACUCAGCUGGCGACGCUAGCGACACAGGUGAUGCGGGCGCUUCCAGCUCGCCGGCCCCCCUUUCCACCACCUCCUCCGCUGCUGUCACUCCAGACGAUGGCAGCCACCCACUAGACGACCCCGGUGAGCCGCCAACCCUUCCUUGCAGCGGCGGCGGCGAGGACCUGGUCCCAAGCAGUCAUGUCAGCAGCACCGUCCCCAUCACUGUCCCACGCCCAGGUGAGGCCAUCCAAUCCCGAAUCCUUCGCCAGUUCUACUCCGGAACGACGUUAGAUCCAUUCGAGUUCCCCUCCUGCCGUGUCCCCGGCGAUCUCUGGUUCACCCCCGCCCCCCCGUUCCUCUCGACGUGUUUCUCCGCCGCCUGUGUUCGCUCCCUAGUCAACUACUUCUNNNNNNNNNNNNNNNNNNNNNNNNNNNNNNNNNNNNNNNNNNNNNNNNNNNNNNNNNNNNNNNNNNNNNNNNNNNNNNNNNNNNNNNNNNNNNNNNNNNNNNNNNNNNNNNNNNNNNNNNNNNNNNNNNNNNNNNNNNNNNNNNNNNNNNNNNNNNNNNNNNNNNNNNNNNNNNNNNNNNNNNNNNNNNNNNNNNNNNNNNNNNNNNNNNNNNNNNNNNNNNNNNNNNNNNNNNNNNNNNNNNNNNNNNNNNNNNNNNNNNNNNNNNNNNNNNNNNNNNNNNNNNNNNNNNNNNNNNNNNNNNNNNNNNNNNNNNNNNNNNNNNNNNNNNNNNNNNNNNNNNNNNNNNNNNNNNNNNNNNNNNNNNNNNNNNNNNNNNNNNNNNNNNNNNNCGAGGCCUCUCCGGCCGUCUUCCAUGCGCAGCUGGCCAGCCCGGUCGUGGCCCAUUUCAUCGCCGCCGUUGGGAUGGGGCAGCUGGCCUCCUUCAAGCUUCAGCCGCAUCUCUCCCUCGGGGAUGCAUUGGCUGCAGCUGCUGCUCUCCAGCCCGUCACCACUGGCCGGUUGGUGAAAAAGCGUCCAGCUGCAUUGACUGCGGCUCGGCGGACGGACGGUUUUCGGCGCCCAUUCCCGUCCGUUCUAACUCCCCUGGUCUGCUGCCCAUCCCCUCUUCUCACUACAACACGACCCCCCAUAUAGCAACGCAUUUUUCCGUAUCUAAAAGUCCAUAUAUGCGUUGCUUGUGACUUUACCAACGGUUUGGGAUGCAUAGCCUUAUCCAGUGUUGCUAGCGCAUAAUGCAACACUUAUAUCGCCGUUGGUAAAAGGAGCGUUGCAAUACUACAACAGAUAAAACAGACUUCUACCACACUUAUAAUGUUGCUGCUCAAUGUACAGGAAUCAAAAUCCCAUUGCUUCUACGGAGAAUUUCCAAUGCUUCAUGUGUUGCUACAUAUAUGAUGUGGAUAAAAUUAUUUUAUCUAUAAAUAAUUGCCAACUAUUAAAUUAAUGCUCCACAUAAUGGUAGUAAUAGUUAUGAAAAAAGAGAAUAUACUCAAGAGAGGAAGAAAUCAUAUAUUAGAUAAAACCGUUGGAUUACAAUAGUGUAUAUUACAGAAGGAACAUCAUCCAAAUGUGAUGCAUAAUCUAACUAUUUUCUUGACACCAAAACUUAAGACAAAAGCAUCCAUCAACAUCCCUACAACUUUAAAAUGAACCUAGGAACAACAUCCAGGAGGAACGGCAUCCCUACUACUUAACUAAAACUGAAAGAAUCCAUCAUCAUCAUCAUCAUCAUCAUCAUGAACCAGAACAUCAACAUCCCAUUGCAAUAUACUUGCCAUGCACCCAUAUACUCAUCCAUUUAUCUUUUGAAUCUACAAACAAGAAAACAAAAUGAAUUGUUAACACAUAAUGCAUUAACAUGAUGGAAGUAGGAAUAGAGUCAAGGUAUGAGUCACGUACAAAGGUCGAACACCAUGCGAUCUUUGUUUUUUUUUGCAUUACCGAGAGUAUUGCAGUUUUUGCGACUCCAUACCAAAUUUUCAGCUUUCACAAGUGCCAUAUCGACAUGAACUUCCCAUAAUUCAUUUCUAAUUUCAACACCAUCAAGUUUAAACUUAGGAUCACAACUUACAAUUGUAGCAAGAGCUACGUUGAUGUUAUGGUUUUUCAGGCUCUUCAAUACUUUUGUUCCUGCCUGAUAGAGAAAACCAAAGCUACCAUUGGCAGAAUCAUCCUCACCACCAAUGACAAAACAGGGGAACAUAUGAAAUGAAUUGGAGCAUUCUAACAUGUUCACUUGCACCCAACCAACUCAGCGAACCACCUUGAGCACUCUUAUAGGCUGCAUUAGCACGUUUUGUUAUUUUUUUGGUCUAGACAACACUCUGAUAGAAAAAAAGAAGUAUGAAGAAAUCAACAAGCUAGCACUACAGUUUGAACACAAAUUUGUAUAUGAUUAUGAAAAUAUACCAGCAUGUUUGCAGUAGAAGUUUUUUCCCUGACGUGCACUGACAUUCUAAGCAAAGUUUCUUUGUUCUGAACAACAUUUUAAUAGCAAGAUGACCAGUAGAUACAUAAACAUCAAAGCACUAUAUUUUGAAAAAUUUGUAUUUGGUAAUGGAAAUAUACCUUGUGUGUAGCAGAAUUUAUUUGGAAGGUUCCAAAUAUAUUUCAACUUCCUCUUCUUUCAGCCUUUUGUUUCUGCAUUUUCAACUGAAUAUAUAGAACCAUGAAUUAUAUAUUUUAUACGAUGGUGAAUAAGCAUAUAUUGAAUCAGAAAGGAAUGAGCAACAAACUUACCAUCUUCAUUUUCGUCCGCACUAGGAUCAUCACAAUCUGUGAAGCCUUGUUCAUCAUUAGUAGUUAUCUCUUAGACAUCAGAUGAUUCAUUUAUAGCCUCCACUGACGUAAGGGCCAAAACUAGCCAAAAAAUGGGGUCCAUUUGAUCCAGGACACCUAUCUUGUUUUUGACAAAAUCCAAGACACCUAUCUCUGCCUGCCAUGUUAACCAUAACAAAGGUAACUGAAUAGGUAGACCAACAACCUCCACCUGCCAGAAAAACGAACAACAUCCAAUACAGAGGUUUGAGUGAAAAACAAUGAUUUUUACUCCCGAGGGUUCGAUUAUUUCACAACUAAGCCAGUUAUACACGUUAUAUUUCUCCUUCUUGGUUUUGCCUCCUUUUCACACAUUAUGUGGCUAUAGUGCAAACUACAGACAAAGAUGUGGCACAUACAACAUCUCAGGAACCGAAGCAUGUGCUUGCCUUUGCAAUCAGUGAUUCUUGUUUCACGGAUCAUGCCUACCCCAGCAGUCUGGACUGUCCACAUGGAACCCAAUCCCUGGACAUCUACCAACUUAUAAAGAUCUCCAUGUCAUGGAUUUCACGGAGGAAGAAAUUGCCUGAACAAAAUAACGGCCUAUUACACCAAGCUGAGAACAGCGACAUGGAAAAGUAAUAGAUUUAUUCCGCGUACCUCCUCUUGCUCAAUCAAUGAAUAAUCAAUCUUGGCUAUUAUAGUUGCUUCAUCAUGCUCCAUUGUCGCAAUCACCUCACCAAAAGUAGAAAUAAAAUGCCAACGGUUAAGCUGAGAUAACCAUCCCCGUCACUGAAAUAGAGUUUACAGAAUGUGUGUAUGAAACAGUGAGGCUCAAGGCAAAAUCACUAGCAGUAACAUACUACUACUUGUGUUAAUCCUGGGUGUAACUUUCAACUCUAGACUCCGGACCACAAAAGAUCCAGAGGUCGAUGCAAACUACAGAAUAACUGGCAUCCUAAAAUCUGUAAUCAACCCACUGGUCCAACAAGAGUGGAAUGUCCCCAAGCAACAUAACUUGAAUUGGUAUCUCGAGCUAGAGCACAAAUUGCAGCAAAAAGCUGACAGAACAAUGAUUAUUAGUUUGUUACUAUCUGAAAGUGAAAAUGUGACUUUCUGUACAGGAAAAUGGAGGGCAGCACAGCAGUGUUCCUCAUACCAGGUUGUCAGCUGCCCUGGCAUUAUAUUCAGAACAUAAGCAGAGAUGAUAUAUUGGAAAAUAAAUAGGAAAGAUGCUUCAAAUAGUACUUGUAGAGAAAAUUUGAUAGAAGCGUUGAUCUCUUCAUUGGAUUCAUAUGUUCGGUUUACUCAUUGCAAUAGUUAGCAUUGUUUUAUUACUGAGAUAUCCAGAUUCUUAUGCCCGGUGUCUGAGAUUACCCCUUCCCAUGGAUCCUAUCCAAAUUCUUAUGUUUGGCGUCUCUCCUGGAUUGAAUAGUAAUGUUCAAAUCCCCGUGUGCUAUAUAUUGUAGUUCCUAAAACAACCUAUAUUGUACUCCCUCCGUCCCAAAAUAAGUGACUCAAAUUUAUACUAACUUUGUACUAAAUGAAGGAAAUAUGCCGUAGAGGCAAUAAUAAAGUUAUUAUUUAUUUCCUCAUAUCAUGAUAAAUGUUUAUUAUUCAUGCUAGAAUUGUAUUAACCGGAAACAUGAUACAUGUGUGAAUACAUAGACAAACAUAACGUCACUAGUAUGCCUCUACUUGACUAGCUCAUUAAUCAAAGAUGGUUAUGUUUCCUAACCAUAGGCAUGUGUUGUCAUUUGAUUAACGGGAUCACAUCAUUAGGAGAAUGAUGUGAUAGACAUGACCCAUUCCGUUAGCCUAGCACUUGAUCGUUUAGUAUAUUGCUAUUGCUUUCUUCAUGACUUAUACAUGUUCCUGUAACUAUGAGAUUAUGCAACUCCCGUUUACCGGAGGAACACUUUGGGUGCUACCAAACGUCACAACGUAACUGGGUGAUUAUAAAGGAGUACUACAGGUGUCUCCAAAGGUACAUGUUGGGUUGGCGUAUUUCGAGAUUAGGUUUUGUCACUCCGAUUGUCGGAGAGGUAUCUCUGGGCCCUCUCGGUAAUGCACAUCACUAUAAGCCUUGCAAGCAAUGUAGCUAAUGAGUUAGUUACGGAAUGAUGCAUUACGAAACGAGUAAAGAGACUUACCGGUAACGAGAUUGAACUAGGUAUUGGAUACCGACGAUCGAAUCUCGGGCAAGUAACAUAUCGAUGACAAAGGGAACAACGUAUGUUGUUAUGCGGUUUGACCGAUAAAGAUCUUCAUAAAAUAUGUAGGAGCCAAUAUGGGCAUCCAGGUUCCGCUAUUGGUUAUUGACCAAGAAUAGUUCUAGGUCAUGUCGACAUAGUUCUCGAACCCAUAGGGUCCGCACGCUUAACGUUACGAUGGCAGUUUUAUUAUGAGUUUAUAAGUUUUGAUGUACCGAAGUUUGUUCGGAGUCCCGGAUGUGAUCACGGACAUGACAAGGAGUCUCGAAAUGGUCAAGACAUAAAGAUUGAUAUAUUGGACGACUAUAUUCGAACAUCGGAAGUGUUCCGGGCGUUUUCGGAGAAAACCAGAGUACCGGAGGGUUACCGGAACCCCCCCGGGAGAAGUAAUGGGCCUUAUGGGCCUUAGUGGAGAGAGAGAGGGGCAGCCAGCAUGGGCCGCGCACCCCCUCCCCCUCUGGUCUGAAUUGGACUAGGAGAGGGGGGGGCGCCCCCCUCUUUCCCUCUCCCUCUCCCCCUUCCUUUCCCCCUCCUAGUAGGAGUAGGAAAGAGGGAGUCCUACUCCUACUAGGAGGAGGACUCCUCCUCCUUGGCGCGCCCAUAAGGGUCGGCCGGCCUCCCCCUUGCUCCUUUAUAUACGGGGGCAGGGGGGCACCCUAGAACACACAAGUUGAUCUACGUGAUCAUUCCUUAGCCGUGUGCGGUGCCCCCCUCCACCAUAUUCCACCUCAGUCAUAUCGUCGCGGAGUUUAGGCGAAGCCCUACGUCGGUAGAACAUCAUCAUCGUCACCACGCCGUCGUGCUGACGGAACUCAUCCCCGACACUUUGCUGGAUCGGAGUCCGGGGAUCGUCAUCGAGCUGAACGUGUGCUAAACUCGGAGGUGCCGUACGUUCGGUACUUGGAUCGGUCGGAUCGUGAAGACGUACGACUACAUCAACCGCGUUAUCAUAACGCUUCCGCUUAUGGUCUAUGAGGGUACGUGGACAAUACUCUCCCCUCUUGUUGCUAUGCAUCACCAUGAUCUUGCGUGUGUGUAGGAAAUUUUUUGAAAUUACUACGUUCCCCAACAGUGGCAUCCGAGCCAGGUUUUAUGCAUAGAUGUCAUAUGCACGAGUAGAACACAAGUGAGUUGUGGGCGAUACAAGUCAUACUGCUUACCAGCAUGUCAUACUUUGGUUCGGCGGUAUUAUGAGAUGAAGCGGCUCGGACCGACAUUACGCGUACGCUUACGCGAGACUGGUUUCACCGUUACGAGCACUCGUGCUUAAAGGAUGCUGGCGGGUGUCUGUCUCUCUCACUUUAGCUGAAUCGAGUGUGGCUACGCCCGGUCCUUGCGAAGGUUAAAACAGCACUAACUUGACGAACUAUCGUUGUGGUUUUGAUGAGUAGGUAAGAACGGUUCUUGCUAAGCCCGUAGCAGCCACGUAAAAUUUGCAACAACAAAGUAGAGGACCUCUAACUUGUUUUUGCAGGGCAUGUUGUGAUGUGAUAUGGUCAAGACAUGAUGCUAUAUUUUAUUGUAUGAGAUGAUCAUGUUUUGUAACCGAAGUUAUCGGCAACUGGUAGGAGCCAUAUGGUUGUCACUUUAUUGUAUGAAAUGCAAACGCCCUGUAAUUGCUUUACUUUAUCACUAAGCGGUAGCGAUAGUCAUAGAAGCAAUAGAUGGCGUAAACGACCACGAUGCUACGAUGGAGAUCAAGGUGUCGCGCCGGUGACGAUGGUGAUCACGACGGUGCUUCGAAGAUGGAGAUCACAAGCACAAGAUGAUGAUGGCCAUAUCAUAUCACUUAUAUUGAUUGCAUGUGAUGUUUAUCCUUUAUGCAUCUUAUCUUGCUUUGAUUGACGGUAGCAUUUUAAGAUGAUCCCUCACUAAAAUUAUCAAGAAGUGUUCUCCCUGAGUAUGCACCGUUGCGAAAGUUCUUCGUGCUGAGACACCACGUGAUGAUCGGGUGUGAUAGGCUCUACGUUCAAAUACAAUGGGUGCAAAACAGUUGCACACGCGGAAUACUCAGGUUAAACUUGACGAGCCUAGCAUAUAACAGAUAUGGCCUCGGAACACGGAGACCGAAAGGUCGAGCGUGAAUCAUAUAGUAGAUAUGAUCAACAUAUUGAUGUUCACCGUUGAAACUACUCCAUCUCACAUGACGAUCGAACAUGGUGUAGUUGAUAUGGAUCACGUAAUCACUUCGAGGAUUAGAGGGAUGUCUAUCUAAGUGGGAGUUCUUAAGUAAUAUGAUUAAUUGAACUUAAAUUUAUCAUGAACUUAGUACCUGAUAGUAUUUUGCUUGUCUAUGUUUGUUGUAGAUAGAUGGCUCGUGUUGUUGUUCCGUUGAAUUUUAAUGCGUUCCUUGAGAAAGCAAAGUUGAAAGAUGAUGGCAGCAAUUACACAGACUGGGUCCGUAACCUGAGGAUUAUCCUCAUUGCUGCAUAGAAGAAUUACGUCCUAGAAGGACCGCUGGGUGCCAGGCCUGCUGCUGAUGCAACUGACGACGUUAAGAACGUCUGGUAGAGCAAAGCUGAUGACUACUCGAUAGUUCAGUGUGCCAUGCUUUACGGCUUAGAACCGGGUCUUCAACGAUGUUUUGAACGUCAUGGAGCAUAUGAGAUGUUCCAGGAGUUGAAGUUAAUAUUUCAAGCAAAUGCCCAGAUUGAGAGAUAUGAAGUCUCCAAUAAGUUCUAUAGCUGCAAGAUGGAGGAGAAUAGUUUUGUCAGUGAACACAUACUCAAAAUGUCUGGGUAUAAUAAUCACUUGAUUCAACUGGGAGUUAAUCUUCCUGAUGAUAGUGUCAUUGACAGAAUUCUUCAAUCACUGCCACCAAGCUAAAAGAGCUUCGUGAUGAACUAUAAUAUGCAAGGGAUGGACAAGACUAUUCCCGAGCUCUUCGCAAUGCUAAAAGCCGCGGAGGUAGAAAUCAAGAAGGAGCAUCAAGUGUUGAUGGUUAACAAGACCACCAGUUUCAAGAAAAAGGGCAAAGGGAAGAAGAAGGGGAACUUCAAGAAGAACAGCAAACAAGUUGCUGCUCAAGAGAAGAAACCCAAGUCUAGACCUAAGCCUGAAACUGAGUGCUUCUACUGCAGCAGACUGGACACUGGAAGCGGAACUGCCCCAAGUAUUUGGCGGAUAAGAAGGAUGGCAAAGUGAACAAAGGUAUAUGUGAUAUACAUGUUAUUGAUGUGUACCUUACUAAUGCUCGCAGUAGCACCUGGGUAUUUGAUACUGGUUCUGUUGCUAAUAUUUGCAACUCGAAACAGGGACUACGGAUUAAGCGAAGAUUGGCUAAGGACGAGGUGAAGAUGCGCGUGGGAAAUGGUUCCAAAGUCGAUGUGAUCGCAGUCGGCACGCUACCUCUACAUCUACCAUCGGGAUUAGUUUUGGACCUAAAUAAUUGUUAUUUGGUGCCAGCAUUGAGCAUGAACAUUAUAUUUGGAUCUUGUUUGAUGCGAGACGGUUAUUCAUUUAAGUCAGAGAAUAAUGGUUGUUCUAUUUAUAUGAGUAAUAUCUUUUAUGGUCAUGCACCCUUGAAGAGUGGUCUAUUUUUAUUGAAUCUCGAUAGUAGUGAUACACAUAUUCAUAGUGUUGAAACCAAAAGAUGCAGAGUUAAUAAUGAUAGUGCAACUUAUUUGUGGCACUGCCGUUUAGGUCAUAUCGGUGUAAAGCGCAUGAAGAAACUCCAUACUGAUGGGCUUUUGGAAUCACUUGAUUAUGAAUCACUUGGUACUUGCGAACCGUGCCUCAUGGGCAAGAUGACUAAAACGCCGUUCUCUGGAACUAUGGAGCGAGCAACUGAUUUAUUGGAAAUCAUACAUACUGAUGUUUAUGGUCCAAUGAAUGUUGAGGCUCGCGGCGGGUAUCGUUAUUUUCUCACCUUCACAGAUGAUUUGAGCAGAUAUGGGUAUAUCUACUUAAUGAAACACAAGUCUGAAACAUUUGAGAAGUUCAAAGAAUUUUAGAAUGAAGUGGAAAAUCAUCGUAACAAGAAAAUAAAAUUUCUACGAUAUGAUCGUGGAGGAGAAUAUUUGAGUUACGAGUUUGGUCUACACUUGAAACAAUGCGGAAUAGUUUCGCAACUCACGCCACCCGGAACACCACAACAAAAUGGUGUGUCCGAACGUCGUAAUCAUACUUUACUAGAUAUGGUGCGAUCUAUGAUGUCUCUUACUGAUUUACCGCUAUGGUUUUGGGGUUAUGCUUUAGAGACGACCGCAUUCACGUUAAAUAGGGCACCAUCAAAAUCCGUUGAAACGACGCCUCAUAAACUACGGUUUGGCAAGAAACCAAAGUUGUCGUUUCUUAAAGUUUGGGGCUGCGAUGCUUAUGUGAAGAAACUUCAACCAGAUAAGCUCGAACCCAAAUCGGAGAAAUGUGUCUUCAUAGGAUACCCAAAAGAAAUUGUUGGGUACACCUUCUAUCACAGAUCUGAGGGCAAGAUUUUCAUUGCUAAAUUCGGAUCCUUUCUAGAGAAGGAGUUUCUCUCGAAAGAAGUGAGUGGGAGGAAAGUAGAACUUGAUGAGGUAACUGUACCUGCUCCCUUAUUGGAAAGUAGUUCAUCACAAGAACCGGUUCCUGUGACAACUACACCAAUUAGUGUGGAAGCUAAUGAUAUUGAUCAUGAAACUUCAGAUCAAGUUUCUACUGAACUUCGUAGGUCUACCCGAGUAAGAUCCGCACCAGAGUGGUACGGUAAUCCUAUUCUGGAAGUCAUGUUACUUGACCAUGAUGAACCUACAAACUAUGAGGAAGCAAUGAUGAGCCCAGAUUCCGCAAAAUGGCUAGAGGCCAUGAAAUCUGAGAUGGGAUCCAUGUAUGAGAACAAAGUAUGGACUUUGGUUGACUUGCCCGAUGAUCGGCAAGCCAUUGAGAAUAAAUGGAUCUUUAAGAAGAAGACUGACGCUGAUGGUAAUGUAACUGUCUAUAAAGCUCGACUUGUUGCAAAAGGUUUUUGACAAGUUCAAGGGGUUGACUACGAUGAGACUUUCUCACCCGUAGCGAUGCUUAAGUCUGUCCGAAUCAUGUUAGCAAUUGCCGCAUUUUAUGAUUAUGAAAUUUGGCAAAUGGAUGUCAAAACUGCAUUCUUGAAUGGAUUUCUAGAAGAAGAGUUGUAUAUGAUGCAACCGGAAGGUUUUGUUGAUCCAAAAGGUACUAACAAAGUGUGCAAGCUCCAGCGAUCCAUUUAUGGACUGGUACAAGCAUCUCGGAGUUGGAAUAAACGCUUUGAUAGUGUGAUCAAAGCAUAUGGUUUUAUACAGACUUUUGGAGAAGCCUGUAUUUACAAGAAAGUGAGUGGGAGCUCUGUAGCAUUUCUGAUAUUAUAUGUAGAUGACAUAUUAUUAAUUGGAAAUGAUAUAGAAUUUCUGGAUAGCAUAAAGGGAUACUUGAAUAAAAGUUUUUCUAUGAAAGACCUCGGUGAAGCUGCUUAUAUAUUGGGCAUCAAGAUUUAUAGAGAUAGAUCAAGACGCUUAAUUGGACUUUCACAAAGCACAUACCUUGAUAAAGUUUUGAAAAAGUUCAAAAUGGAUUAGGCGAAGAAAGGGUUCUUGCCUGUGCUACAAGGUGUGAAAUUGAGUCAGACUCGAUGCCCGACCACAGCAGAAGAUAGAGAGAAAAUGAAAGAUGUUCCCUAUGCUUCAGCCAUAGGCUCUAUCAUGUAUGCAAUGUUGUGUACCUGACCUGACGUGUGCUUAGCAAUAAGCUUGGCAGGAAGGUACCAAAGUAAUCCAGGAGUGGAUCACUGGACAGCGGUCAAGAACAUCCUGAAAUACCUGAAAAGGACUAAGGAUAUGUUUCUCAUAUAUAGAGGUGACAAAGAGCUAGUCGUAAAAGGUUACAUCGAUGCAAGCUUUGACACUGAUCUGGACGAUUCUAAAUCGCAAACCGGAUACGUGUUUUUAUUAAACGGUGGAGCUGUAAGUUGGUGCAGUUCUAAACAAAGCGUCGUGGCGGGAUCUACAUGUGAAGCGGAGUACAUAGCUGCUUCGGAAGCAGCAAAUGAAGGAGUCUGGAUGAAGGAGUUCAUUUUCGAUCUAGGUGUCAUACCUAGUGCAUCGGGGCCAAUGAAGAUCUUCUGUGACAAUACUGGUGCAAUUGCCUUGGCAAAGGAAUCCAGAUUUCACAAGAGGACCAAGCACAUCAAGAGAUGCUUCAAUUCCAUCCGGGACCAAGUCCAGGUGGGAGACAUAGAGAUUUGCAAGAUACAUAUGGAUCUGAAUGUUGCAGACCCAUUGACUAAGCCUCUCUCACGAGCAAAACAUGAUCAGCACCAAGACUCCAUGGGUGUUAGAAUCAUUACUGUGUAAUCUAGAUUAUUGACUCUAAUGCAAGUGGGAGACUGAAGGAAAUAUGCCCUAGAGGCAAUAAUAAAGUUAUUAUUUAUUUCCUCAUAUCAUGAUAAAUGUUUAUUAUUCAUGCUAGAAUUGUAUUAACCGGAAACGUGAUACAUGUGUGAAUACAUAGACAAACAUAACGUCACUAGUAUGCCUCUACUUGACUAGCUCAUUAAUCAAAGAUGGUUAUGUUUCCUAACCAUAGACAUGUGUUGUCAUUUGAUUAAUGGGAUCACAUCAUUAGGAGAAUGAUGUGAUUGACAUGACCCAUUCCGUUAGCCUAGCACUUGAUCAUUUAGUAUAUUGCUAUUGCUUUCUUCAUGACUUAUACAUGUUCCUGUAACUAUGAGAUUAUGCAACUCCCGUUUACCAGAGGAACACUUUGGGUGCUACCAAACGUCACAACGUAACUAGGUGAUUAUAAAGGACUACUACAGGUGUCUCCAAAGGUACAUGUUGGGUUGGCGUAUUUCGAGAUUAGGUUUUGUCACUCCGAUUGUCGGAGAGGUAUCUCUGGGCCCUCUCGGUAAUGCACAUCACUAUAAGCCUUGCAAGCAAUGUAGCUAAUGAGUUAGUUACAGAAUGAUGCAUUACGUAACGAGUAAAGAGACUUACUGGUAACGAGAUUGAACUAGGUAUUGGAUACCGACGAUCGAAUCUCGGGAAAGUAACAUACCGAUGACAAAGGGAACAACGUAUGUUGUUAUGCGGUUUGACCGAUAAAGAUCUUCGUAGAAUAUGUAGGAGCCAAUAUGGGCAUCCAGGUUCCGCUAUUGGUUAUUGACCUAGAAUAGUUCUAGGUCAUGUCUACAUAGUUCUCGAACCCGUAGGGUCCGCGCACUUAACGUUACGAUGACAGUUUUAUUAUGAGUUUAUAAGUUUUGAUGUACCGAAGUUUGUUCGGAGUCCCGGAUGUGAUCACGGACAUGACGAGGAGUCUCGAAAUGGUCGAGACAUAAAGAUUGAUAUAUUGGACGACUAUAUUCGGACACCGGAAGUGUUCCGGGUGUUUUCGGAGAAAACCGGAGUGCCGGAGGAUUACCGGAACCCCCCCGGGAGAAGUAAUGGGCCUUAGUGGGCCUGAGGGGAGAGAGAGGGCAGCAUCCCAGGAGGUGGCGCGCCCCCCCAUGAGGAGUCUGAAUUGGGCUAGGGGAGGGGGCGCCCCCCCCCCCUUUCCCUCUCCCUCUCCCUCUCUUUCCUUCCCCCUUCCUCCUUCCUAGUGGGAAUAGGAAAGGGGAGUCCUACUCCCACUAGGAGGAGGACUCCCCCCUCCUUGGCGCGCCCCCUAGGGCCGGCCGACCUCCCCCCUGGCUCCUUUAUAUACGGGGGCAGGGGGGCACCCUAGAGACACACAAGUUGAUCUACGAAUCGUUCCUUAGCCGUGUGCGGUGCCCCCCUCCACCAUAUUCCACCUCGGUCAUAUCGUCACGGAGUUUAGGCGAAGCCCUGCGCCGGUAGAGCAUCAUCACCGUCACCACGCCGUCGUGCUGACGGAACUCAUCCCCGACACUUUGCUGGAUCGGAGUCCGGGGAUCGUCAUCGAGCUGAAUGUGUGCUGAACUCGGAGGUGCUGUACGUUUGGUACAUGGAUCGGUUGGAUCGUGAAGAUGUACGACUACAUCAACCGCGUUGUCAUAACGCUUCCACUUACGGUCUACGAGGGUACGUGGACAACACUCUCCCCUCUCGUUGCUAUGCCAUCACCAUGAUCUUGCGCGUUCGUAGGAAAUUUUUGAAAUUACUACGUUACCCAACACUAAAGGUAGUACAAACUUGAGUCACUUAUUUUGAGACGGAAGGAGUAUUUUGCAUACUUUAUCUAAACUUCUGAUCCUAUUCCUCCCUUCUAAUGUCCAGGUGUCAAUGUCUUCCACCAUCCUAGAGAGAGCUUGCACCGGUGUUGUCCGUUUGUUCUCAAAAACAAAUCGCGAGGAGGUAACUGUGCAAACAAAGUCAGAAAAACAAAUCUCUCUGUAUAUCGAUUAGUGGGUGAAAAAAAACAGAUGAGAACCAAUACGGAGGGCAUGAAUUGCAACAAUGAGAUGAGAUAAGGAGCAGCGCACUAACUACAUGAACUCGCAGGAUUGUUUGCCAUCACGUACCAUAUGGAUCUGGAGAAUCUGGCAACGAUUUUUGCCUGGCGAGAGAUGUAAACUGAUUAAGGGAACAGAUCGGUAGAGUAGGGAGCAAGAGAGGAUGAAUUGUGGGAGAGUGGUUUGGCAACUAACCUUGAUCAGCUCGGGGUGAUGCCUUGGCCACCGUCCGCCGGGCAUGCGACGAAUCUAGUAGGAGACGAGGAAGGGAACCGUGCUGAUAUGGGGGGAGGUUUCCGAUUUUAUUUGCGCAGUUACCUCAUCGCCAUCUGUUUGACUGAUGUUACUCUCGGUCUUGAAUUCCUAUGACAGGUGGGGCCUUGGUAAUGUAGCGCGUGUAUUAUUAUUUUUUUGUUUGCUAUUGGCGGGAGAGAAUGGAGGGAAAGGUAAAAAUUGGAGUGAAGCCAAAAAUAAAUAAAUUAUGAGGGUGUCUAACAAUUUGAAGCCAAACAAAUUACAAAUUUUCUUAUUAUCAUCUGGCCCGUGACGGGCACUUGUACAUAUAUUUGUGCCAAGUAGAACGUGUUUCUUCUAUGUUUGUAAAAAAAAGUGCUAUAUGGGUACAGUAAAAAUGAAUAUUAAUGCUCAAACAAUAGAAAAAGUUAAUCCGAAAACAAAAAAAAUUCCUAGCUUGCAAGUUCCGACCUACAUGUACGAUUGUCAUCCAAAAAUCACUAGUUGCCGUCCAUCAUAACCAAGAUCACUAGUUGUUCCCGACAGCCAACCACGCCGUCCAGAUUGGGCGCCGCGUGAGGAGUCGCCUUUACUGGCACACAACCAUCAUGUUUGCUGAGGUGAGGGCGGCAAGGCAGGCUGCACGAUAGCACUAGCACAACGCAGCAAUUCCAUCAAGGAGGAGUUGCCGCUUGCGAACGCGAAGACGAGCGGCCACCUCCUCCACUACCUCAGUGGCUGCAGCGGUGCCAACUCCUCAUCGCGGGCCAUUGUGUCAGCUGAGGAGAGGGAGGCGAGGCAGGCAUCGCGGUAGGGGUGGUGCAACGCGAUAAGUCCGUCAAGAUGGAGGUGCUGUCGGCGAUCGCAGAGGCGCACAACCAUAUCCUCCACUACCUCGGUGGCCGUUGCGAGGCCGACUCCUUUUCACGGUCCAUCAUGUCGCCUCAGGAGAGGGCGGCGAGGCAGGCUGCACGGUAGGAGUGGCAUAACGCGACAACUCCGUCGAGGUGGAGGUGCCGCCGAGAUCGCAAAGGCAUGCAGCCAUAUCCUCCACCAACUCGGUGGCCGCAGCGUGGCCGACUCCUUGUCACAGUCCAUCGUGUUGGCUGAGGAGAAGGCAUCGAGGUGGGCGGCGCGGUAGGAGUGGCGCAACGCGGCAAGUCCGUCAAGGAGGAGGUGUCGCUGGCGAUUGCAAAGGCGUACGACCACCUACCUCGGUGGUUGCGGCAGCGUCGACUCCUCGUCGCGGGCCAUCGUGCCAGCAGAGGAGAGGGCGGUGAGGCAGGCAGCACAGCAGGAGUGGCGCAACGCUGCAAGUCCGUCAAGGAAGAGGUGCCGCCGAUAAUCGCGAAGGCACACAACCAUCUCCUCCAAUACCUUGGGGCCGAGGCAGCGUCGACUCCUCGUCGCGGGGCAUCGUGUCAGAUGAGGAGAGAGCGGCCAAGCAGGAGGCGCGGUAACAGUGGCGCAACACGGCAAUUCCUUCAAGGAGGAUGUGACACCGGCGAUCGCGAAGGCGCGCGUUCACCUCCACUACCUCGGUGCCCACGGCGGUGCCGAUUCCUCGUCGUGGGCCAUCAUGUCGGCAGAGGAGAGGGGCUGAGGCAGGCGGCGCGACACGAGAAGUGCAACGCGGCAAGUCCGUCAAGUAGGCAUCGUGUCGGUUGAGGAAAGCGCGGCGAGGUAGGCGGUAAGGAGUGGUGCAUAAGGAAGCAGAGCGCCUCAUCCGCGAGCGGCAGGCCGCGGCCGGGAAAGGGUGUCGUGCCCCGACACCCUUCCGCCGCUGGAAGGACUACUCCAACGACGACGACAUGACGACAACGAUGUGGCCUGCCUGGGCGGUCACGCAUACGAGGACACCUUCCCUGUAAGUUAGCCUAGUUUUUUUUUAAGUUUUUAGUUAAACGGACAAAUGUUGGCCGUUUUAUAUAAAUUAUAUACGAACUUUAGUGAAUUCCAUCGUGUUUGGUAAAAUUCGUCCGGUUCAUUCUAAUUUGUUUUGAACGGAUGGAAAUACUAUUGGACGGUCGACUACCACAUAACUAUUCGUGGGCCAGGGGAAGAAGAUACUCCCUCCGGUCCUUUUUACUCCGCAUAUAAGAUUUGUCUGAAGUCAAAUUUCAUAUAGUUUGACCAACUUUGUAGAAAAAAUAUUAACAUUCACAUUACAAAAUCAAUACAAUUAGAUGCGUCAUGAAUUUAGUCUUCCUAUUGUAUAACUUUAGUAUUAAAGAUCUUGAUAUUUUUUCACAUAAAAAUGGUCAAACUUUAUGAAGUUUGACUUCAGACCAUUUUUAUAUGCAUUGUAAAAAGGACCGAAGGGGGUAUUUACAGAAACUUUGAAAUGUACGUGCUCAUACUCUAUAUAAAUAUGAUUAUAGAAAUUUUCUCAAAUUUUAUGAUGAGCUCCCAAAACAUAGUAAUUUUUAGUUUUCAAAAUAAACAAAUGCAAGACAAUUGUCUUCAGUUCAAAAUUGCAGCAUAUGUAGGAGGUGAAGAAGAGCAGCAACAGCGAUCUGCAGUAUGAGCAUGGAGAGGAGCAGCAGAGAUGAAGACUAGGAGCCGAACAGCAGUGAUGGAGGACUUCGCGCUGGGGAUCAGACAGCGCGGCUGCCCUUGUCUGAUGGAAUAUUUAUAUAAAAAGUAUGAGCAGGUAAAUUUCAAAGUUUUUGUAAAGGAGUAAUAUAAUUUGUGCCUUAGUGAAUAAGGGGGCAGAGAAUGUGUAGCAAACAGAACAACCACCACCAAUUUGGAAUCAAGUGUUGACACUUUACGACAGUCACACGUAAAAAUCUUCUUAUCCGAAUUAUUACAUGGACAUAAAACAAAAGAUAGCAAAUAACACUAAUGAAUUCGUCACUUCAACUAGGCUCUACAUUUUCAGAUCAGUGACUUUUUCAUUAUCCAUCGAACCUGCAUGUAGAAGCAAUAGAGUAGUAAGUUUCAUGUGCCAACUUUAUACACCACAUUGUACACCAUUUCCUAACAAUGGUAAACUUGACACCCAACAUCACAGAAUGACGGUAAAUUUGUGAACACAUAGUACAGCUAGGUAAAAUCUGUGAACACAUAGUACAUCACAAGCAGUAAAUAGUAUAACUAGCCUUCACCUCUUGUACGACAGUAGCUAGCAAGUUCAUAUAGUCCAAUACAAUUGUUGAUCGAUUGAAUUUUCAUCAUGAUACAACACCAGCAGCAGCUGCCAAAGUUCAGCUAGUCCCAAACACCUAGAACCAUGUCGUACAACCUGAAUUCUUUGAUCUGACCGGUCAUUAAAAGUAAAAAUAUUCUAAACAUAUGUCAUACAAGUAUACCCAAAAAACCAAGGAUUUCUUUUACUUUCUGAGUUGACUGAAACUGGCAAGGAGCUAAGCUGAGCUGAAUACAACAAACACCCGAGCCAAAUAAAACAGAAACAGAGAGGCUAAACAGAGACAUUCACAUGUUAAGGGAAAGAAAUGGAAGUCAACAUUAAGUUUAAGCAAGGUGCAUCUUAAGAGUGACAUCUUUGUGUAUUUUCAAACUAUUGUCCACUUGAGUUUCAGAAAAUACUGUGAAAUAGAUAUACUCUUGUCAACAAAAGAUACAAGUGUAUGGCUCCCACAAGUCUGAUAAUAAGGGAUCACAUUUAGAAAUAGAAGGGAGGAGGAGUACUAGGACUUUGUAGACUUUUGCUUAGGUCAACCAACUUUUUAGUCAUCAUGAUUGACUGAAUUACUUACCCUUUUCCUUGUGCAAAUCCAUGUCACAUUUUCUGUGACUUGUAGACGAUAAUAAAUGCUACAAAAAGAAUCGCCAAUGUUUGUGAUUGCAGGUACACAAGGAUAGACUCAAGNNNNNNNNNNNNNNNNNNNNNNNNNNNNNNNNNNNNNNNNNNNNNNNNNNNNNNNNNNNNNNNNNNNNNNNNNNNNNNNNNNNNNNNNNNNNNNNNNNNNNNNNNNNNNNNNNNNNNNNNNNNNNNNNNNNNNNNNNNNNNNNNNNNNNNNNNNNNNNNNNNNNNNNNNNNNNNNNNNNNNNNNNNNNNNNNNNNNNNNNNNNNNNNNNNNNNNNNNNNNNNNNNNNNNNNNNNNNNNNNNNNNNNNNAAAAAAUUGUUUCUUUGAAUAUUUACAAUCCCAAAACUCUUGAGUAUUUUUGAAACUUCAACUAUAGUAUCUAACAAUGGAUGUGCCUUGCUUACACCAUAUUCCCUGAAUAUUUGUAUCAAAUAUUCCCUGUAAAAACUGAAUGCAGAGAUCAAUGUUUACUCAGUGCAAUGCUUAUAGUCCAUUCCCUGAAUAUUUCAAGCAUUCCCUGUACAAACUGAAUUCAUUGAUGAAUGUUUAGUUAGUGCAACAUUUAAACUGUAUUCCUGUACAAAUUCUAUUCAAUCCCCGACCAACCGAACAACAAUGAAGUGGACAGGGAUUAGGAGGUAUAGGGGAUAAACCCCAACAAGUAUUAAAGUGACAGACAUAGGUUUCACUCAAACCACAGGGUGAUCAAUUCCCUGUUGGGAACAAAUCCCAAACAACUAAACACAGUCCAGGUGGUAUAGUAUAUCUCUGAAAUUGUAACAAGCCCGAAGCUCCUCUCUCUCAUAUGAUUUGAUCGCAAAGACAGGGAAAUGGAUCCAUCUCUCCUAUCUGACAGUCCAUCCCUUUCAUUAUCUACCAAAUCACAUCCCACGGCCAUGUCUAGAGGUGGCCACGAAUAAGGUCACUGGAUGAGAGGAGACGGGAAGGAGGAAGGGAGGGAGGGUUACCUCGGAGGCCAGUCUCGCCCGUACACGGUGAGGGAGAAGAAGGGCGGCCGGAGGAGCGGCGCGCCGCCGGCGGGCAGGCUGGAUGUGCAGACAGAGGAGCAGGGGACGCUAGCAGACGACUUGCAGCUUUCCUACCGCGGCCUUGCGGCUUCUAAAUUCUUCGCUGCCCACAAAGCCGCCGCUCCCCUGUCCGUCGCCGCCUUCCCGCCGCCAUGUCCAUCGCCGCCCCCUGUCCGUCCACCUUCCAGCCUUUCCGCUCAGCGGGAGGACAUUGGAUAAUAUUGAUUUGUGUCGUACUAGACCUAGAUCGAUCCGGACUUGAAGGCGAAUAUCAAUCUGGAUCGGAGAAUAUAAGUGGUGGACUUCGCGCGAUUUGGUUUUGCUUGGCGGUUAGAACAGAUCUUCGCGCCACAUAUCCCUAAAAAAAUGUUUUUCCCGCCACACAAUGUGUAACGACGUGUCUACUUUAUUUCUUUUUGUGCUGAAUUAAAUUUUGAUUAUAAAUUUUGUAUAUUUGUAGUCUUAUAAUAGAUACAAUUUGCAACCAAUACAUAACAACAAAUAAGAUGCGUUGCACCACGACAAGGUCAUGAGCCGCAAGCCUGCAACGCAUAUGCUACACCGCUUAUAUGCGUAUCUACCAUGAAUUUUGCAACAAAUAGUUAAAACGAUGUAGAAUAUGUGUUGCUUUAUAGGGGGUAUCCUUGUAGUGUGCUCCCCAGCUCACCGACGUCCCAUCCCAGCCUUAUGGCGCCAUUGAAGAGCCACCUCUUUCCGCGACGCUCCAUCAAAACCACGCCGGUGUGUUGCCUCUCCUCGAGCCCGCGGCCAUCGUCCUAGGUACGGAGGAUAGACCUGCCCUCCUGUCGUGGAUUUGUCACGGCAGAUGUCCUAGCGAAAGGACUUAGUCGUGGAGCCAUCGCUACGAGUUUACUUGAAGGGGUUAAAGCGGACACAAAGACACGAGGGUUUUAUAUUAGUUCGGCCCCUUCGAUGAAGGUAAAAGCCUACGUCUAGUUGUGAUGGAAUUGAUAUGAUCUCGAUGGCUAGGGAGCAAACAAGCUUCGCCUAGGCUCGAGUUGUGGUUGUCUGUCUUGAACCGCCACCGGGUCGUCCCCUUAUAUACACGGGUGACGCCCGUCGGUCCAUAGAGUCCUAACCAGUUCAUACUCGUAUUCUGGUUGGUAUCUCUCUAUCCCUUACUUACAAUACAAGUCAUACAUCAGGCCGGUUUACGGCUACAUGUUCUAACCGACUACAGGCCUUGGGCCUUCAUCUGUUUACGCCACUAAUGAAGUUAACCCGGCCCAAGUAGGCCGGUUUACGCCUAGUGGUAAUAUCCCCAACAUUAGGCCCCAGAUUGAUUUGAACUGGUUCAUGUCAAUCCUUCACACCAUCUGGCGUCUUGGAUAUCUUCUGUUAAUUGGUAAAUCUCCAUGUCGUCAUCAUUUUUGGUUGCUGUAAACCGGCAUGACGUCAUCAGUUUUGGUUACUGUAAAUCGGCAUGACGUCAUUAUGAAAUUCAUAACGCCCUCUUAAUGACAGCUCCUGGAUUCACGCGUUUGACCUAGCUCGGUUGCCUUAUAAAUAAGACCGAAGGGUCAUUUCCUUUCUCUUCCCCUUCGUCCCUUCUUCUUCUUCUUCCUCACGUCGCCGGCUUUGGAGCUCCGCCACCACCGUCGACGUCUGCCUCGUCUCGGGCCGCUGCAUCAACCUGAACGUACCAGAGUGUUGCGGCGUCUUUCCGCAUCUUCUCCGUUCCCGGUAAGUUCUCUCUCCUUCUUAACCUAGAUCUGUUCUUAGGGUUCCAUGUUCUUGCUAUGUUCAUUGCGCGUUCAUAGCUGUUCUCUGACCUUGAAUGCAUCUGUGAACUCUUGCUGUGCUUAGUAGCGAUCCCUUUAGCAUCCGCUUGCUAUUUCUCAUCCAAGCUCAUAGAUCUCCCGCACAUAUCCGCUCAAUGGUUCACUUCUGUUUCCGCCUUAGUCUUCGAAAUAUUUCCUGUUUUUGUGAGCUUGCUGUAGAUCCGCGGCUGUAACACGAUUUUGUGAAAUUUGUUUCUGCAUAACUAGUUAUCCAUAGUUUCAAUUGCUUCCGAUGCUUAGGCCAGGCGGUUUAACUUCACUAUAGAGAAAAAAUUGCUAAACCGGUAUAUAUGUCAUUAGUCCCCUGGUUGAACCGCCAGAAUCCAUCUGAUGCCGCGUUGUAGAAGACCGGUUUAUGGGUACUGCCUCCGGUUUACCGUAAUUAGAUCAACACCUUUUUAUCCAGCAUGUCCUGGAACCGGAUCACCUAUUUCUUGUAGAUCUCGUCAUGGCCAAACAAGUGUACGAGUGCAACUGGGUUCCCUCCCGUGUCACAGAAUCACAGCUAGACGAUCUAGUCCUGAUCGGCGCUUUGGAUAGCAAAGAUACGAUUCACUGGAGGGUUCCUGGAGAUGAAUGUCCUCCCAUGCCCCAGGAAGGAGAGGUCGUGGUCUUCGCAGAUCACAUGGCCCGGGGCUUCAAACCGCCCGGCUCUAAAUUUUAUCGGGAUGUGUUAGCCAACUUUCAACUCCGUCCACAGGAUACUGGCCCCAACUCCGUCACCAAUCUAUGUCACUUUCAAGUACUUUCUGAGGCAUACCUUCAAGAGGAGCCUUCAGUCGAGUUAUUUAGAGAUCUCUUUCAUCUAAACCGCCGUACUGAAUUCACCGACGGCCCUAAUACCGAACUGGGCGGUAUGGCCAUUCAGAAGAGGAAGGAAAUCACCUAUCCCCAUGUCAAACUCCAUACUCACCCCAAGGAGUGGAACGCAACUUGGUUUUAUUGCAAGGAUACCUCCCCUGACAAUGAAAAUCCCUUGCCUGGCUUCCGUCCGGAACGGCUCAGCAACACUCACCCUUUUCCACAAAGGCUAAGCGCCAAGGAGAGAAUUAAAUAUGCCCCUCAACUGUCCAAGCUCCGGGCCUUCAUGGCCAAUGGUUUAACAGGAAUAGACCUUGCACGCUGCUGGAUAUCAUGGAGCAUUCUGCCUCUAAGCCGGCGCCCUGGUUUGAUGUGCGAAUAUACUGGCAGUGUCGAUGACCCACUCCGACAUAUCAAAAUCCAGGUCUCCGACGACGAAGUCACAGAAUCUGUAAAGAAGAUGUUGAAUGAACCGGAGCACCUCUGUGCUCAAACCGGUCUGCUUCCUUACUGCACCACCAACGAACCGCCAGCGGUAAGAUUUUACUUGCUUUAUUAUUGAACCUGUUACUGCUUUAUCUUUCUGACCUUUAAUUAUUGUUGAUCCAGAGUGAUAAUCCGUUUUGGAGCAAGAAGCUUUCACAAGAUAAAACGGAGAAGGCAGGGCGGCCAACCCGGCCCAAGACCAAGGCUAUCAAGAAACCAGCUCGUAAAAGAAAGACCACCGCUUCAUCUGACCCAGCCAUUGAUGAUGAUGUGGGUAAUCCGAAUCUUGAGGUAGAACUUGAUUCACUUGGCUUACUUUUUACCCGCCUUAUUGAUGAUCAUGCUUGUCAGGAUGACGCUGAGGCCAGUAAUGCGGGCUUCAUUGAGGUAACUAUUCUCUCUUCUGAUUCAGAAAUCUUGCCUUUGCCAAAAUCUCGUCGGGCAAACCGGAAAGUUAAAUUUUCUCAUCCUCUUGCUUAUUUGGAUCCCAACUUUCUUAUGAAGACCCAGCAACACGAAGCUCGCCGCACAACCUGGCACAGCGGCCAGGUAGUUACUUCUGCCGGUUUAUCGAACAGUCCGGUUCGAAAACGCCGCUCCGAGGUCUCCGACCUUUUUAUUGAUUUAAAUCCUAAAGCGGGUUUCUUCCGUCAACCUCUUAAUCCAUCCGACUCCGAUUACCAGGUCACUUCUCAUUCAUCGUCUGGUGAAUCGUCGGCCACCCAGCUACCACCUUUGAAAACAGUUGCUGGGUAAGUUAAACCGAACAUAUGCUUCCAGUAUACUGCGCAAUGGCUUACGCUUUUCCUUGACUUUUUAUUUUUCUUUCAGGGCUAAACCGAAACCAAGCAAGAAGGCCCGCCUGGAUAGAGCGGCUGAAGAAGAUGUGGCCCCAGAACAUGACCAAGCACCGGAUCAUGAAGUGUUUACUUGUGAAGAUAUCCCCAAUGAUCCUCCUCUGCAAGAUGACGUUAUCCCUGAAGAAGGUCUUAUUCAUACUCCAGCCUCUGCUGAUCCGCCUGCCAGCUCUGUCCAGAUUGAGAAAUCCCACACUCCUGCUGACAAACCGGCCGCGCCAACCCAAACCGGCGAGUCAAAAGAUGAUGAUGUUGUGAUUACCGGCGUAGGCCGCUCUGAACCCGGGAAUCCUGCCACCCUUACCAGGCAUACCAUCAAAGAGGAUUCUUCCCCUUUGAACAAAGGAAAAUGGGAUGUUGAAUUAGAGACAUACGCCGCUCUGAAUGCUCAAGAUCUUCACUCUGGCUAUUUAAACCGGCUUUACACUAGCCGUGACUGUGAAGCUGGCCUGGUCAAAAUGAUGAGGGAUAAAUUUGAGGUAAAUUCCUUCUUUCCUUUCUGCCAUUGCAUUCAUCCUUGUAGCCCCCAAGGGCCGGUUUGUGACCUUGGUCAAACCGGGACUUGAUCCUGAACAUUUUUUAAAUCCGUCGGCAUAACCCUCGAGGGCCGGUCUAACUUAGCAUAAGUAAACCGGGGCUCAAAAAUAAAAAGCUGUCCUUAGAACAUAACUUGAUAAAAUAGCUAUUAGCCCCCAAGUGCCAAGUUGAAUACUUGUAUUGAGCUUGGGACUUUGUAAUCUAGCAAUAUACAAAAAACUGAAGGUGCAUUAGCCCCCAAGUAUCAGGCAUAUAACUUUGUUAUGUGGUUGAUACUUCCAUUUCUUGGAUCGACUGUGCAAAGCUUAAAAUGCCAUCUGUAUGCAGGCUGAGGUGAAAAUCAAGGAGGACCGGAUUGCCGAUUAGCAGGAGGCCCUGAAGACCCAGCAGGCUGAAACAGAUAAGGCCAAGCAAGAAUUAACCAGCGCUUUGAGCACUGCUGAACGGCUGAAAGAAGGCUUCAAGAAAGAGCGGGCUGACUAGGCCACUGAGAAGGCCGGUUUAACCAAAAGAGCGGAAAAUGCUGAAGCGGCCCUUAAACCGGUGGUGGAUGAACUGACGGCCGUACAGCGGCAAAUACACUCCAUGACUGCUGCAAUCUUUGGUAAGCUCCUUGUAACUUCUGUGAUAAAUUUGAAUCUGCUGUAUCGUAAAUCCGGUUUGAGACCAGUCCAAUCUUGUUGUAGGCACACGUAUUGGGCACUUAGGAAAUGAUGUGCGGAAGAAAUUGAAAGCUGCCUACACCUUGGUGGAACAAUUGUAUACCGGAGCCCAACGGAUCAUCACCACAACUUCUCACAACAACCCGGCGCCCUCUUUAAUCCAGGACACUCUUAGCAAGUUGUCAAUGCUUCCAGCCCGGAUUGAGGAGCUGAAAAAAUCCGCUGCCCGAACCGCAGCCAUCAAUGCCUUAAUCCGGGCAAAGGCAUGGGUGCCCGACUUUGAUCCUGCGGAAGCAGCUCAAGGCUAUCCCAGUCUGAAAGAAGAUGGCUCUGAAUUCAACGAAGAAGAUUUAAGGGCCAUAAACCGUGCAGUGCGCCCUCUGGCUUGCCAGCUAGCUGAAGAGGCAGAUUUGACGCAUUAUCAAGCGCAAUAUAAUAAUCAAAACAAGCGAGUGCCUGCCCCAACUGUUGAAGCGGAGAAUCUGAUUCCUCCAAUCCGUAAGCACACUUACGCCCUUGAUAUUGAACUGUUUUCCCUGAUCCGUGAAGAGGCUGUUUUCCAAGCUUUAAUGGGAAUCGACUGGACCACUGUUGAUUUCUAGCCAAUGGGUAGAGACGAGGAAGCUGAAGCGGCGGAGGAUGAGGAGCAGGCUUGAACCGGAAGCCGGUUUGAAGAGCUAUUUGCAACAUCCUUCCACAAAAACAAUGAUUUUGUUUGAGCACCAUGCUGCCUUGUAAUAGGAUAGUUAAAACUUCUGCCUGGAAUAUGCCUUCGUGCAUAAGUACUGAAGCUUUUGCUUGAAAAACUUUAAUUCAUAUUUCCUGCAAUCAGAAAAAUUUGAAUUUCGGUGGCGGUUAUACCGUCAGCCGGAUUAUGAUCUUGAUAUGUGUAUCAGUAAUAUAACAAAUAGAUGAUACAUAAAUACCUGCCAUGUUUGAGCAUAAAGCUGGCUUUAGCCAAGCCUGAAGCGGUGGUUUUAUAAACCAUUACCGUCAAAAAGGGAGAAAGUAGCUCCCAUACAAACCGUACUGACUUAAUACGAGCCCCCUGGUUACUCCAUGAUGUUAACAGGGAAAAGGUAAACCAGGCAGACUCCUCCGGAUUUAAAGGGGGAUCAAAAAUCAUUGGCUGAACCGGAAAAAAUAUGAUUGUUGACAUAAAAGAAAUCCAACAAAAGCAAAGAACGAACAAACCAUGAAAAAAACAUGGAAGCAAAGGCAAUGAUAAAAACCAUUUGCAAAAAUAUGCUAUACUGAGCUGUUCAGAUGGUAUUACCAUGGUCGGACAGGAUCAAGGCCCCCAAUAGGAGUGACAAUGAUUCAAGUCAGCCAGGUCCCCAAAUGACUCGUGGCAUAUAUGCCAAAUCAAGAGGCGUGACAAUGGUUCGGGUUCGACCAUGCCCCCAAGUGAUUUUGUGGCCUUAGGCCGACCAAGAGGCGUGACUGGUUCAGACUUGACCAUGUCCCCAAAUGAUCUCGUGGCUGUCGCCUAUCAAAGGGUGUUCGUUGGUUCGGACACGACCAAGGCCCCCAGUGAUAUAUAAAAAACAAAUGUCAAGGGGUAAACCGGAGGCUGCUUUAAACAGAACCACUAUGUGUAACCUUGCAUGAUGAGAAAGACAGAGACCCCGCUUUAGCUGAGGCUCCGGUUUGAUAUAUCAAAGAUAAUAUAUACAUUGUCAUGAUAUGUACAUAGAUAGAGCCGAUGGCUCAAGUAUAGUAAGGCCGAAGAUGAGCUAUAUUCCACGGCCUGUUGGUCUCCUCCUCUGAUGUACGUGAGUCUUGAUGCCCUCGAAUAUCAAUAAGAUAGUACGACCCGUUGUGCAAAUUCUUGCUGACCACGAAAGGUCCCUCCCAAGGUGGGGAUAACUUGUGCAUAUCCGUUUGAUCUUGGAUGAGUCGAAGUACCAAAUCUCCUUCUUGAAAAGUUCUGGUUCUAACCCGGCGACUGUGAUAGCGACGAAGAUCUUGCUGGUAAAUCGCCGAACGGGCAGCCGCUAUAUCACGCUCCUCGUCCAAUAGGUCCAAAGCGUCUUGCCGUGCUGUCUCAUUGUCUGCUUCAACAUAAGCUGCCACACGAGGCGAAUCGUGCCGGAUGUCACUAGGGAGAACUGCCUCUGCUCCAUAGACCAUGAAAAACGGCGUGUAUCCUGUGGACCGGUUUGGCGUAGUAUUGAUACUCCAUAAUACAGAUGGUAGCUCUUCAACCCAACAUCCUGGUGUUCUUUGCAAUGGGACCAAAAGCCGGGGUUUGAUGCCUCGCAAGAUUUCUUGAUUAGCUCAUUCUGCCUGUCCAUUGGACUGGGGGUGUGCCACUGACGACACGUCAAGUCGGAUGUGCUCACGUUCACAGAAGUCCUUCAUAGCGCCCUUGGAUAAAUUGGUACCAUUGUCAGUAAUGAUACUGUGUGGAAAACCAAACCGGAAAAUCACCUUCUUGAUGAACUGCACCGCUGUUGCUGCAUCACACUUGCUGACAGGCUCCGCUUCAACCCACUUGGUAAAUUUGUCAACUGCCACCAAAAGGUGGGUUUUCUUAUCCUUGGAUCUUUUAAAAGGCCCAACCAUAUCCAGCCCCCAAGUUGCAAACGGCCAUGUUAUUGGGAUCAUCCUCAAUUCUUGAGCCGGCACAUGAGCACGCCUUGAAAAUUUCUGACAUCCAUCACACCGUUUAACCAAGUCCUCCGCAUCAGCAUGCGCUGUCAACCAUUGAACCCGUGACGAAACACCUUUGCCACCAGAGACUUUGAACCGGCGUGGUGUCCACAAUCCCCUUCAUGGAUUUCUCUUAAGAUUUCACAGCCUUCCUCAGAAGAAACACAACGUUGAAAUGCCCCUGAUACACUGCAAUGAUGUAAUUCACCAUUGACAAUCGUCAUAGACUUGGAUCGCCGGACUAUCUGCCUGGCCAGAAUCUCAUCCUCUGGUAACUCUCCCUGGUUCAUGUACGCAAGAUAAGGAACUGUCCAAUCCGGAAUAACAUGCAGGGCUGCCACCAAUUGAGCCUCCGGAUCAGGGAUAGCCAAAUCCACCUCACCUGGGAGCUUGACUGACGGGUUGUGCAACACGUCCAAAAAGACGUUAGGUGGGACCGGUUUACGCUGAGAGCCCAACCGGCUUAAAGCAUCCGCCGCUUCAUUCUUCCGACGGUCCACAUGAUCCACUUGAUAACCCUUGAAACAACCUGCAAUAUUAUCCACUUCCCGACGAUAUGCAGCCAUGAGCGGGUCCUUAGAAUCCCAAGUGCCAGACACCUGUUGAGCCACUAGGUCCGAGUCACCAAAGCACUUAACCCGGCUUAAAUUCAUCUCUUUAGCCAUCCGGAGACCAUGGAGCAAAGCUUCGUACUCAGCUGCAUUAUUAGUACAAGGGAACAUUAAGCGGAGAACAUAACAAAACUUAUCACCUCGUGGGGAAGUUAAUACGACUCCAGCCCCCGAGCCUUCCAAUUGCCUGGAUCCGUCAAAAUGAAUAGUCCAAUAUGUGUGAUCCGGCUUCUCCUCUGGUGCUUGUAACUCCGUCCAGUCAUUGAUGAAAUCAACAAGUGCUUGAGACUUCACUGCCGUCCGAGGUACGUACUUCAGUCCGUGUGGCCCAAGCUCUAUAGCCCACUUGGCAAUCCGGCCAGUCGCCUCCCGGUUCUGUAUAAUAUCACCCAAGGGAGCUGAAGUGACCACUGUGAUGGGGUGCCCUUGAAAAUACUGCUUCAACUUCCGACUGGCCAUAAAAACUCCAUAGACCAGCUUCUGCCAAUGCGGAUACCUUUGCUUGGAUUCAAUAAGCACCUCGCUGAUAUAAUAAACCGGCCGCUGAACCGGAUAUUCCUUGCCUGCCUCUUUGCGUUCCACCACAAUAGCCACGCUAACUGCCCGAGCAUUGGCCGCUACGUAUAAUAAUAGUGGCUCCUUGUCGACCGGAGCUGCAAGAACAGGCGGAUUGGCUAACUGCCACUUCAGGUCCUCAAAUGCCUCAUCAGCAGCUGGACUCCAGACGAAAUUGUCUGUCUUCCUCAGCAUUUGGUACAAAGGGAUAGCCUUCUCCCUGAGGCGGCUGAUAAACCGGCUCAGCGCAGCGAUUCGGCCCGCCAAACGCUGAACAUCGUUGAUACACUUUGGUUUAGCUAGGGAUGUAAUAGCCGUAAUCUUCUCCGGAUUAGCCUCAAUUCCUCUGUUAGACACCAGGAAACCCAGUAACUUGCCUGCCGGAACACCAAAAACACACUUGGCCGGAUUAAGCAUCAUCUUGUAAGCUCGCAAGUUGUCAAAGGUCUCCUUCAAAUCAUCCACCAGCGUCUCCUUCUGUCUUGAUUUUACUACAAUAUCAUCCACAUAGGCGUGCACAUUGCGGCCGAUCUACUCAUGCAGGCAAUUCUAUGCACACCGUUGAUAGGUGGCUUGGGCACUCUUGAGCCCGAAGGGCAUAGAUACAUAGCAGAAGGCUCCAAAGGGAGUAAUAAAUGUUAUUUUCUCCUGGUCCUUAACCGCCAUCUUGAUCUGAUGAUAUCCAGAGUAUGCAUCCAAAAAACUCAAACGCUCACAACCCGCCGUGGCAUCAAUGAUCUGGUCAAUACGGGGGAGGGCAAAAGGAUCUGCCGGACAGGCUUUGUUAAGAUCUGUGUAAUCCACACACAUACGCCAAGUGCCGUUUUUCUUAAGAACCAGCACCGGAUUAGCAAGCCACUCUGGAUGGAACACCUCAAUAAUAAAACCAGCUGCUAAAAGCCUGGCCACUUCCUCUCCAAUGGCUUUGCGUCUUUCUUCGUUAAACCGGCGGAGGAACUGUUUCACCGGUUUAUACUUAGGAUCCACAUUAAGAGUGUGCUCAGCGAGUUCCCUCGGUACACCUGGCAUGUCAGACGGCUUCCAUGCAAAAAUGUCCCGAUUCUCACGGAUGAACUCGAUGAGCGCGCUUUCCUAUUUGGGAUCCAGGUUGGCACUGAUAGUGAACUGUUUGGACGAAUCGCCGGGCACGAAGUCAACAAGCUUGGUCUCAAAUGCCGAUUUGAACUUCAGAUCUGAAUCAUGCUCUGUAGUUGGCUUCUUUAAAGGGGUCAUAUCCGCCGGAUCAACAUUGUCCUCAUAAUACUUCAACUCCUCCGUGGCACAGACUGACUCUGCAUAAGCCGCAUCACCUUCCUCACAUUCCAAAGCGACCCUACGGCUCCCAUGAACCGUUAUGGUCCCCUUGUAACCCGGCAUCUUGAGCUGCAAGUAGAUAUAACAAGGCCGCGCCAUGAACUUGGCGUAAGCCGGCCGGCCAAACAAGGCGUGAUACGGGCUCCGGAUCUUCACCACCUCAAAUGUUAGUUUUUCCGACCGGGAGUCGUGCUCGUCCCCAAAGGCCACAUCCAGGGCUAUCUUACCAACAGGAUAUGCAGAUUUGCCUGGCACAACACCAUGGAAUACUGUAUUCGACGGUCUGAGAUCCUUGUCUGUUAGUCCCAUGCGCCGGAAUGUCUCAUAGUAUACUAUGUUAAUACUGCUUCCUCCAUCCAUGAGCACCUUGGUGAACUUAUAACCCCCCACCUGAGGGUCCACCACUAAUGCUAACUGGCCCGGAUUAUCAACCCGGGGCGGGUGAUCUUCUCUGCUCCACACGAUGGGCUGCUCUGACCAGCGUAAGUAACGUGGUAAGGCCGGUUCAACAGAAUUCACCGCUCGCUUGUGGAGUUUUCGGUCGCGCUUAUCCAAGCCAGUUGUGAAAACAUGGUAUUGCCCAUUGCUCAACUGCUUUGGCUGGCUCUGAUAACCUGACUGCUGCUGCUGCUGCUGCUGCUGGCCGUUCUGAUUAUUCUGGCUAUUGUGACCGCCCUGAUUGAAACCUGAACCGGAAGCUCCAUCGUGACCCGGACCGUGUAAACCGGAUCCUGAACCGCCACCUGACCCAUGGUCAUACCGGAAGGCAUUAGAGUUUUUAAACUCCUGCAUAAUAUAACAAUCCUUCCAAAGGUGGUUAGCCGGCGACUCCUUCGUCCCGUGCUUUGGGCAAGGCUGAUUCAACAAAUAAUUCAAACGGCUUGCGUUAGGAUUGGGGGCCCCAUUACGAUUUGCCGCCUUACCUCUGCGCCGCUGCCCCCUGUCCUGUGCAUUAGUGUUGGCCACAAAAUCCAUGCUACCCUCCGCCUUGCGUUUGCCUCCGUUUCCAUGACCCGCCGGUUUGUACUGCUGCUGUUUAGAGUUGCUAUUCUUCCUUCCCUUCCCUGUUUCAUCAUCAUCAGGUUCGGGAUCCUUGGUACUGUCCGAAUCAGCAUACUUCACUAAAGCAGCCAUGAGGGUUCCCAUGUCAUUACAGAACCGCUUCAUGCGUCCCAAUUUCAAUUUUAGAGGCUCAAACCGGCAGUUGCCUUCAGAGUUAAGAUCGUAGAGUCAGCAUUAAUCCUGUGAGACGAGUGCAAAAUUUCCGAAACACGGCGUACCCAACGGGUCGUUGACUCUCCUUCCUCCUGGACACAAGCCGCCAGGUCUACUAUGGACUUGGGCUGCUCACAUGUAUCCUUAAAAUUCUGUAUAAACCGGGCCCGCAACUGGGCCCAUGAGCUGAUAGAAUUGGGUGGUAGGCUCUUUAACCAAGUACGAGUCGUGCCCUCAAGCAUCAUGGUGAAGUAUUUUGCACACGCGGCCUCAUCCACGUCUAGUAUCUCCAUGGCCAUCUCAUAACUCUCUACCCACGCUUCAGGGGAUAAAUCAGCGGUGUAAUUCGGCACCUUGCGUGGACCCUUGAAAUCUUUGGGCAGGCGCACAUUACGUAAAGCUGGGACUAAGCAAGGCACUCCCAAAGCGGAUGUGAUUCCUGGUCCGGCAAAGGUUGUAGAACGAACCGGUGUAAGUUGGCCCGCAUUAUCCUGUGCUGCUAACUCGGCCUCCCUUUGUGCCCGGGCCCGGUCCACCACAUCCUGAGCAUCGCCAACACCACCUGCCGGGUCAUUACCACGGGUCGCUUCACGGCCUUGCGCAUUGCUUGAUAUGGCCGGUUCAUCCAUGCGCCUGCUAUAGCUCCGGCUCGGACGGGGCGUAGAAUGAAUCCGAUCACGGCUGUAUGAGUAUGCCUCCUGCUGAAUCAGCGCAGUCCGGAGAAGCUCCUUAACCCGACGCGUCUCUAUCGCUUGUGGAGAAUCCCCUUCGACUGGGAUGGCCUCUAACCGUGCAGCGGCCGCAACAAGGUUGUCCAUAGGAUUCGAAUAAUGACCCGGGGGCGUCUGGACCGGCGGAGGAAUCACAAUGUUUUGGUGAGGAGGUUCCAUCAGGCGAGGUUGGACCGUCGCUCCUGGUCCUGGUGCCUCAAUCCGGUUUGUCUCCGGGUACUGCGGCGGAUUACUGGGUCCAGCUCCUGGAGUGUGAAAGAGAUUUCGGGGGUCAAACCCUAACGGCAGGCGUGAUCUAUGCUUUCGCUUCAAAACCUCCUGUGAUGCGUUCUGGUCAAGCAUGAGUUUAUAGGCCUGGGCGUCCAAAGCGGCCCGCUCUGCAGCCAUCCUCUCUUUUUCUGCUGCCAGAUCCGCUUUGGCUUGCACGAUCUGCUCUCUCACCUUCGCAAUUUCUGCAUUAUGGGCCUCCUGAUCCGCCGGAUUGUCCUCUGCCAUAAGCGCGGCUAGUGCAUCAAACAGAUCAGAUAGAACUUGAACCGGCGGGCGCACAAGGCCUCCUGCCCCUGCUGCUGCUACCGCUGCUGAUCCGGAGAGCAUUGCUGCGGCGGUCGAAGAGUGAUUUGCCGCCUGUGUGCCGGCCAUGAAUAUUCCAACCCGGUUGACCUGGCCUGUGGGGUCCGGAAUACUGUCGCCAUCGGAACAGCCCCUAAUCUGGUCGUCUUGCAACUGGUACAGCGAUUCGGUCUCUCCGGUCGAGGACUCGUCAUCGGAAUAGACGACGGACUCACUACCGUGUUCUGAUUCGUCCUAACGCUCUCCUUCGUGGAUGACUCCAACGAAGACACGCUUCACGGCCGGUUUAGCCCAGGUAGAUCUCGCACGCUGAGCCGUCUCGAUGAGGUUGGUGCAGAUGUCCGGCUCAGGCCCAGGCUCACCGAUUUUGCCAAUGAAAACGUGUAUGCCACCAAAGGGGACCCGGUACCCGUACUCGAUCGAAUCGGCCUCGGGACCCCAUCCUGCAUCGUCGAUGUAGAUCCUGCCUCGACGACUCUUGGUCAUCCGGCCCACAACAUAGCCUUCGACUCCCUUGAGCUUGCCCUCCAAGAUCGUCAAACCAUCGUGCGAUUGCCCCACGGUGGGCGCCAACUGUCGUGGAUUUGUCACGGCAGAUGUCCUAGCGAAAGGACUUAGUCGUGGAGCCAUCGCUACGAGUUUACUUGAAGGGGUUAAAUCGGACACAAAGACACGAGGGUUUUAUACUAGUUCGGCCCCUUCGAUGAAGGUAAAAGCCUACGUCUAGUUGUGAUGGAAUUGAUAUGAUCUCGAUGGCUAGGGAGCAAACAAGCUUCGCCUAGGCUCGAGUUGUGGUUGUCUGUCUUGAACCGCCACCGGGUCGUCCCCUUAUAUACACGGGUGACGCCCUUCGGUCCAUAGAGUCCUAACCGGUUCAUACUCGUAUUCCGGUUGGUAUCUCUCUAUUCCUUACUUACAAUACAAGUCAUACAUCAGGCCGGUUUACGGCUACAUGUUCUAACCGACUACAGGCCUUGGGCCUUCAUCUGUUUACGCCACUAAUGAAGUUAACCCGGCACAAGUAGGCCGGUUUACGCCUAGUGGUAAUAUCCCCAACACCUCCCCUGUCCUGUCGCCAAGCUAGCCACACCUCUGUCGGACUUCAAUGCCGCUCCUACCGCCGCUCCUCAGUCCCCCGCCCCUCCCGCCUCUUAUCUUCAGGUCCUCCUCCGCCCUGCACCUCCAUCCUCCCCUCCUCGCACCCCACCUCGCCCCCUUCGCCCGCUCACCGGGUGCUUCAGGUGCCUCGCCUCCUACCACCAGGUUGUCGACUGCCGUGACCCCAUCUGUUGCAGGGGGUGCGGCGGCUCCGGCCACUGUCUUCACCAGUGCAUGGCGUGCCCCACAGUGACCGUCCUCCCGCCCCCUCCCCUCCACCUCAGCCACCCACCGCAGAGCCCUGCCCUGUUGCGCCCUUCCCCUCCGCUCUUCCCAUGCCUCCACUGCCCACCAACGCUCCUGCUCUCAUCGUCGGGGAGUGCUCUGCUUUGGCCUCCCCGAACGCCUUUUGCCUACGCAGGCGUGCGGCGCCUCGGUCACCCCCCGCCUCCCCGUCCCGGUUCCGCAUCAUAGGCACUUCACCAAACGGCUCGGUCACCUUCAUGCCUGCCUCCCCAGCAGCGGGCGUCGCACCGCUCCGUCGCUAGUGCACCUUCCCCUGGCUCUGCGUCGCGCUACUUCUGACAAGUCCGACGAGUCGGGCUCGGACGCCUCUGCUGCCUCUCGUGAGCAGCCCGAUUUCGACAGCGAUGGCGGCCUGGUGCACCACUCUCCCUCGGGCUUUGAGGCCAGCUCCAGCGCUCGCGCUCCGUCCCUGGUGGCGGAAUCCGAGCGGCCGCACUACCUUGAGGUCUUCAUGCCCACGGGUGACCUCGCGGCUCGCCGGCUGGCUGUGGUCUACAUCGACCCCCCAGUGCAUUCCCUUCCCCAACGGCGUCCGUCCGCGACGCCCUGCUGGCUGUGGCGCCCCACCUCUUCUUCGACACGGUCGGCUCUUCCGUUGGCGCCAUGUACUUACGGUUCAACUCUCCCGAGGACCGCGAGACAUGCGUCGCGCUGUGGGAGCUGCCUUCUGAGGGCGCUCGCAUCAUCUUCACUAGGGAAGAGGAGGCCGACCGGGUGCCACCAAGGGCCAGGACCCACGCCUUCAUCUCUGCCACUAGAUUUCCUGUCGAGCACAUUAACCCCGUCGGCAUUGCUCACACCUUCUCUGGCUUUGGUGACUUGGUCGAGAUCGACCACAGGGUGCUCUCCGGCGCCGACCUCUCUGCCGUUUGGGUUGUCCUCCUCCUCGAGCAUGCCAGGGAGGUGCCUUGUGACUUGUGGCCGCGUGGCGGGUUCUGGGGCUCCCGCGUCGUCACUGUCAGUACGCUCACCGUUUGGCCGCAAGCGGACUCCUACGGCGAUGAUGGCGUCUACAUCCCCUUAUUCGGCCCGCCACCGCCUCCGCCAUUCGCUCACAAUGGAGCCCCGCCGCCUCUGCAUGACUUUCCCCUGGGCUGGCUGGCCCCGGCCCCCCGGGGCAGCAACCUCCUCCGCGCCAGGGUGGGGGGGCUGGGCAACAGCUUGCCACCUUGCUCCGCCUACAUGGCGCCCCGCCUCUCCCUGGGUCUCCCGCCUCCGUCUGUGCUCCUCCGCCGUCCGUGGCGUCGGGCUACUCCAGCAGCAUGGCCGCCUCCACCCCACGUAACUCGUUGGUCAUUACUGAACUAGGUAAGGACUCCGACGAUGACGUUGGGGGUUGCGGGUCGGGCGCCUACAACGCCCGCGUGCCUGCCGUGCUUGCGGGUACUGGGUCGCCCCCGACACCCGUUAUGCAUGCGCCAUGCAACGUGGUGCCCGAUGUCGCUGCCCCUGCACCUGCUGUUCCGGGCGUGCACCAUAGCCGUCGCCUGGCCCUCAAAGAGCCUGCCGCGUACGUCUCCAUGACUGCCAAAGCUAUCAAACAGAGGGAGCUCAAGGACUCCCUCAAAGGCUGCUCAACGGCUCUCCAAGCCAAAGUGCUCAAACACAAAGUGAUCGCCGCCGUCCUCAAGCCUCUGGGAAUGAACUUUGUGUCCGAGCUUAGGGUCGCGGCGGCCAUCCCAUAUGCUUUGGUGUCGGCAAGUGUCACCAUGCCUCCGGGCAAUAUCCAUACACACACAUACCCUUACGCGUGACUCUGGAGACCACCCUCAAGUGCCUCCAAAGCCGACAUGGAUUUGUGCCACCAAAGCCUGGGUCACCAUGCCUCCGGGCAAUAUCAUACACACACAUACCCUUACGCGUGACUAUGGAGACCACCCUCAAGUUCCUCCAGAGCUAACAUGGCUUUGUGCCACCAAAGCCUGGGUCACCAUGCCUCCGGGCAAUAUCCACACACACACACACACACAUACCAAGAGCGCCUCAACCGUGGCUAGCUCCUACGCACACGUGACUUCACAUGCUUCAAACCCGUGCCUCCGGAGGCAACAUACCAAUGCCUUCGUAGUAUGCACACAUGUGCAUGCACGCGCACAAACCUAUAUCGUCAACAAAGCAUAGCUCUUAAGUAGACGUGACUGCACAUUCUUCAAACCUUUGCGUUCCAAAACAAAGCAGUUUGCCUUUUGCACGACCUGCUAGGAGGUUCCCUCGCGCGCCGUGUCACACCGCGAUGGACAAUGCGCCGCACGAACCAGCACGCUACACGACCAACACACACUUCAACCUAUGCCCCCUCUUCAAGAUGUUUAUGAAAAUUAAAUGAGCCGAAGGCGAGCAGGAGGUUCCCUCGUGCCGGAGGCGCCGUGUCACACCAUGAGGGACAACGCGCCGCACGAACCAGCACGCUGCACGACCAACACACACUUCGACCUAUGCCCCCCCUUCAAGAUGUUUAUGAAAAUUAAACGAGCCGAAGGCGAGCAGGAGGUUCCCUCGCGCCGGAGGCGCCGUGUCACACCGCGAGGGACAACGCGCCGCACGAACCAGCAUGCUGCACGACCAACACACACUUCGACCUAUGCCCCCCCUUCAAGAUGUUUAUGAAAAUUAAACGAGCCGAAGGCGAGCAGGAGAUUCCCUCACGCCGGAGGCGCCGUGUCGCAACGCGAUGGACAAAUGAUGACCCACAAGUAUAGGGGAUCUAUCGUAGUCCUUUCGAUAAGUAAGAGUGUCGAACCCAACAAGGAGCAGAAGGAAACGAUAAGCGGUUUUCAGCAAGGUAUUCUCUGCAAGUACUGAAAUAAGUGAUAACAGAUAGUUUUGUGAUAAGAUAAAUUGUAACGAGCAACAAGUAACAAAAGUAAAUAAAGUGCAGCAAGGUUGACCAAUCCUUUUUGUAGCAAAGGACAAGCCGGAACAAACUCUUAUAAUAGGGAAAGCGCUCCCGAGGACACAUGCGAAUAUCGUCAAGCUAGUUUUCAUCACGCUCAUAUGAUUCGCGUUCGGUACUUUGAUAAUUUGAUAUGUGGGUGGACCGGUGCUUGGGUGCUGUUCUUACUUGAACAAGCAUCCCACUUAUGAUUAACCUCUAUUGCAAGCAUACACAACUACAACAAAAGUAUUAGGGUAAACCUAACCAUAGCAUGAAACAUAUGGAUCCAAAUCAGCCCCUUACGAAGCAACGCGUAAACUAGGGUUUAAGCUUCUGUCACUCUAGCAACCCAUCAUCUACUUAUUACUUCCCAAUGCCUUCCUCUAGGCCCAAAUAAUGGUGAAGUGUUAUGUAGUCGACGUUCACAUAACACCACUAGAGGUUAGACAACAUACAUCUUAUCAAAAUACCGAACGAAUACCAAAUUCACAUGACUACUAAUAGCAAGACUUCUCCCUUGUCCUCAGGAACAAACGUAACUACUCACAAAGCAUAUUCAUGUUCAUAAUGAGAGGGGAUAUAAUGUGCAUAAGGGAUCUGAACAUAUGAUCUUCCACCAAUUAAACCAACUAGCAUCAACUACAAGGAGUAAUCAACACUACUAGCAACCUACUAGCACCAAUCCCGGACUUGGAGACAAGAAUUCGAUACAAGAGAUGAACUAGGGUUUGGAGAUGAGAUGGUGCUAGUGAAGAUGUUGAUGGAGAUUGCCCUCUCCCAAUGAGAGGAGGGUUGGUGAUGAUGAUGACAAUGAUUUCCCCCUCCCGGAGGGAAGUGUCCCUGGCAGAACAGCUCUGCCGGAGCCCUAGAUUGGUUCGGCCAAGGUUCCGCCUCGUGGCGGCGGAGUCUCGUCCCGAAAGGUUGCUUAUGAUUUUUUUUUCUCAUCGAAAGACUUCGUAUAGGAGAAGAUGGGCGUCGGAGAGCCACCAGGGGGCCCACGACGUAGGGGGCGCGCCCAGGGGGGAGAGGCGCGCCCCCCACCCUCGUGAGCAAGGUGUGGGCCCCCUGGCCUUCAUCUUUGGCGAUGAUUUUUCUUUAUUUAUUUUAAGAUAUUCCGUGGAGUUUCAGGACUUUUGGAGUUGCGCGGAAUAGGUCUCCAAUAUUUGCUCCUUUUCCAGCCAGAAUUCCAGCUGCCGGCAUUCCCCCUUUUCAUGGUAAACCUUGUAAAAUAAGAGAGAAUAGCCAUAAGUAUUGUGACAUAUCGUGAAAUAACAGCCCAUAAUGCGAUAAAUAUCGAUAUAAAAGCAUGAUGCAAAAUGGACGUAUCAACUCCCCCAAGCUUAGACCUCGCUUGUCCUCAAGCGAAAAGCCGAUAACAAUAAAUAUGUCCUCAUGUUUAUAAGUAGAGGCGUCGAUAAAAAUAAAAUAUGGACAUGAAGGCAUCAUGACUAUUUUCAUAACAGCAACAUAUAUAGAUUUUUCAUGUGAUUACUUAUGUUCAAGUGAUGAUCUUUUCACAAAGCCAAAGUAUGAAUCAUAAACCUUAUUGAGCACCAACAAAUUAUACCCUCAGUCAUUGAAGCAAUUGCAAUUUAUCAUAACAUCGAAAGAGUCUAUGUCAGAGCUUAAAAGCAAGUCCACAUACUCAACUAUCACUUAGUCCUUCAUAAUUGCUAACACUCACGCAAUACUUGUGGUUACGGAGUUUUAGCCGGACACAGAGAAAGAUAGGGGCUUGUAGUUUUUCCCCACAACCUUUUACCUCAAGGGUAAUGUCAACAAUAAUAAUUCAUGCUCCCCCACAUCCAAUUAGAUAUAUAUAUAUAUAUAUAUAUAUAUAUAUAUAUAUAUAUAUAUAUAUAUAUAUAUAUAUAUCAUGUUCUUUCCAACAUGCUGAGCUUGCCAAAGGAUAACAUGAAAAAGGAAAGGUGAAGAUCACCGUGACUCUUGCAUAAAGUAGAGGAUAAUAAUAAAAGAUAGGCCCUUCGCAGAGGGAAGCAGAGGUUGCCAUGCGCUUUUAUGGUUGGAUGCACAAAAUCUUAAUGCAAAAGAACGUCACUUUAUAUUGCCCCUUGUAUGUGAACCUUUAUUAUGCAGUCCGUCGCUUUUAUUGCGUCCACAACAAGUUCGUACAAAGCUUAUUUCUCUGCACUAAUAAGUCAUGCAUAUUUAAAGAGAAAUUUUUAUUGCUUGCACCGAUGAAAACUUACUUGAAGGAUCUUACUCAAUCCAUAGGUAGAUAUGGUGGACUCUCAUGGCUAAACUGGUUUAAGGGUAUUUGGAAGCAUAAGUAGUAUCUCUACUUGGUGCUGAGAAUUUGGCUAGCAUGAGGGGGAAAGGCAAGCUCCACAUGUUAGAGGAACCAUGACAACAUACUUUAUCUCAAAUGUAAGAAAACAUAACUCAUUAUGUUGUCUUCCUUGUCCAACAUCAAUUCUUUAGCAUGUCAUAUUUUAAUGAGUGCUCCCAAUCAUAAAAGAUGUCAAUGAUAAUAUAUCUAUAUGUGAAACCUCUCUCUCCUUAUUACUUCCUAUUAAUUGCAACGAUGACCAAAGCUAUAUUUGCCAACUCCCAAUAACUUUUAAUUAUCAUACUCUUUUUAUGUGAAGUCAUUACUCUCAAUAAGAUCAAUAUGAACUCUUUGUUUCUUUUUAUUCUUUUCUUUAUUCACCCAAGAUCAUGGCAAAGUAAUCAAGCCCUUGACUCAACACUAAUCUUUAUUAUAUAUAGCUCACAGACUCGAUUGCAUAGAGGGAUCAUAAAGCAAAACUCAAAACUAGAUCGUGCCAUGACUUUAUUCUACUAAAUCAAGAUACUACUAAUAGGAUCGAACUAAGAAAAACGGUAAAGAUAGGAGUCGUGAUGGUGAUACAAUACCGGGGCACCUCCCCCAAGCUUGGCAGUUGCCAAGGGGAGUGCCCAUACACAUGUGAUUAUAUCUCCUUCUUUAUUGUUGGCGGUGGAGGUGUUGUUGAUGAUGGAAUCUUGUCGUCCACCUUCCAUGGCAAAGGCUCACCCUCAUAGAAGGAUGAUCGAGUCUCCGGAAUCCUCAAAUCUGCAACGGAAACAGUUCGAAAUGAAAACAGAGGAUAUUUGCGUGAUAUGGUCGUCAAAACCUUCGGGAGAAUAUAUAAUGAAUUUUUACCGACCAAAAAUACGUAUCGUGCAAGAAAACGGAGUCCGGAGGGCACACGAGGUGCUCACGAGGUAGGGGCGCGCCCAGGGGGUAGGGCGCGCCGUCCACCCUCGUGGAGGCCUCGUGUCCUCCCCGGACUGCUACUUAUUUUUCUAUUUUUCUAAAUAUUCCAAAACGGAGAAAUAUUGCUUUAAAAAUUGUUUUGGGGUCGGUUUACUUACCGUACCACAUACUAUUCCUUUUCAGAGUCUGGAACGUUCUGGAAAGUGUCCCUUAUGUAUUCCUCCGGGGUUACGGUUUCAAUAAUAUUGGUUUCAACAUUUAUGGGAUUACCUGAGAUAUAAUGUUUGAUUCUUUGACCGUUUACCACCUUCGGAUUUGUGCUUGCGGGGUUGUUGAUUUUUAUGGCACCGGAAUGAUAGACCUCCUCGAUAACGUAAGGACCUUCCCAUUUGGAGAGAAGUUUUCCUGCAAAAAAUCUUAAACGAGAGUUGUAUAGUAAUACAUAAUCACCUACAUUAAACUCACGCUUUUGUAUCCUUUUGUCAUGCCAUCUUUUAACUUUUUCUUUAAAUAACUUGGCAUUUUCAUAGGCUUGGGUUCUCCAUUCAUCAAGUGAGCUAAUAUCAAAUAACCUCUUCUCACCGGCAAGUUUGAAAUCAUAGUUGAGCUCUUUAAUAGCCCAAUAUGCCUUAUGUUCUAAUUCGAGAGGUAAGUGACAUGCUUUUCCAUAAACCAUUUUAUACGGAGACAUACCCAUAGGAUUCUUAUAUGCAGUUCUAUAGGCCCAUAACGCAUCAUCAAGUUUCUUGGACCAAUUCUUUCUAGACCUAUUAACAGUCUUUUGCAAAAUUAAUUUGAGCUCUCUAUUACUCAAUUCUACAUGACCACUAGACUACGGGUGAUAUGGAGAUACAAUUCUAUGAUUAACGUCAUAUUUAGCAAGCAUUUUACGGAAAGCACCAUGAAUAAAGUGUGAACCACCAUCAGUCAUUAAGUAUCUAGGGACUCCAAACCUCAGAAAAAUAACUUCUUUAAGCAUUUUAAUAGAAGUGUUAUGAUCAGCACUACUAGUUGGAAUAGCUUCUACCCACUUAGUAACAUAAUCAACAGCAACUAAAAUAUGUGUAUAUCCAUUAGAGACAGGAAAAGGUCCCAUAUAAUCAAAGCCCCAAACAUCAAAUGGCUCAAUAACAAGUGAAUAAUUCAUAGGCAUUUCUUGACGUCUACUGAUAUUACCAAUUCUUUGACAUUCAUCACAAGACAAAACAAACUUACGAGCAUCCUUGAAAAGAGUAGGCCAAUAAAAUCCGGAUUGCAAUACCUUAUGUGCAGUUCUAUCUCCAGCGUGAUGUCCUCCUUAAGCUUCAGAGUGACACUUGCGUAGGAUCUGUUCCUGUUCAUGCUCGAGUACACAACGUCUAAUAACACCAUCUACUCCUUCUUUAUAAAGAUGUGGGUCAUCCCAAAAGUAAUGUUGCAAGUCAUAGAAAAACUUUUUCUUUUGUUGGUAUGUGAAACUAGGCGGUAUAAAUUUAGCAACAAUAUAAUUAGCAUAAUUAGCAUACCAUGGAGUGCUACGAGAAGUGCUUAUGACAUUUAAUUGUUCAUCAGGAAAGCUAUCAUCAAUAGGUAGUGGGUCAUCAAGAACAUUCUCUAACCUAAUUAAGUUGUCUGCAACUGGUUUCUCAGAUCCUUUUCUAUCAACAAUAUGCAAAUCAAAUUCUUGUAGCAAGAGAACCCAUCUAAUAAGUCUAGGUUUAGUAUCUUUCUUUUCCAUAAGAUAUUUAAUAGCAACAUGAUCGGUGUGAAUAGUUACUUCAGAAUCAACAAUAUAGGGUCUGAAUUUAUCACAGGCAAACACAACUGUUAAGAGUUCCUUUUCAGUAGUAGCAUAAUUUCUUUGAGCAUUGUCUAGAGUCUUACUAGCAUAAUGGAUAACAUUUAAUUUGUUAUCAACUCUUUGCCCUAGAACAGCACCUACAGCAUAAUCACUAGCAUCACACAUAAUUUCAAAGGGUAAAUUCCAAUCAGGUGGCUGAACAAUAGGUGCAGAGACUAAUGCUUUCUUAAGUAUUUCAAAUGCUUCUACACAAUCAUCAUCAAAGACAAAUGGUACAUCUUUUUGUAAUAAAUUAGUCAGAGGACGAGAGAUUUUUGAGAAGUCCUUAAUGAACCUCCUAUAAAAUCCAGCAUGACCAAGGAAACUUCUUAUACCUUUGAUGUCCUUGGGACAUGGCAUCUUUUCAAUAGCAUCAACCUUGGCUUUAUCAACUUCAAUACCUCUUUCAGAAACUUUGUGCCCCAAGACAAUACCUUCAUUAACCAUAAAGUGGCAGUUUUCCCAAUUCAAGACAAGAUGCAUAGGGUAAUACUUUUGAUGAAAUUCCAAUUUCACCCUUUUAUAGUUCCAUGAUCUCGUAUCAUCACAUAGCCUAUACCAUGUCGAUGCGUCUCCCUCCAAAGAUAAAGGGAAAGCCUUCUUCUUAACAACAUCAUCGGGUAUACCUGCAAGCUUAAAUAACCCAUAAAUAUCAUCCAAAUAGCGUAGAUGCUCGUCGGGAUGCUUUGUCCCAUCUCCUGUAAAAGUAUUAGCCAGCAGUUUUUCCAUAAUACCCGAAGGAAAUUCAAAAGGAGUUUCAUUUUCAAUAGGUUCGGUAGGUUGAGGAGCAACUCUUUGCUCUACUGGACGGGGUGAAGAUACCCUGAACAAGCCCCUCAGAGAUUCACUUUCCAUAGUAACAAGUGACAGAAAAUUUCAGCACACUAUAUAAAUUUUUCCUUACCAAAGGCGCUACACUCCCCGGCAACGGCGCCAGAAAAGAGUCUUGAUGACCCACAAGUAUAGGGGAUAUCGCAGUCCUUUCGAUAAGUAAGAGUGUCGAACCCAACGAGGAGCAGAAGGAAAUAAUAAGCGGUUUUCAGCAAAGUAUUCUCUGCAAGUACUGAAAUAAGUGAUAACAGAUAGUUUUGUGAUAAGAUAAAUUGUAACGAGCAACAAGUAACAAAAGUAAAUAAAGUGCAGCAAGGUGGACCAAUCCUUUUUGUAGCAAAGGACAAGUCCGAACAAACUCUUAUAAUAGGGAAACCGCUCCCGAGGACACAUGCGAAUAUCGUCAAGCUAGUUUUCAUCACGCUCAUAUGAUUCGCGUUCGGUACUUUGAUAAUUUGAUAUGUGGGUGGACCGGUGCUUGGGUGCUGUUCUUACUUGAACAAGCAUCCCACUUAUGAUUAACCUCUAUUGCAAGCAUCCGCAACUACAACAAAAGUAUUAAGGUAAACCUAACCAUAGCAUGAAACAUAUGGAUCCAAAUCAGCCCCUUACGAAGCAACGCAAAAACUAGGGUUUAAGCUUCUGUCACUCUAGCAACCCAUCAUCUACUUAUUACUUCCCAAUGCCUUCCUCUAGGCCCAAAUAAUAGUGAAGUGUUAUGUAGUCGACGUUCACAUAACACCACUAGAGGUUAGACAACAUACAUCUUAUCAAAAUAUCGAACGAAUACCAAAUUCACAUGACUACUAAUAGCAAGACUUCUCCCUUGUCCUCAGGAACAAACGUAACUACUCACAAAGCAUAUUCAUGUUCAUAAUGAGAGGGGAUAUAAUGUGCAUAAGGGAUCUGAACAUAUGAUCUUCCACCAAUUAAACCAACUAGAAUCAACUACAAGGAGUAAUCAACACUACUAGCAACCUACUAGCACCAAUCCCGGACUUGGAGACAAGAAUUCGAUACAAGAGAUGAACUAGGGUUUGGAGAUGAGAUGGUGCUGGUGAAGAUGUUGAUGGAGAUUGCCCUCUCCCGAUCAGAGGAGCGUUGGUGAUGAUGAUGACGAUGAUUUCCCCCUCCUGGAGGGAAGUGUCCCUCGCAGAACAACUCUGCCGGAGCCCUAGAUUGGUUCCGCCAAGGUUCCGCCUCGUGGUGGCGGAGUCUCGUCCCGAAAGGUUGCUUAUGAUUUUUUUUCUCAUCGAAAGACUUCAUAUAGGAGAAGAUGGGCGUCGGAGAGCCACUAGGGGGCCCACGAGGUAGGUGGGCGUGCCCGGGGGGAGGGGCGCGCCCCCCACCCUCGUGAGCAGGGUGUGGGCCCCCUGGCCUUCAUCUUUGGCGACGAUUUUUCUUUAUUUAUUUUAAGAUAUUCCGUGGAGUUUCAGGACUUUUGGAGUUGCGCAGAAUAGGUCUCCAAUAUUUGCUCCUUUUCCAGCCAGAAUUCCAUCUGCCGGCAUUCCCCCUCUUCAUGGUAAACCUUGUAAAAUAAGAGAGAAUAGCCAUAAGUAUUGUGACAUAUCGUGAAAUAACAGCCCAUAAUGCGAUAAAUAUCGAUAUAAAAGCAUGAUGCAAAAUGGACGUAUCAACAACCCGCGCAUGAACCAGCACGCUGCACGAUCAACGCACACUUCGACCUAUGCCCCCCCUUCAAAAUGUUUAUGAAAAUUAAACGAGCCGAACGCGAGCAGGAGGUUCCCUCACGCCGGAGGCGCUUUUCUUCAAUUUAGUAAAGUUAUACACCCGUGCCUCUCCUAGUGUUCACCUGUGCCUAUAAAGAAGUCACGCGAUUGAACAAUUCUGAAGACUGCCGUUUUACAUUAAAAACUUACUUUUUUCGUUACUUGAAAGGUCACAUUUGAUAGUGUUGGUAGUCCCCGCCCGUAACUACCCCAUAAAUCUCCAUUACCCGGAAAUAUAAUGGGAACAAAAAGGGAAACGAGAAAGGGAAACAGGGAACCAAGCGCGCGAACUGGUAUUUUUUUUUUGUGUUUUCGCGCGGAAAGGGAAAAUGGAAAAAUGUGGUAGUAUGAGGGUCAAAGCGCAAAAUGCACGAAACCACAAACCGGAAAGGAAAACCGGGAACCAACCGCGCCACCUAGUUUUCCCUGGCGGGAGCACUCCACGCGCGACACUUGUGACGCGCGAAGCGCUCCCGAAGGAGCGCUCAUGAACUAGUUGCUCUCUACGAACAACUAACUAAGAUCAAGUUCACACGAAAAUUAAAGACAAAUAAUAUCCCUUCAAAGAAGUUCUUCACUUUGGAUCGCACGAUCUUCGCGUUUUCCUCCAGGCUCCUCUCGUAUGGUAACUUCUCUGGAGUCUUCAAAGAAGGACCGAAUCUGUAUUGCCUCCCGCCUCUGGCUGUACUGCUAGACGCUGGAGCAGACGAAGCGGUUGCGACUGUCUUUCCUUUCUUAUGAGGCGGAGUAGAAGGACUACGACGCGCCGGAGCAGCUGGAGCGGCGGCGGGUCUCUUCCGCCCUUGUUGACGAGGCGGAGAAGGAGGAGGCUGGCUACUCGGGCGCGCCGGCGCGGGCGGAGAAGGAGGCGGAGUGCCGCCACACGCCGGAGAAGGAGGCUGAGUGCCCUGAUCACUCGCCGGAGGAGGAGGCGGAGUGCCCUACUCGCCAGAGGAGGAGGAGGAGGAGGCGGAGGCAUCCAGUUCGGAAGGUUGAUGAGCUCCUUCCGCCAUAGGCAUGGAGUCUUCAGAGAAGAACCCAGCCGAAUCUCCCCUUCACCAGUAGAGUGGUCAAGCAAGGUCCUCAAAUCCAUCCGUUAUUUCAUCCCCCAUCACCCUAGCAUAUCCUUCUGGAAUCGACCGGCAGUGGUAGGUUGCGUCAAGUUCUGUAGGUAAAACAGAGCCAACAGCCGACUUGCCUUUAAAUUUCAUCCAUUGCGUCAUAAGGUGGCAAUGUUGAGACUCCGUGAUAGCAUCCACGGAGUAGGUAGCAGGAGCCUGCUUCUCCGCUGAGAUGGCGGGGUAGCUUCAGGGGAAGCUUCGGCAGGUCAUUUGCUACAAUUUGCUUCUCGUUCCUCUAUCACUUGUACCCUUGCGUGCAGUGCCUGCAGUUGGCUAUGCUCCUCUUUCUUCCUCCUCUCCUGGCAUUUGUAACCCACUGCGUCCGGAAACCCAGCCUUCCACGGAACGGAGCCUGGCAUGCCUCGUGUCCGUCCAGGAUGCUCAGGAUUCCCUAGGGCCAUUGUGAGCUCGUCCUUCUCUCUGUCUGGAACAAACUUCCCUUGCUGCGCUGCCUCGAUAUACUCCUAAAGCCUCGUGACGGGUAUUUGCAGUUGCUCGUCCGUCCAAACGCACUUCCCUGAUACAGGGUCCAAGGUUCCGCCAACCCCGAAGAACCAAGUCCGGCAACGGUCUGGCCAGUUCAAUGUAUUUGGUUUGACCCCUUUAUCAAUCAGGUCAUUCUCAGCCUUGGCCCACAACGGUCGGGCUUUUGAGGUAGCCACCUGACCCCGUGCGAUGAUGAUGCUUCUUCUUCGCAGCAUUUUUCUUGUUUGUCGUUUACAUCUUCUUACUCUUGCCCGAUGUCGUUGACCCUAAUAAGAACCCCGCACUGAUAAGCAAAUGCUUCCUUUGUCUGGAUGGAUUCAAUCGGCUUACCAUCGCGCGCGAUUGCUGUGAUCCCAAACCUUUCAUCCGAGCGCAACUUUUUCUUUGGGCCUCAUCUCUUUACCGAAGUUGUGCUUGAUCCAGAAGGCUAGAAAAAAGAAGAAAGACGAGAGUUAAUUAAUAUCUGUACAUACGAAAACAAUGUAUGCAUCAAUUAGCUAGUCAUCACAGGCUUAACUAAUAUAUAUACCUGGCCGGACUCGGUUCGGUCACCGGAGCCGUCAUCACGGUCUCGUUCUUGUACCGGCAUUGGGUCACCGGAGCCGUCAUCACGGUCUCCUUGUACCAGCAUUGGGUCACCGGAGCCAUCAUAAUCAUAGCCUUCUUCUUCACCUUGUCCUUCUAGACCAUCGCUGUCGUUGAGAAAUGACAAGACGACAUCACUUCUUUUUGUGAUUAUGUCCCCCAACAUCGCUUCUGUUGCUUUGUCUCGGGGGUGCUCCAUAGUUUCUGCAAAUAUUUACAACAUGACAAUUAUUAUCCAAACAUGACAGAUGGAUAUAUUAGUGGCAAACGUAGAACUAGCUAGCUAAUCACAAUAAGGAAUCAUAUUAGUGGCCUCGACGCUGCUUCUCUAGGGUUUGUGGUGGCCUCGGCAACGCUUCAAGGGUUUGGGGUGUGCUACGUCUUGAGCUUGCGUUGGUUUUCCUUGAAGAGGAAAGGGUGAUGCAGCAGAGUAGCGUAAGUAUUUCCCUCAGUUUUUGAAAACCAAGGUAUCAUUCCAGUAGGAGGCUCCUCAGAAGUCCCACGCACCUACACAAACAAACAAAGAACUCGCAACCAACGCAAUAAAGGGGUUGUCAAUCCCUUCACGGCCACUUGCAAAAGUGAGAUCUAAUAGAGAUAGUAUGAUAAGAUAAAUAUAUUUUUGGUAUUUUAUAAUAUAGAUGCAGAAAGUAAAGAUGCAAAUAAAAGUAGAUUGGAAGCAAAUAUGAUAAGAGAUAGACCCGGGGGCCAUAGGUUUCACUAGAGGCUUCUCUCGAGAUAGCAUAGGUAUUACGGUGGGUGAACAAAUUACUGUCGAGCAACUGAUAGAAAAGCGAAUAAUUAUGAGAUUAUCUAGGCAUGAUCAUGUAUAUAGGCAUCACGUCCGUAACAAGUAGACCGACUCCUGCCUGCAUCUACUACUAUUACUCCACACAUCGACCGACUCCCGCCUGCAUCUAGAGUAUUAAGUUCACAAAGAACAGAGUAACGCCUUAAGCAAGAUGACAUGAUGUAGAGGGAUAAACUCAUGCAAUAUGAUAUAAUACCCAUCUUUUUAUCCUCGAUGGCAACAAUACAAUACGAGGGCGCCGAACCGGAGGAGGAAGCCAUGAAUGGCCCUGAUCCAGAGGAGGGCGCCGCGGGUGGGGUGGCCGGAGCACCCAAGGCCACCAGCGGGCGGCGGCGCGGAGGAGAACCCGUCGCGGGAGGGGAAGACGGCGCCACCUGUUCCUGUGCAAAGGGAAACACAAGCUCAUCAAAGUACACGUGCCGAGAGGUGAUGACACGGUGAGACAUGGGGUCAUAGCAGCGAUAACCCUUAGUGUUGGCCGGGUAACCAAGGAAGACACAUGGAACGGAACGAGGAGCGAGUUUAUGAGGUGUGGUGGCGGUGGUGUUGGGGUAGCAACGGCAACCGAAAAUUCGGAGACCAUCGUAGGAGGAAGGAGUGCCAUAUAAGAGAUGGUGAGGCGCGUAGUUCCAGCGCGGACGGCAUGGCCGGAGGUUAAGGAGGAGGGUGGCGGUGGCGAGGGCAUCUGGCCAAAACCGAGAGGGCAUGUAGGCAUGGAAAAGAAGGGUACGCACACAUUCAUUGAGGGUGCGUAGGAUACGCUCAGCACGGCCAUUCUGCUGGGAGGUGUAUGGACACGUGAGACGAAACACGGUGCCCUGGGAGUAAAGAAGAUGGCGAAUGGUGAGAUUAUCGAAUUCUUUCCCAUUGUCGGUUUGCUGAAGAGGACGUGAGACGAAACACAUGCACAUCAGCGCUUGAGGAAAGAAGAUGAAGGCAUUGAGUACGUACUUCAAGCGCUGAUGUGCAUGUUCUCCUUGUAAUACAUCGGCACCAUGAAUCUGCAGAAUUUGAAUAUUUGCGCACAUUAAUUGAAGCCAACAUACGCGUGUGUUGAUGCAAGCAAUCCCGUUUGACUACGAUGCGCCCGAUACCUGGGCACUAUAUUGAGGCCAUGCGAAGGAUAUGGUCCUCGGAGGGUUCCAUCCAUGAAGGGUUCACGAAGAAGCAACCUUGUCUAGUCGCGAAUAUACACGCGAGCGCACGCGCUAUAUAUACAUGUAAUGUGUUGUAUACAUGUAGCAUAGUCUUCUCACAUCACUUCAUCUAAGUGAACCAUGAGAUGCCUACUUAUAUGUUUGUCUAAAUCUUCCUCCAUAGGCGAGGUGGGACUAAAGUCCCACAUGCCUUCUGUGCCUGCUGCUUGCAUGCUGUGGCCAUGCGGCCCUUUUCCGUGCGGACAGUGGAUCAGAUAAAGGCAUAAAGCCAACAUCCAAUAUUGGUAGUCCAGCCCAUCGAAAGACCCAAAAGGUAAAAGUCGCUCCAUGUGUUUCUUGUUUAUAUUAUAACUGGUUGUCCUACUUGUAGGUGAUCCAACAUGAUGGAUUUUGUGCCUCUCAACACUAUUCAAAUAAUUUCCCUGAAAGAGCAAUAUUAAAAUCACGUGAUGUAUUUUUGUGCCUAGCACAGGCUUUGGUUUUGAAUUAGUAGGGCAACUCAAGUUUGGAUUACUGGAGUUUGAAAUCAUUCGGUGCCCAAAAAUGACCACGUAUCAUGAAAAAUGAGCAAUUGCAUACAUAUUAAGUUGAUGACAGCCGAUAAAAACCUCAUCUUUUGUUCAGAUUUCAUUUGAUUUGGAAUUUAAAAGCGCGAGCCCGCUGAGGAUGGGAUUGGAUAGGAGUAACAUUUUCCUUGGCAAGAGGCUCAGUAGCCGAUUUCAUCAAUCAAUCAGGAAUUCAGGAUGCAGUUUCCUGAGACAGAUGAUAUGUUUUCUUUUCAUGCAGGUAUGGGGAAUUCUUAUUUUCAAAACAGAACCAACUAAUACCAGUAAUUAUAUUCUCAACGAGCUAACAUUCAUCAUGGAUGUCUCAAACAGACAGACAUUCAUUCGACUAGAAGGACAAUCUCUUUGUUCAAUGAUGAAUCCGUGCCACACAAAUACAAUUGAAAGUUUUACAACAGCAGACCAACAUCACCAUUCGACCGACACUAAACAGAAAAUAAAGAGGGGGAGCUUUUUCAGUGCAUUUCCUGAUAUUUGCCACCUUUUUCUCUCCGCUACUUCUGCACAGCAAAAAAAAAAAA